GGCCGGCGACCCAGACGUCGGGCCUGAGUGUGCAGGUCUUGGGGCUGAAAGCGGGGGCGCUUUGGAAGCCGUUCUCGAGGUGGAGGGAAAGGAUUCUUCUCUACCGUUUGGAGACCCAGUGCUGUCCCGGCCGGUGGGAGCGGCAGCACUGACGGGGUCUGACGGCAGGUAGGGGCUCCGGGCUCGGUAUUUCCCCCGCGCUUCGCCCACGUGGGGCCGAGCCUCGGAAUCUGCAGCCAGGUGGCCGCGUGACUCUGAGCAGGGCUCCCUCCCAGCCUUCGUCUUCUCCCCCGAAAGCAAUCAUACCUGGCCUUCCCACCUCACAGGGCCCUUAGCGUGGGUCGUAUCCCACAAAGGUGGUGCGAAUGCAGGUGUCUGCCCACAGGUCCGAAGGUCAGUUAGCGAGGCUCAGGCCAGCCCCGCUGGGGGUAGUAACUGGGGAAGAGCUGCUUCAGGCUGGCAGUUUGCCCCUGGGAGAAUUCCAGCAUGACAUCUGCAGCCCUGUGGUUCCCGAAAAGACCGCUCUCACACGGAAGAAGAAGACGUUCGUGGGACUGAGUCCCACCCAAGUGUAGAGAAACUAAAAAUGAAAUUAAAAAAAAAAAAAAAAUCAGACUUUUUUUUUUUUUCCCCACUAGUCUUCAGCAUUGGUUUUUGGAACCUAUUUCUGGCUUCCUCUUCUGGGCUUUCCUAUAAAAUUGUCAGGCGAUAGGAUGUUACCUUGUAUUCUACUAAAGCGGCAUUGUAGAAAGCCUUGUUAAAGUAUUUGCCAUCAUUCCUUUAUUAUUACUCCUUAGUUGCCUCCAAGACAGACUGGAGAGGUGUUCGGGAGAAAGUAGAUAGAGUCUCCCACUUUUUUCUAUGGAAGUCAGCCUUGCAUUUGCAUUUAGUGUAUACUAAAUACUGUAUAUUUCCAUACAGCCCGGGAAACCGUAGCAUACACUCAUUUUAAAAGAAAUAAAACCUCGCAAAAGUUUUGUUUUCUCCCUUUGCCUGAACUGAAAUAGCACAUCCAGUUCUUGUUCUUUUUUCCUAGAAGCUGAACGCUGCACUUGGUGGUUUCUUUUUGUGGUCUCUUCCAGCUCUAUACCCCACAAAGUUUGUAUUUGCAAAACGAGACCAUGUGGGCCUCCUUUUUGUAGUCUCCCGCCUGAGUCACUUUCCCUAACAGAUCUUUAGCCCAGCCUGGGAUGUGAUUCUUUGUACCGGAGUUGAAGGUACCUAGGAGAAAACGUUACACUUGCUUUCCGAGACUCAGGGAAUCGUUGCUGUGUCUACAGAGUGAUUGGCUCCACUCGGAGUCCCUGACUCUCCUGAAACAUAAAGGGACUUAAGUGUGUCAAGGUCAGCAAUUUGGCAAGAAAAGUAUGUUUCACGUUAGACGGUGACACAGAAAAAAUGCCUUAAAGGUUGAUACAUUAGAUACUUAUUUUGCAAAUUCACCCAAAUUAUCAGACAGGGAAGAGAGGAAUUUGUUGAGUUUCUGCGUAGGUUUUUGAGUAAAUAUAGAAUUAUAUCCUUCAAGGUUUGAAAAAUGCUAAAAAUUUUUUUACUACUUCCAAGAAAAAGAGGAAGCAGACUGGCUAUAGUAAAUAAUAUCUCUGUGAUAUCGCAGUCAAUCAGACUGUGGCCAGACGAUUUCUAGAUCUCUGAUGCUUGGCACUGUUAAAAGUACAUUCCUAAAAUUUCACUGUUGAUAUCUAUUGCACAGAAACCAAGUGAUUGUUAAAAAUUAUUCCCUACCCUUACACAUUUUUUUUUAACCCUCUUCGGUAAACCUGAGCUUAGCAGUUACCAAAGUUCCCUCCGGUUUGGUAUAUCUUGGAGACUCUGAGAAGUUGGAAAAAUUCUUAAACUAUAAUGAUAAUCAGGCUGGCUGGACCACUCCCUUUAUGGUUAAGUCGUAGAGUAUCAGAAGGCUGGCGGGGACCUCACAAACAUUCUUUUAGGGAUGAGGGUCCUACAGACAGCCUCACCAUGCAGCUCUGGUCUUCUGACCUCAGGAACUUUUCUUUCCACAACCAUACUUUCCUCUAUUCCAGUGCAUGGAAAUAAGACUGGCUUAUAAACCGUGACUUACUUGAUUAAUUUAUUCAUCCAUAGGCACUCAACAAUGCUCUCCAAGUAGGCAUAGAAAAUGCUUGCAGUUUGGGGAACUCACUGUUCUCUGGCAGAAAUAUCCUGAUGGUUAUUCCUUGAAGCGUGCAUACAUGGAGACUUGUGGAGCAGCUGCAUAGCUUUUGCAUAACCAGUGAUGCACUGUGGUUGAUGAGGAGUGUGAGGAUGAGGGCCAUGUUGCAGCCCUUCCUCUGUGCCCCCCCCCCCCCCGAGAACUUCACUGACUUGAUUUCAUGGAGUACUUCACUUGAUUUCAACUCUGUGUUUGUUGUCUUUCUUCCCCACUAGAGCUCCUUGGGGGUAGUCAGGACUGGAUUUUUCUUCUUCACAUCUCUCAACCCUUUGUGCAAUUACCAGCACAGGGUAGGCUUUUAUACAUUUGAAUCAAUGAAAACUUUUUUUGGAACCAUGCAUGCGGCCAAAUAUAUUCGCUGGCAUUCAAGAGAUGAGAUUUGCCAUUGAAGUUUUUCUGUCUAAUGGCUGGGCGGUGAGUGUUCCAUAAAGCUCAGAUUGGUAAGAAAAUACGAAUCCAUCAUGGGUUGCAAGGUGUCCCUUGACAGUAAGCUCUGGCUGUCUCACUAGUGACUAAUGAUUCUUGCUACAGCAAGAAAAUCUAAUCUGGAGGAGAGGUAGCCGAAGAGCAGAAAACAAAUGUGGAAGUUUGGAAAUGGUUAGCAGUUUUCUAACAGCCUGGAUUCUGGGGUGAUUCAGAAGAUUUUCAGUCAUACGAUGAGGCUGUUCUUGCAUGGAAAGGCUUCACGACUUUUCAGAAGAAACUGCACAAAAUGUAUACCUCUCCAGGAAGGAGAGGUAAGCUUUAUGAUCGCAGGUGAGAUUGAGAGUAAUUUAUGUAAAACUAUUAUAUUCAUAUAGAAUGGUAAAAAGAGCAAUGGAUCCUUUUUGCCCCAGAUUCAGGAAAAGGGCUAAGUCUGAGAAAAGGCCAGAGGGACUUAGGAGUGGGAGGGAACACAGAGUUCUGGAAAAAGAAAAUAUGACUUAGCAGAACUUAAAACAACAUCUGGGAGGGUAUAGUUAGUCAUGGAAAAAUUGGCAGUCAUGAUUGUGCAUUUUAUGAAAAUAAUUAUGUACUAGUUCAAAAGUUAGCGUUUAGACUGAAAUUAAAUAGUCGAAAGCCUGUACGAUGAACUCUAUUAUCCUCACCAUGCAAAAAUACUUCUAUUAGCUGUCUAAAAUCAUUUACAGGAAGCUUUACCAAGUACGUUAUCGCACAGCACCAAUAUUUUCAAAGCCUAAUUUUAGAGAAAUAACUUCCAGUUCAAACCUUACACAGGAUUAGUAUGUUCAGCACAAAAGUAUCUUUAUAAACCCAAGGCUUAUCAAACAGCCUGUCAACCUCCAUUUCAUGAGCAGUAAAUGUUAUUUUUAUUCUGUACGUACAAUGUUGAUAAACUAGAUACAUCCUAAACACAAGUCGUGGAUAUUGUUUUAGCAACAAAAAGUCAUUUAAAAUGAAAACCUUUAACGUAUAUUCUCAUUAAUAUAGCACAUAUACUUUUAAAGUUUGUACACGGUAUCAUUUUAUGUAAGCAUCCCCUAAUUCCCAAUUUCUAUAGCUCCUUAUGCUUGACAUAUGCACUAACUCGAUGAACAGAAAUCCGUUCAUUCAAUAAAUACUUGACUAUCUUCCUGAUGCUGAGUUCUCCCUAGACCUUGGAUAUACAGAAUAAAACAAGGAGUCUCUUUCCUAUUAAAUAUGUGAGCACUCCUACUUACUGUCCUGGUUUUAAUUGUUUGAAUGACUUCCUGUCAGCAUUUUGGAUUGGAUAUAAAACAAUCUUAAUGUUAUUUAUUAAUAAAUUUUCUUCCAUGCCAAAAAAAUUUAUAAGGUUAGGCCUGUCAUGGUCAAUCCAUCGGACAGGUAUCUUCAACUCAGAAAAUUAUCUGUAGCCUUAAAAUCCAUGUACUUUAUCAGUUUGAAAGUAUGGAUGAACUUUCAAAAUUUUGCACGUGGGAAAAAAGUCAAUAUCCCAUAAACAGGCAAAAGAUAGCUAAGUAUGGGAUUCCUCAGAUGAAGAGUUAAAAAAAAAAUUGGUGACAUAACUAGUUUAAAAGUACUCGCAUCAGAGGCCUUGUUCUUUUUUAGAUCAUUUAUUUGUUGACAUUUUAUAAAAUAGCAUAGUUUACAGAUGCUGUAACGUAUUAGCUCGCAAUCCAUCCAGUCACUUGCCGCCUUUAAUGGAUGAUACUCCAUCCUGUUACAGCAAUGCCUCUUUCACACAGAGCUUGCGAGCUGGAAAGUAAUUGCUGAAUAAGCAAAGUUUUCUGCACAUUGGAAGCAUGGUUCUAGCAUUCGGCUAGUUGUACUUGCCAACCUAAACCACUACCCUCUGUUACUAUAUUGCAGCAACUCGAAGUUCUACGUUUAUUUAUUUUUUUGGGGGACAGAGAGAGACAGAGCAUGAACGGGGGAGGGGCAGAGAGAGAGGGAGACACAGAAUCGCAAACAGGCUCCAGGCUCCGAGCCAUCAGCCCAGAGCCUGACGCGGGGCUCGAACUCACGGACCGCGAGAUCGUGACCUGGCUGAAGUUGGACGCUCAACCGACUGUGCCACCCAGGCGCCCCGCAACUCGAAGUUCUAAAUCAGCUACACACCAACCACAAAAUGACUCCUCUCCCCUGUCAUAAGGACCAUAACAGGACAUAGACUAUAGAGGGAGCUUGUGGUACCAUGACAGGACUGGGUUUUCAGGAUUUGGUAAACUUUAUAGACAGCUGUUAAAUUGACCAAAUCAAAAGGAUGGGCCUUAAACCUGGCCCUUAUUUUUAAAAAUAGGUUUUGUCUUACAUCUCCUAUCCUUUAUGGAUUUGUCAACCCAGAUCUUCCCGUAUACAGGCUAAUAAAUAUGUACUGAAGGAUUACUGUGUGUAAGGCAAGGUACUAGGAACAUUAUGAGUCUUUUUUUUUCUUUUUCUUAAUGUUUAUUUAUUUUAGAGAGUGACAGGGCGGGAGCAGGGGAGGGGCAGAGAGAGAGAGAGAGAGAGAGACCCAGAAUCCAAAGCAGGUUCUAGGGUCUGAGCUGUCAUCACAGAGCCAGACCUGGGGCUUGAACUCACAAACCGGGAGAUCAUGACCUGAGCUGAAGUCGGAUGCUUAACCGACUGGGCCACCCAGGCGCCCAUGAGUACUUUUUCUAAAAUAUCUUGCAAGCUAGUCAGAGAGCUGAAGCAAAUGUGUAAGCUUCCACAGGAGAAGGCGGGGGGUAAGUGAAAUGCGACACGUCGCCAUGUCUCUCACUGGUAGAUUGAGAGCUCUGUGCCAGCAGAGUCUGCUUUAUCUUUACUGGCAUCCCUAGUGCCUGGCGUAGUGCCUGGCAUGUAGUGUGUCCUCCACACCCAUAAAGCUUUGUUUAAAGGUAUAGGAGAUAUUUGGGACUUCGAGGAGACAGUUCACUGUUGUUGUUGUCUUUUUUUAAGUUUCUUUAUUUAUUUUGAGACAGAGAGAAAGGGUGAGGGAGGGACAUGGAGAGGGAGAGAGAGAAUCCCAAGCAGUCUCUGUGCUGUUUGCGUACAGAGGGCUUGAACUCGCAAACCAUGAGAUCGUGAAAUGAGCCAAGAUCAAAAGUCAAACGUUUAACCUACUGAGCCCACAGGUGCCCUGAGAGAAUUCACUUUUCACUGGGAUGAUGAGAGAAGGUUCCCUGGAGGAAAGCAUUAUCUGAGCUGGAUCCCAGGGGAAUGGGUAAGGGGUGGAUGGGUAAGGGGGGAAAGGGUGAGCCAAGGGCUGAGGCCUUUGUGAGCAGAGUGGGGGCCACACACACUGGGUUUGGAGAUCCUGCAGGUGACAAGUGUUGCCAAAAGCUAGAACAUUGGGUCAUGGGCAGCUCUGUGGGCUCCACUAAGAAGUCUGGACUUGGUUCAGCAGACGGUACCUUAAGAGGCUUACUCUUCUGGUCGUGGAAUGUCAGAAGAAUUGAGUCAAGGGGCAUAGCGGGAAUCUAACCCCCUAACCCAAAUGGUGGCUGAGAAAUGGAAAGGAAGGACAGCUGUAGGAAACUGUAUGAAGGAAGAAGCUGCGGGACUCAGUGACUGAUUGUGGGUGGGGGCAGGAAGGAGAGAGAAGAGUAAGGUCUUGGGGCAGAGAAAAAUGGCGGCACAGGUCAAGAUGGAGCCUGGAAUGGAAGGUUGGCAGCUCAGAAGCUCUGAAUUUACACAUGUUGAAGGGAAGGGGCAGUGGACAUCUAGGAAGAGCGCCCAGCACAAAGAGUUGGGAGCGGGGCACUAAGGCUUGCGAAGAGAUUGAGGGUAGAGCUAGAAAUUGGGAGACAUUUGCCUAGAGGUUUGGUCAAAGAUGUAAAAGUGGACAAGGUCCCCAAAGGAGGGUCUUUAGUGACAGUAAAUCCCUUAGCAAGCACUAACAACCUGCUCAGCCUGGCUCAAAUCAAAGGGGCAUUUAUAAGUUUGUGAGUCUGGGAAGCUCAUUGCCCAGUGGAAGGGUUACAGAACCAGGGCCUCUGAGAUUGGGUUUCUCUCUUGCUCUUGCCUGCUCUUUCUCCCACUGAAGCUGGUCUCCAUUUGUGUCUGCACAUGGACUCUACGUGGUAGGGCCUGGUUACUGCCAACAGUGUAGAGCAACAUUCUCUCAGCUCUAUAUCACACCAGGGUCCAGCCAUCAUUCUUGGGAAGGACUUUGUCCCUAUUUGGGGCAUUUGUUCACUCCUUGGCCAGUCACCAUUGCCAGAGGAAUACUAGGCCUGGCCAUGUGUCCACUCCUGGGGUCAGGGAGUGGGUUCCCUCUACUAGAAAGAACAGGUCAAUAAAGUUAGCCAUCAGACAGAAACAAUCGCUACCAGUGGGUCUAGAACUGAGGCUGGGACAUGACUGGAGGAGGAAGAUGACCUAGGGAAGAAAGUAGAAGAGAGUCCGGAGAGAUGGGGGAGGACAGAUGGGACCCCAACACUGAAGGAGAGGAGUUUUAAUAAGAAAGAAGGGGCCAGCGCACCUGGGUGGCUCAGUUGGUUAAGCAUCUGACUCUUGAUUUUGGCUCAAGUCAUGAUCUCACAGUUUGUGAGUUUGAGCCCCCGUCCAGCACUGUGAUGACAAUGCAGAGCCUGCUUGGGAUUCUCUCACUCUCCGUCUCUCUCUGCCCCUCUCUCAAAUAAAUGCUCUCUCUCUCUCUCUCUCUCUCUCUCUCUCAAAAUAAAUAAACUUAUAAAAAAAUUUUUAAUUAAAAAAGGAAGGGACCAUGGCAGCUAACAGUGAGCAGAAAACCAGUUAUGUAUGUAAUUUUAAUGGGUACUAAAAAACAACCCCAACUCCUAAAAUUAACUUGGCUACCCAUCUUGUCAAGUUUCUUAUUUCUUUGGGUUAAAACUAGAAAGAUCUACACGGCUGAAUAGGGGAGAGACACAUUAGGUUUUCUUAGUCAUUCAGAUCAAUUCAAUAAACUUUUAUUAACCCCUUUCCCCUAUGUGCUAGGCGUGAUGUCAGGUGCUGGGGACACAAAAAGAAAGAUGUAUUCUUGCUCUGAAGAUUCUGAGACGAAGGACAACCUGAAAUUUACAAUAAAGCACAGGAAGUGCUAUGUUCCUCAAUCCCAUGAAUGUUUGUGGAGCAGCUACUAUGGACUUGACUAGUGCUGGGUACUUGGGGGAGGUCCUGUCUUCUGCCUGGUCAGUGGCCAGAAUCCCGAUCUCACCCUCCUACCACAGUCAAUGCCCCGUACUGAAGUUAGUUGUGAGGUCAUUCUCUUCUGCUCUGGUCUAAGCAUCAUGCAGGCAGGAACAUGUCUGCCUUGUUCCUGCACUGAAGGCCAGUAGUUUAGAUGCUAGUAUCACAUAUUUGCCAAAUGAGAGAAUAAUAAACUAUACAUAGCCCUGACAUGAUGUCAUUUUCGAGAAUCCAGGAAACAUGCAAAAUGACUUUGUUCUCUACAUUUUCUUUCUUCUUAGCUGAUAUCAUGCCGCCAGUGGAAAAGCGAAUGGUCAUUUGGAAGCAUUCAGCAGCCCUCAGUAGCUGUCCAUUUCUAUUAUUUGUGGCGAGUAAAAAUCACCAGAAAAUACUAUUCUAGCAUUCUCUAGGUAUUAGCUUAUUUAAUCCUCACAACAACCCUGUGAGAUGUAGGUAGAAUUUUAUACACAUGAGUUAACCCAAAGCCCAGAGAGGUUAAGUAACUCACUCAGGGUUACCCAGCUGGGAGGUGGCGAGAGCUGGGAUUUGACCGUAGGCAGUUAGCUCCGAGGUGCACCUCGGCACCCACUAUACCAGGCCACCUCUCCACAGGGCAGCGUUAAGGUGCGCACCUUCCCUGCUGCACAUCCCUUUUCCUUUUUCCCAGUGUUUCCUGCCCUUGUGAAGCUGGCCCUCUCUGAGGUUCCUGGCUUUGAAAUACGGGGAAUUUCCAAUAGAAAACCAUGGCUAAACCAGGCCUUAGUUGAGAAUAAAGGGCUCCUUCUUUUGCUUUGUUUCCACCUCAUUUAGUCCUUAAUAUUUUUUGACAUCCAGAUUUUUUUUCUCUCCGGAGUGGGGAAAAAAAAGGAGACCCUAGCCUGAAGAUGUCUUUUCCCCCGCUGACAACAUGAAACAAAAGCUCUUCCCUGUUUCUGUUUUUCAUUAAGAAAUAGGGGUCAUGAUGAUAAUUAACAAACCAGAGUUUAGGUUAGGAAGGCCCUUCUGACGUACUUCUUGCUUAUGCCAUAAUUGAGCUGAUGAGCUAGUUGAAUCUAGAAUCACCUCCACCUAUCGAUCCACCUUCCACAUGCCUUUUCUAACAUGUGAAUUCUCGCCCUAUUUGAUACACAUGUCCAGGCUUGAGAUGGAACUUGUCGUAGAAUCACUUAUAUUUCCACUGGUCUGUGUGUAUGCUGAUUUCUCCUUAUUCGAGAGCCCAGAGGGGAUGCUCAGGCAGGUAAGCUCCCUCCCUCGGGAUGCAGAAGCCAUCUCCACCUCCGUGGCCCCUCACUUGCCCACACCUUCUGCCUCCUGCUAACCCCUGAGCUUGCCUCUGGAAACAAGUCAAGUGGCCCCAGUGCCGGGGUGACAGAGGCCUUUCUUAGCUGAACAGCUACGAUCUUUGUGCCUUUCCUAUGUGGUCAUUUCCACGUCACCUUUAAAGCAUCUUAGAAAAAUGUCGAUGGUAUCUGAGAUGGUAUCUUCUCCCCCCUCCCACUGGAAACAUUUUUAUCAUUUGGCAGUCAGGUUCCAAUAAUCAUUAAGGGCAUCCACGAGGCAACACCCCCUGGGGGCAGCAGGAGCUGAGUGAGACAGCGUGUGCGAUGUUAGGGGGCUACGGGGAAAGAUAGGGAGAAAUCUGUGUUUGUAAUAGGGAGGAGUUUGGGUCUGACUCUAUGACAUGAACCACAGGUUCCCACCAGCUGCCUCCGAAUACUCCAAGAGGUACUUCGGGGUAUGUGAACACUUAGUCCCCAUACCCGAGGAAGUCACUUUGCGUCUUUUUAUGUGGGGCAGAAAGGUUGUGUUGUAACUGGGGAUAUUACUCUCAUGCUAUCAGGCAGUACUCACAGACUCUGAUUCCCGGUGGCUGUUUAGCCCAGUGGGGCAAGGAUGGUUACCGCACUCACGCCGUGAUGGGUACCAAGAACAUCAGGUGUGUGAGAGAUGCCAUUCCCGUGGGUCUUUCACAGAGAGUUCCACCCACCCUGAGUUACCCAAGAGAGCUGCUCCCUACAGCGCAGCCUCAGCUCUCGCUGCCACGCUAUUUCCUGAUAGUAUCUGGUGCCUCUCCAGAUAGCCUCCACUUCUCUCUGCCUCUGCUUUGAUCUCUAACCUCGGUAAGCUGGAUCUGACAUCGGCUCCAUAAAAAUCUGGUCCUGGACCUCUGACCAGGAAUUUUGUGUCGCUAAAGAAGUGUGCAUGCAGGCUCCUUGCUUCCUUCUGUGCCUGUGACCUGUUGGGCAGGGCACUAAUUCUUUAAGUCAGCAUUUCAAAGAGAAGAUUAAGAACAAGUUAAGCCUUUAGUUCAAAAAGUUCAGUUAAUCCUAGAGCAAAGCACACUGGGUUUUGAGGCCAUGUGAAAUAGCCAAGCCUUAAAGUCAACAGUGGUCAUGGAAAAGUCACACACAGUCCUUCCACUAAGAGGGAGAAAUUUAUAUGGUGAGUGUGUGUGCGCACGCGCAUGUAUGUGCACAAGCUGUUUGAUUUCUCAGGGUUUUCCUUUUCCUAUCUGUAAAAUGGGCACAAUGAAUCAGUGGCCCAGAUGUCCUAUCCUCUGUUUUGCUAUCUUAGAGACGGAUGUGUGGAUCAGAGCUUUUCUUCCUGGCUGCUACAUGCUUGUUGUAUCAAAUAGUUACUAUUUCCAAUUUUUUAAAAAAGUUUUAAAUUGACAUUUGUCUUCUUCUAAGGAUUAUACAGUUUAUGGUUUCUGUGAACAUACCUCCUAAACUGACUUGGUUCAAAGCAUCCAGUGGUUCCAGACAUAAACUGGUUAUGCGAGCUGGAGACCAAACUGGAAUUCACUCAGAUAUUAGGGGCCAUUUACUUGUGGGUCUGCUUAUUUUAUCUCGGCAUUGGCACAUGCAGUGUUAUGGUUAUCACAGUUUCAGCAAUACCCAUGAUUUACUGAGGUCCAGACAUGCAGUGGCGCACAAUGGGUGCACAGCUCUCGGGGCAGAUAAACCUAACCAGGUACACCGGUGGGACACAUCACUCAGAGGGGGGAGGCUUGCUGGCAGCUGAUUGCAUGACAAGGUCUGCACCUGUUCCUUAGUGCCCAUCUCUUUCCAAGGUCAGUGGGAGGUGCUGUUCCGGGAGGAAGAGAACUUGAGAGGGAACGGCUCAGAAGGUGAAGCACAGAGCAUUUUCUGCGACUCUCCUACGUGCCUGUAAGACUUUUCUGCGAAAACUCACUGGGUUCUCCCUUCACCUAAAAGCUCCUGAAACCUCCAUUCUUCAAAGUGUUCUUCAUCAAGAAGGGAUGUUCACAGAAACCAUAAUCCUUAGAAGAAGGUAAGUGCCAAUUUAAAACGUUUUUUCACAAUUGGAAAAGGUAAAAGCAUGUAGUAGCCAUCGAGAAAUGCUCUGGUCCACACGUCCGUCUCUAAGAUAGCAAAACAGAGAAUAGGACAUCUGGACCACUGAUUCAUUGUGCCCAUUUUACAGAUAGGAAAAGGAAAACCCUGAGAAAUCAAACAGCUUGUGUGCGUGCACGGGCAUGCACACGCACACACACACACACACACACACACACCAUAUAAAUUUCUCUCUCUUAGUGGAAGGAGUGUGUGCAACUUUUCCAUGACCGCUUUUGAUUUUAAGACUUGGUUAUUUCACCUGGCCUCAAAACCCUGGACAAGCUGGUGGUCUCUCCCCAAUACCCACCUCUGAACACUCCCCUCUUUGCGAAGCACCAUCUAAAUGAGUAGGUUUUCAUAUGCCCGAACACUUCAUAAAUAAGUAAUUGUUUGGCUCGUAUUGAUGAACUUUUGCAUCUAGAUCAUCAAGAUUUAGUCACAAUAACCAUGUACUGGGAUGAUCUAAUUUACGUCUGAUGAAAAUCCUGGAGAGCAGGUGCUGUGAUUUCCCCCGUGAGAAAACUGAAGCGUAGCAAGGCUAAAGUAACCUGGUCAAGAUCACACACUGGACGAGGCCGAGCUCACUCUCAAACCAGGUUGUACAGCUCCAGAGCGUGUACAGUUGAGCACGACCCAGCCUGCUAGCACCUCAUCCUGGGCACUCACUCUGCGCCCGCUCAGGGCCGGGUGCUGCGGGGAACCAGGGAGAGCAAGAUGUUCCCCCUGCCCUCACGGGGGCCCAGGGAGGUGAAGGCAGCAGUGUGUGCUAUAACAUGGGAGAUGCCGUGCUAAGUCCGUGACCCUGGAAGGACAAAAAGUGCUGCAGCGGCCUGAGAAAGGAGUCCUGAGUUCUCCCCGGGGAACUGUUUUAUCCUUUCAGUCUCACCUGGCUAACUUGAAUUUUUUGUGUAUUAAAAGGAUGACUCAGACUUUGUAAACUGGGAGAAAGUACCUAUACAACAAAACAAAACAAAAUAGAAAAAAAAAAAAAGACUUUAUGGCUUUAAAUAAAACCCCUUGUUUGCCUCCCCUGGUGAGUGGCAGGUAGUCUGGGACGCCCUUCUGUUUAUUCUGUUUGCCUUUUUCUUGUAUUGUCUGUUCUGCCCAACGGUGAAAUUCAGCUUCCUUCAGCAGCUAACUUCAUUGCCUUGCAAGGCAUUAACCUUGAUAGAAAAUUUUCUAAUUAACGCCGAGGAGGAAGCGCAGGCUCUGAAGCCUUUCCUGCCCUCCCAUACCUGUUCAACGACUCCGGCAGCUUUCUUUGGCAAGCCAGAGAAGCAAACAAACGGAAAAUCCAACCCGUCUUCAAGUUUAUCCCAAAACAGUUGUUGGAUUAAUGUAUGAGGUGGACUUGACUGCUCCAGCCAGUGACGGUAGUGACACUGUUUUGAGCUUAUAGACAAAGCCUAAACCUUCAGUGAUGUCUCCAGGUGUUGAAAGUAACAAAACCCCUUAGGGAAGUGUCAUGAUUAAAAUACCACUUGGGAAUGGGCCUGAGCGGACUUCUUUUUCCUUGACAAAUUCACUGAGAAUGAGGCAGCAGGAAGCCAUGGGUGGGGAGGGGGUGAGCAGAUCUACCCUGGGUCAGAACAGAGGAGAGGUGCUUCCUGGGCAAUCGGGCUGAGCUCCAGGCUGCAAGUCUGGGUGAGGGUGAAGGGUAAGGAAGUCCCCCCACCCCAAGCAGGCUUCCAGCAGCCCUUAUUCUUUUUGGAAAACAUAAACAGAUUGAGGGCUCUGUACAAAUUGCUACAUGAUACCCAACAUCCUGUGUCUGAGUAAACGGACAUGGCUAGCUCAGGCCUUGAUUGUGCUUCAAAAUUUAACCUCUCAGGGUGCCUGGGUAGCUCAGUCAGUUAAGCGUCCAGCGUCCAACUUCAGCUCAGGUCAUGAUCUCACAGCUCCCGCGUUUGAGCCCGGAGUCAGUUUCUGUGCUGCCCAUUCAGAGUCUGGAGCCUGCUUUGGCUUCUGUGUCUCGCUCUCUCUCUCUCUCUGCCCCUCUCCUGCUUGUGCUCUGUCUCUCAAAAAUAAGUAAACAUUAAAAAAAAUUAAAAUAAAAUUUAACUUCUCAAGGCAAACAGAUAUGUGGGGAAGCAGAGAUUCUGUACCAAGGAUGUUCGGGUUUGGGCAUGACUUAUUCUCUCUUAGGAAACAGAAACGUAUCUUCACUUUUAAGAUAACAACAGUACUGUCCCAGGACAGCAUAAUACCAGGAGAAACAAAUAUCUUAAAUAACAAAUAGAGUCUUCAUUUCCCCUUAUCGGUCCAGAGGAACACAUUAAAAAAAAAAAAAAAAGAUUUGCAAUGUAAGAAGUCUUGUCCAGACAUAUUUUCCCCCUAAAUAUUAAUAAAUCAAAAAGUAAAUUAUGGUACUAGACUAUUUAAAUUAGGUAUAUUUUUGCAAGGCAUUAAUAUAAAAGGAAGAAAUUAGAGUCAGAUAUACUGGGCUCUACUCCCUUCCUUCUUCCAGAAGGAAAGAAGGACUGUGAGGCCUCCCCAGCCCCACGGGACCAUUCGAACUUCCUCAGGCCUCAGCAGAGCAGUGCAGGGUCCCGUCUUGUGUCAGACAGACACAGCUUUUCCACAGCUUUCCUCAGCUGCUUUCCUGCCUGAACUUCUUUCUUUUUUUUACUCAUUUAAAAAAAAAUUAAGACUUUGUUUUUUUUUAAGAGCAGUUUUAGGUUGACAGCAAAAUUGAGCAGAAAGCACAGAGAUUUCCCAUAGGCCCCGGCCCCCCCCCCCCCACAUGCACAGCCUCCCCCAUUGCGAACAUCCCCACCAGAGUGGUACGUUUCUUACAACAGGUGAACCCACACUGACACAUCGUUGUCACCCAAAGUCCGCAGUGCACGUUAUGGUCCACUCAUGCUGGUGUGAAUUCUACAGGUUUGGAUAACUGUGUAAUGGCCUGAAUCCAUUAUUAUGGUGUUAUACAGAGUAUUUCACUGCCUUCAAAACCCUCUGUGUUCUAUUUACAAAAAUAGGGAAUGUUUCAUGCAUUCGUGUGUCAUUCUUGCAGGGGGGCCAAGCUAAUCUUCUCUGUAUGGUUAUAGCUUUAGGACAUGGGUGGCCGAAGAGGGCACUGAACUUCUUAUGAGGCAAAACCAAAAAGACUCUCCCUUGUUGAAAAUCAGCCCUCAGUGACUGGAGGGCUGCACAGUCGGCUCAGGUCAGCUUUGUGUUGCCCUGACCGGUAUUGCCACCCCUUUGCCCUGGUGGGGAAACCAAUCUCCAUCGUCUACGUGAAUCUGUGGAGGACUCAGGUCCCUGGCAGCAAUUUCUGGGUUUGGAAUUGCAUGGAUUCGCCAGUCUUCCUAUGCUGAGGGCAGGUUCAUUGCUUUUCUAAUAAAAUGUUCAUAGCUCUGGUUCCAGGCAGAGAAUUGGCACACAGUAAGUGUUUGUUGAGUUCAACUGAAUAAACUAGAAUUCAGGGGAGAAAUAUCAUUGUUCUUUAUAGUAAUAUCUCUAUUAAUGAAGCAGGUGUGUCCCUAGUGCAUGUGUAAUUGCCAUUAACGUGUCCGGCAGAGCCAGGAAUAACAGAGGAAGUGGGAGUUUCGGUUUCUCUGUGACCACAUCCUUCCAGGACAUUCCCCCUUCCCUCUCCUCCAGAUAGAGUGGAUGGUAUUGCUCUGGCUCAUGUGAAGGGUUGAGGGGUUUCUAUUCAUCUGCAGUGCUUAGAGUAGUGCCUGGCACACUGCAAGUGUUCAGUGAAUUUCUGUGGAAUCAAUGAAUAAACCAUGGUUCCGCACCCCAGCAAUGGGAGGGCCUUGGGAAGCUGUAGCCUGGGCAGUGCUUUUGCAGUUCUGGAAUUAGACCCAUGAGAGUCCAGACACACAGCCAUCCACCCUCUGCCAGAGCUGGGGCUGAUUCUAUCCUGUUUGGCUCCUUAGCUGCUGCUUUCAAUCUCCAUUCUUCUAGACGAGCUUUAUUAGAAUGAGUUGUAUCUACAGGAAGCGAGUUCUGUUUGCCUUCUGAAUCUUCUACUUUGCAAUCCAACCAUGCAUUAUGAUUCUUUAAUACUCCCUUGGAGUUCAUGCUUCCUGGAUUUCAGCCCAUUCUGAAAUAUUUGAUAAUAUAUUUGAUAAUAUAUUUGAUAAUAUAUUUGAUAAUAUAUUUGAUAAAAUAUAUAUGAUAUUUGUUGUCACGGAUGAGCAGGAAAAAGUCCUUUGUGCCACCUAAUCCUCUUUAAUCAGUGGCCUACAGCAAUACUUUCAAGCUCUCCUUUCCCCACCCCAUCCUACCCACCACCAUAUUUGCAGCCUAUUCACCACCCCAUUGUUGAUUUCUGAAUAGUGUAUUUCCCAUUAGAUUAGGGAUUGGUCCUUCUCUGUCCAGCCCUGUAUGGUAGGGGAGUACAUUUCCGAGGCUCCCUUUUAGCUUCUUAGCAUAGUCAUUGGGAAGAAGUGGUAGGAGACUGAUGGGCGACAGGAAGGGAGAAGCCAGGGUAUCUCUCUCCAUCUCUAGCCCCCACUUUGGUCAGCACGCCCCCUGUCAGCUGCACCUCCUCCGUGGACCCAGCAUGGCAGUUCUAUCCCUGGGAUCUGGUAACACUACCUAUUGUGCCUCCAUCCCUAGGGAUAGUGACAGAUGUUUGCUCGUGUUCUUCUUGAGAUUGCUUCCCUGUGUCCUCUUUGGUUUCUUAGCUCUUCCAUGAUCUCUGUAACCAAUUCCAUGUAUUAAAAAAAAUGUUUAUUUACUUUUGAGAACGAGAGAGAGAGAGAGGGAGAGAGAGGGAGAGAGAGAGAGAGGACCAUGUGGGUGGGGGAAGGGCAGAGAGAGGGGGAGACAGAGGAUCCAAAGUGGGCUCUGUGGUGACAGCAGAGAGUGUGACACGGGGCUCAAACUCAUGAACCGUGAGAUCCUGACCUGAGCCGAAGUUGGACGCUUAACGGACUGAGCCACCCAGGCACCCCAUGUAACCAAUUCCCUGUAUUAAAUCCAGCCUGGCUUGAGACACCUAGAGUGGUUUCUGGUUUUUGACUAGACUCUAGUAGAUACAGCAUGCAAAUACUACUGCUGACUUCAUGUGAACUCCUCACUUUUCUUCUGACUCCUCUGUGGACUGAAGCACUUACCUCACAAGGUGUUGUCAUAAUAAGUUGUUUGUGGAAGAUCUCUGAGAUCCUGGAGUGGCUGGUAAAUUAUAAGCAAGUGCAAUAUGUCAUUAAUUAGCUUUCAUCCAAAUACUCUGUGCAUGCUAAAGAAGGCUUAAUUUCUAUUCUUUUUGGAGGGACUAUUUGAAAAGUCCCUGGUUGAAGAGGCUGCAGCACUCCCUUGACAAUGCUUUGGCUUGCCUUCUAAGCCUGGAGGCAGUUGUGGUACCUGACUUGUCACUCACUCAGUGCUGGGUCACCUUGCACCUGUCCCAAAGCCAUUCAUCCUCUCAACUUUGGGUUCCAGUGGGCACCCAAACCUAUAUUUAGGGUAGCUGUCCCAAGGGACCCGGCAAAUGACUCAGGGCUGCAGGUUUGGGUGGAGCAUGGCAUUGAGGGCUGGAUACACCUGGAUUUGAAUCCCAGCUUUGCAUCUCCUGAGAUGUGUAAGUUUGGAAAAAUUACUUCACUUCUUUAAACCUCAAUUUUUGUUUAAUGUCAAAUGAAGAGAAGAAAGUUUCACAUCAGGCUUUACAUUAGAUGGUUGCCUCAAAGAAAAAGAUCUAUCUUAAGGCCCCAACCAGAGUUUACAAAUAUCAAGACUUGGCUACUGAGAGUUGGAUCUUCUCCUUUCCCAUCAACACAGUAUGUAAAGUAAUACAUGUUCUGUAUGGUCUGUGGAGAAUCCCAAACCCGCCCCUGUCCAAAUCCAGAUAGGCUUGGAAGUAACCUAGAACCUAAGACUUUUUAUUUUUAUUUUUUUAUAUUAAAAUGUUUAUUUACUUAUUUUUGAGAGACAGAGAGUGCAUGCAAGCAAGGGAGGGGCAGAGAGAAAGGGAGACAGAGAACCCCAAGCAGGCUCUGUCAGCACAGAGCCUGAUGUGGGGUUCGAACUCAUGAACUGUGAGAUCAUGACCUGAGCCAAAAUCAAGAGUCAGAGGCUUAACUUUAGACUGAGCCACCCAGGUGCCCCAAACCUAAGACUUUUUAAAGAAUACAAUAAUUAUGUUUCUGAUAAAACAUCAGCCUCCUUAAUUUAUUUCUUGUCUGUGCUUAUUCACCUUGCCUAUUUAUUAAACAUGUUUGAUUUCUUAUUCUUUGCAAGUAGGAUAUGAAAAGGGAGAGAUAAGGAAUGUUUAACUUUGUAUAGCUCUGAUUUCACACCUGGUAAAUACUGGAUGGUGUUGACAGGAAUCCAGGUCCUGAACGUCUGAUCGUGAGGGACUAGGCAAGAGUCUUUCAUUAUGAGAUGUAGUCUAAGCUCUGGCUUGACCAAACUCUAAGCUGGAGGGCAUCACAUCGGCAUUAUGCUUUUGUUUUGAGCUCCCUUGAAAGGAAUUGAUUUCUGCUGUUUGGGGGCAAUGGGCAAAAUAUGCCACUAACUUAAUUUUAUUUAAUAACUCUGUUAAAUGGUUUUAGCCAGUGCUUUCACUAUUUAAAAGGGAAAAUGUAAGCCAGUCAACCCACAUUAUGAUCUAAAAAGCAAACCCUGUUAGAUGAAUGGGAAUGUGGAGGAGGAGGAAUUCCACAUCUCAAACUAUCCUACCAAGUGCUGAUUUGCAUAGAUUUGAACCGCCUGGCUGGGAAAGAAACUGGGGCACAGCUUUGUCAAUGAGGUAUCAGAGAUCUAAAGACUGAGAUGUUCUCAGAUGAAGAAGCUCAGAACCUCAACUCUCGUCAAAGAGGGACUUUUGCCAUAGGAGGUGGUCAAGGGACUUUUGGGGCAGCUGAAAGAAGCCUUUCCCCUUCUUGCCCUUUGAGGAGUCAGGGGAAGGGUGGGCCAGGUGGUGUAAGGAAUUGCUGGUCUGUCACAAUACAUAUAGCUUAAAUAGCAGCAGAGUCAAAGUUCUUCUGACUCUGAAACAAUAAUUCAAAAAGCAGCAUGUCUCUGGGGACUGGUCCUAAAGAAGCCCCCAAUGAGAAUAUGAGGAAAGCCCAGGUAAAAUCGCCCUUAUGUAGGACAGAUGUGAUCAAUGUGCUUAGCUUCUCUUUUCAGCUUUCUUGCCCAGCCUGCAAGUUUGCAAAGGAGCCUUUGGAGAACAUGUGUGGUCAUAUGUUCACUCUCAUGGGCCUAAACCAGGCAGCACCCAAUUGAGCCUUUUUCAUUCUGCAAUCUUUCUAUUAAGUACUCUGGAUUCUUCUUACCUGAAUUUAAAUAACACUUAUCUCUUUCUAAAAUGCUACGUACAUAUUUUUAAUUUUGUUAAAUGAUUGUCCACCCUCCAGGACUAUAAUUUCCUUGAGAAUAGAUAUCUUUGUGUGUUUUAUUUGCCCACAUAUGUCCCCAGCACUUAGAACAGGGCUUGAAACAUAGCAGAUCUUCAAUAAAUAUUUGUUGAAUGCAUGAGUGAAUAAACCACAAUCCUGGUUUCAUAUUUUCAGUAUAUCAGAAGGCUAAUAAUAGACACUUACAUUUAAAAAACAUUCAAGAGUAAGUAAAAAUUCAGCUCAGUAUCUUUUCCCUCUCUAUACCUAUAGUCUACACAGCUGGUUGGACCUGUGUAGAUUCCAAGUUGGAUAUCUUAGCCAGAUUAGAACAGGAUUCUUUGUGGUCACUCUGGAGAUAGUACUGGAAGGCAGUGGAAUUUGGGGACACAGAGGGCUCUCAAUAGGAGGGAGACACUAGCUGGACUUAAUGAAUUUGCCACUUGAGUAAGUCGUAUAGACCGGGAAACACAAUUCAUUUAUGUGCUUCAUUAUGUAAAUGAACUCCAUGCUUAAAAAUUCAUAAGAGACUACUAUCUCUAAUCAUAAAUUCAAUUAACUUACCAGGGUGGAAAAACAGAAUUCAGGCAGACAAGAUAAUCAAGCCAAGCUUACUACAUUGGUCUCUCCCAUUGGAAAACUGAACAGGAAGGCAAUGAUCAGCUUAGUAAUGCUGGAUUCAGAGCCAGGUAUCUUAGUUCUAGAACUCAGAUGUUGGAGCCCACACUCUGAGGGCUGAUGUGUGUUUCUCCACAACUGGGCACUCUACACCCCCAUUGGCCUCCAUUCUACUUCCAGUCAAGACACCCUCUGGUCUCUUGGGAUGGUGUGUGGAUGGGCCAGCCAGAUUCUGAAACUUCCCCUUUUCUGUGCUUCUGUAGGUGAUUAACACAUUCCACGAAAUAUGUUCAUGCUUCAGUCAAGUCUUGGUCUGGCCUGGGAAUCAUUCCAUCUCACUACUUCUUAGAUUAAAUAUGCAUGCAGAUCAUAUUUUUUGAGUGUUUGCCCCAUGCUGACCAAUCCAAAUGGUUCUUCUGCAACCCACUGGAUGGUUUGACUCUUCAGAAGUUAUGCAUUUCUGUUGUUUCCAAAUGUUCGGGAUAUCCCUCUAUAUCCCCUAUUCACUGUCUUUGCCUAUCAAGUAAGCUCCAAAUACUGAUGGAUCUGCCCUCCUGAGCAGCCUCUCCCCCAGAGAGCAAAGCGAUGACUCUCUGAGCCAAACCUUCUGAUCCCUGAUGAUUAGUUUCUUCCUAUAAAUCAGUAAGUUGUCUUUUGAGUGUAUAUGACCACCUCCAGUGAAGUGAACUCCCCUCUAGUGAGUUCAGCUUGUUCCUCUAGAGCUUGAUCAUUCCUGGCACAUUGGAAAGUCACCACAGGAUUGAGAGAUAUGGCCUGAAGGAAGCUCACAUUAGUGGCUGUCUCUGCAUGGGUUCCCCACCCAUUCCCACACCACAGCCUCUCUUGCAUAAAUCCACCCACCUUUAGAGCCCCUAAGCCCCUAUGCAGCGGAUCCGCCCUGUAGUUUGGGGCCCAGCCCAUGACUUUUGGGAGGUGAAAAGCUGAAUUAGCAAGAUGACAGAUAGAAUGAUCCAGAAAAUCCUGUCCUUCUGGGAAGUCACUGGUCUCACACCAACUCUUGAGAAAUGUGUCCCUAUGAUCCCAGCCAAGAAACCUAUUAAGUUCAUGUUCUGAAACCUGUGAAGCUAAGGACCCCAACCCCGGGGGCCCCUCCAUGGGCAGCACCAGUGUGGGAGAGCCAUUUUUACCACCCUUAUGACAACGGGGCCACUGAGUAAUGUUUAGAACAAAGCUUUGAUGAUGCAGAAUAACUGACACUCUCUCCACAUUAAUGAAAGUAAAUUCAAUUACAUUAGUUAUACUUUGCAUGGUUUUGUUUAUUAAAACUAGGAAAUGGACAAUACACUUUGGAAAAAAACCAUUAAGCAAGGCUUGAAAUAACAAGAGAUUUCUUCAAAUAAUUCCGUUUAUAAUACCAGGGCUAUCCAAUAGAAAUAUAAUCCACACCACAAAUGUAAUUUAAAAUUUUCUAGUAGCGAUAUUAAAAAAGUAAAAACAAUUUCCCUACCUACUUUUGUCAUAUCCUAGUAAUAGAUAAACUAUGAAAAAGGUAAAAAGAAACAGGUGAAAUUAAUUUCAAGAGUAUGUUUUUCCAGUCCUGAGGAGAACGUGCCUCCUCCCGGUUGGGCAGAUAAACCUUCAUCCUAACAUAUGGAAUCAUGGACCCUAAGGCAAGACUUGUCUACAUUCGUCACCGACAGCGGGGGACAUUCAGGACUGAAUCUUGGCACAAAGAAUGAUUAACAGCUGUGGGGACCAGAGGUAGCAGGUGAAAAAGAGCCCGUAAUCAAAGCUUCUGACUUCAUUUGGAAAAUGUGGUCCUAACUUAAAAGUGAGAUUACUUUCCCUUUUCACUGCUUUGCCAAAUUAACUCCUUUGAGAAGAAAAGCCACGUUAUUCUUUUUUUUUAAUGUUUAUUUUUAAUGUGUAUUUUUGAGAGAGAGCACGUGAGGGCACGUGAGUAGGGGAGGGGCAGAGAGAGGGACAGAGGAUCCGAAACCCACUCCAAGCUGUCAGCAGAGCCCCCCGACGCGGGGCUCGCUCGAACUCACCAACCACAAGAUCGUGACCUGAGCCGAAGUCACUCAACCGACUGAGCCACCCAGGCGCCCCCCACGUUAUUCUUUUUAUUGCAACUUGUCCGUAGGCUGCUGUAGGAAUGACCGUACAUAGUAAGACAAACUGGAUCUCGAUAAUUGUGAGAGCAGCUUGCCUGCAGCUUGGCUGGCAUUCAUGGCCUUCCUUUUGAUACAAGAUCAAGCACUUACAAAGCACAUGUUGUGGGACCGACAGGGUGUACUGGGCCCUGUAAUGUAUAAAGAAAAAAACCAAGCCCUUGUCAUUUUGCCGAAGUUAGGCUUUUUUAGAAGACAAUACAAUAUCUAAUAUAAUGCUAAUUAUGUGUCAUGCACGCUACAUGUAAUAAAGGUUUUGAGGAGAGAAAAAAAUAUGUUUCACUCAACCAAUAUAUCCAAAACAUUAUCAUUUCAAUAUAUAAUCAUAUAAAAAUUAUUAAUGAGGUAUUUUAUAUUCUGGUUUUUGGGUGUUUUGUUUUUUCUAACAAAUCUUCAAAACUCAGUAUAAUUUAUACUUCUAGAACAUCUCCAUUUAGACCAGCUGUAUUGCAAGUUCUCAAUAGCCACAUGUGGCUGGUGGCUACUAUGCUGGACAGUAAUGAGACCCUUCCAUCCCACAAACUUUUUUUUUUAAUAAUGUUCAUUUAUUUUGAAGGAGAGAGAGAGAGCAUGAGCAGCAGAGGGGCAGAGAGAGAGGGAGACACAGAAUCCGAAACGGGCUCCAGGCUCCAUGCUGUCGCACAGAGCCCGAUGUGGGGCUUGAACCCAUGGACGGUGAGAUCAUGACCUGAGCCGAAGUCAGAUGCUCAACUGACUGAGCCACCCAGGCGCCCCCACAAACUUUCUGAUUAAUUGAGAUUCCGUGGUUUUGAACUCAAAGAAGGCAUUAUUAAUUUACCUUGACCUGGGCUUCUGGGCACAGAUGACAAAGCUCAUGUUAAUAAUGUGCUAACGAGCUACACCCUGGGGUUCUCCCUGGAGUAUUCCUGCUUCUGUUCUGUUUUGCAGACACAGCCAGAGUGAUCCCUAUAAAGUCUAAAUUAGAUACCAUCACUUCUCUGCUCAGAACCUUUCCACGACUUCCUAGCUCAGUCUUCUCAUGGCUUACAAGGCCCCACACAGUAGAGCCCCUGCCUACAUUUCUGUCUCAUUUCCUGCCAUUCCUGCCUGUCCCUCAUUUGCUCAGCCACACCAUUUGUUGCUGUUGCUUGACCUUGCCAGCACACUCUUGCCCCAGGGACUUUGCACUUGCUCCUCCCCUUCUGCCCAGAACACUAUCCCCCCACAACUUCCCAGGGUUUACCCUGCACUUUCUGCACAAAUGUCACUCAUCAGAGGAGCCUUCCCUGGCCAUUCUAUACACUUGCCCUUAAAGAGGGUUUCUCUUGAGGCCCCCUUCUUGUCAUCCUGCAUCCCCACCCGCUUACUACCUGCCUUAUUGCUUUUCAUGGCACUUGCUUAUUUACUAGUUAAUUUUCUGUCUUCCCCAGCCCCACCCUACUAAAAUGUGAGUUCUAUGAGGGCAGGGACUUUCUCUGUUUCUUUUGGAGGCACUGAAGCCCCAGCGGCAAUAGUAUCUGGCACAUAGUAGGUGCUUAACAAACACUGGUGAGUAAAGGAAAGAAUCCAACUUGGCAAGAAAUGCUUAUAGGAAUAGGAAUCACAGGCUUUCAUAACAAUAAUAGAUUUAUAUUUAAGAUCCUUAUUUGAGUUCAGUCUUAGAACUAAGCAAGAGUUCUCCUGGUGGUGAGUAACUCACCUGAACAGAAAGGCAACCGCCUCUCAUCCAGGUCCCCCCGUCCAGCUGGGGUCUCUCUCUCCGUGACCUCUUUAUUGCUCUUAUCACUUCUCAGCUGUUACAGGCCUGGAUUAGACACACUGUUUUUAUUUGAUGAACCAUAAACCGACAGUCACCUAACGGUCCUAGAUGUGCUGCUUUGCCAUGUUGCCUGCUUAUAGCACCUCAGAUUGCUUAAAACCAGAUCAAUAAUCUCAGUCAAAGAAUUCCUGUCCCAUGAGUAUCUGACUGCCCUUCUCUUCAUCAGUAUUUAGAUACAUUCCCAUCAGGAGUGGAGGGGGGGGGGGUGGGGGUGGGAAAGGCUCCAUAUUCGUUCUUUAGGUCUCUGGAAUUCACAAUUAUUUUCCUGUCUGGGUUGGGUGUGCACAGACGCAGCCAUCAGCGGCUCCUAGCUCCUUCGUGCCUUUCAGUCUCCUGCGUUUCCUUUGUUCUGCUUUGGGGCAGAUCGAGGGAGCUGCCUCAGAACCCACCAUUUAGUGGGAUUUAUAAAAAGCCCUCCUGCAUUAACUCUGUAAGGUUGUGUAGUAUCUACUCUAAUUAGUCUAUAUUCUCACAGGCUCCCCCCACCCCGGCCCCCAGGGCCUACGGCACAGAGCUGUGAAGUCACUGGUCAGGGGUGGAAUGAGACCAGUGGCCACGGGGUGGAUGACGUCACCAGGAUCCAACCUGAACGUCCCCCAAAUGCGCCAAAGACAUCAUGUUCUCACCGGGUGAACCGUGAGAACUGUAACCCAGCGGGCCUCUGAUGUGUUAGCUGUGACAUUGGACCAGUGUGAGCCCACAGAGGUCUGCACGCUUGGAACUACUCAGAGGGAUCGUUAGGAAACACAGCCGCAAAUGCUGCCACUCAACCCAGCUUCAGCGCGUGAUGAAGCGUGUGCUCCAGGGAGGUGCGGAAGAGAGCGUCUUCUUCUUGAUAAGCGUUCUUACUUUACAGUGACAGAGUAGAGUNAACGCCCCCCAAAUGCGCCAAAGACAUCAUGUUCUCACCGGGUGAACCGAGAGAACUGUCACCCAGCGGGCCUCUGAUGUGUUAGCUGUGACAUUGGACCAGUGUGAGCCCACAGAGGUCUGCACGCUUGGAACUACUCAGAGGGAUCGUUAGGAAACACAGCCGCAAAUGCUGCCACUCAACCCAGCUUCAGCGCGUGAUGAAGCGUGUGCUCCAGGGAGGUGCGGAAGAGAGCGUCUUCUUCUUGAUAAGCGUUCUUACUUUACAGUGACAGAGUAGAGUAAACGCACAGUGAAUUCUCACUAGUUGUAGGACAAACCUAAAAAAUCUUUUUAUAUAAGGACAUAGAAAAAUGUAAUGGCCACAGGCCAUGAGAAACAGCCUGUCAGGAUUAAGCAGAUUAUUCAGAAUUUAUUUGAAGCUGUGAGAGCCAUUCCUUUUUUGCACAGCUGAGUCAUGGUGUAAUUGUCAGACAUUCUGUGAGCACACUGAGCAAAUUUCUCCCUGCUAUUCUCUAUCCUAUAUGCUGUUUGUUUCUUUAAUAGUAGUAAUUAUAGGGGCGCCUGGGUGGCUCAGUUGGUAAGGCGUCUGACUUCGGCUUAGGUCAUGAUCUCGCGUUUUGCAAGUUCGAGCCCCCUGCCAGGCUCUGUGUGGACAGCUCAGGGCCUGGAGCCUACUCCAGAUUCUGUAUCUCCCUCUCUCUCUGCCCCUCCCCUGCUCACACUCUGUCUCUCUCCCUCCCCCAAAUAAAUAAACAUUAAAAAAAUUUUUUUAAAUCAUAGUAAUUAUACAUUUAUUUGUUUUUUUUUGUUUCUUACCUGUAUCCCUGACAAGAGUAUAAAGUCCACAAGGCAACAGAACAUUACGUAUUUUAUUCACCAGUGUGUACCCAAGAACAAGUACCAUACCUAGCCCCUGGAAGUUUUUAAAAAUAUUGACCACUAAUAAUAUAAAUUGAAUGAAUAGAUCAGUGUCAGUCUUUCAACAACAUGUUUCAACAAAACGGCCAAAUCAAGAUAAAACAUUGUCCACAAGUCACUGUUGUAGAUAUCAAUUUCCAAAGUGUAAACUAUUUUUGAAAGAGAUAAUCAACUAAUCCAAUCCAGGAGUUAAAGCAUGUUAAUUCUUGAGAACAAAGUGAUUCCAACUAGGCGAACAGUGAUUUGUGUUUCAGAAUUUUAUAUUCAUGUAAUGCAGGUGUCCCCCACUAUCUGAAAGUAGAGUGUUCUGGUGAAACUUUCAUAGGCCCAAAUGGCAUAAAGCCCAGUGUAUCUGCUGCUAAUUUAGGUCUUUCUUAAAAGUCGAGUGGUCUUUCCUAAACUUUCAGAAGGGAGGGGAUACCUGUAUUGAUUUAUUAAAGUUCACAAACUUUGUCAAGUUUUACCCAGAGAGAACUGGAGCAUGAGGACGCUGGCUUAACACGGUCCGGGAAUGUGAGUAAGGAUUGACCUACAGCUCAGUAAUGGGAGGCUCUGCCUGCCAUGUUAGGACCCUAAGCGCCAUUCACUUCACGUCCACAGAUAUUGAUCCGUGACUUACAGUGCUCCAGGUAGCAUGAUGGGAAUUAGACGCCGUUCUUGUAUUCAAUGGACCCAUAGUCUGUCAGAGGGAGAUAAGCUUGAUGACGUUGACAAGCACACACAUAGGAAUAUGGUCGCUGUGCUUUAGUCACUCAGAAGAGAGGUGGCUUGUUUCCCUGGUGUGCUGGGGACACUUCCCACCGGAGGUGGCCGUGGGGGUCAGCCCCUGAAGAGCCCAUGUUAUGGCCCUGGCACCUGCUAUUUCCACCCCCGGAAUAGAUCCUGGCCCUAGAUUUUCCAAACCCCCUCACACCACCUCAGAUUACCCCCUCAGUCACUAUUUCUCUGUUUUCUUCUUGGCACUUAACAUUAUCUGAAGUUAUCUUGAUGUUUUUUGGUUUCCUUAUUUGGUGUCUGUCUUAUCCUUCAAGUACAUAAGCUCUGUGAGAGCAGGAACCUAGUUUUCAUUGUGCAUUAGUGUAUGCACAGGGGCUAGAAAAGUGUCUGAGACAUAGAAGGAAACCAGUAAAUGCUUGUGGAGGGAUGGAAGGGCGUAGUAGCAUGAAGGAGCCAUUGGAGCUUCUUGAUUGUGAGAUGACAUGAUGAAAUUGUUCUGGAAAAGCCAUUCUGGCAGUUGGUUGAAGAUGAAUUGUGUGGGACAUAGACUUGGGACAAGAACAAUGAGGAGAUUCCUGCAGUAAGUUAGAUGUGAGUGCUACAGGUCAGGAAAGGGUUGUGGCAGGAGGAAAAACAUGUUGAAUCCAAGGCAUAUGUUGAGAGAAGAGACUCCACUCACUCUGGCCUGCCUUUUCAUCUUACAGACACAGCUCAUUCCCACCUCAGCUUUGUGGUUCUCCCCUCUUCCUACCGCCCCCCUUCCCCAGAUCUUUGCUUUUUUUUUUUUUUGAGAGAGAGAGAGAGAGAGAGAGAGAGGGAGAGAAUCUUAGGCAGGUUCCACACUCAGCAUGGAGCCCAAUGUGGCGCUCACCCCCACAACCCUGGGAUCAUGAACUGAGCUGAAAUCAAGAGUUGGAUGUUCAACUGACUGAGCCACCCAGGCAGCCCCAGGUCUUUGCAUUGUAUUUAGGUUUCUGUUAAUAUAUCAGAAGUUCUUUAUUUAGAGAGUUCUUUCCUGACCCCCUUAAGCAUCCCCACACUAUACCCUGGUUUUGAUUUUCUUCUAGCAUGCUUACCCCCUGUCAUUUACAUUAUAUAUACUACGUGACAUUACACAUCACAAGGACGUUCCUUGAGGCCAGGGGGCAAAAACUCCAUCUGCCUUGUCUACCACUGUAUCUCUAAUGGAUGACACAUCACAGGGGCUCAACACGUAUUUGCUGAGUGAAUAAAUAGAUUAGAUUGAGUAUGAUGGUGAUUAAUGAGAGAACCUAUCAAGGAAGACCUGAGUCACUAGGAAAUUAAAAUAACAAAAAUAGAGAGCUUUCCAUUAAGACAGACUCCGCUAAGCCUCUAUGUUGCCGCAUCGAACAGUACCUGACACAUAAUAGGCCCACACAAUAGACUGAUUUAAAGUGAAUGAAAGAACACUUGUUUGCUCUUCCAGUUACUGUAUUGAGAAACCAAUAAAAAUGAUGUCCUCAGUGAAGAACUUUCUUUCUUCAGAGAUUUGACUAAUUCAUACUGGUUCUCGCACUGUUUUAUAUGUACCAGUAAAGCUUUGCUGGAUUAAACUAAACCAUUCGUAUCACUGAUUCAUGGUUGCCCUGGGAAUUACAGUGAACAUCUCAUAAUACUCUAGUGUGAAUAAAUGACAACUUACUUUUAAAAGUAUAUAAAACUUUGCUCCUUUAUAGCCUCAUUCUCUCCCCCUCCUUCACAGUUAUUGUCAUAAAAAUUAUGUUUUUAUGCAUUUUUCACCAAUCAACACAGAUUUAUACUUAUUGUUUUAUAGAGUUGUCUUUUAAAUCAAAGAGGAGAAAACAAGUUACAAACAAAAAAAUACAUCUAUACUGUCUUUCAUAUUUGCAACGUCAUCGUUACCAGUUUAUUUCUCCAUAUGGAUUCAAGUUAUUAUCUAGAGUACUUUCACCUAAGCCUGAAGGAAGGAUUCCCUUUAAUAUUUUUUGUAGGGCAGGUUUGCUACUGACAAAUUCUCUCCAUUUUUGUUUAUCUUGGAAUGUCUUAAUUUCUCUUUCAUUUUUAAAAAACGUUUAUUUAUUGUGUGAGAGAGAGAGAGUGCAAGCAGAGGAGGGGCAGAGAGAGAGAGAGAGAGGGAGAGAGAGAAUCCAAGCAGGCUCUGCACUGUCAGCACAGGGCUCAAUCCCACAAACCCAUGAGAUCAUGAUCUGAGCUGAAAUCAAGAGUUGGACAUUUAACCGACUGAGCUACAGGUGCCCCUCGCUUUCAGUUUUGAAGGGUAGUUUUGCUAGACAUAGAAUUCUUGUGGCAGUCUUUCUGUCAGUACUCUGAAUAUGCCACCCCACUGCCUUGUGGCCUCCUUGGUCAUGGAUGAGAAAUCAGCUGUCAAUCUUAUCGAGACUCCCUUACACAUGAUAAGUCCCUUUUCUCUUGCUGCCUUCAAGAUUUUCUCUUUGUCUUUAGCAUUCAGCAGUUUGAUUAUGAUCUAAAUGUUAAUCUCUUUCUGUGUAUCCUACUUGGAGGAUCUUUCUUUCUUUCUUUCUUUCUUUCUUUCUUUCUUUCUUUCUCUUUCUUUCUUUCUUUCUUUCUUUCUUUCUGUUUUUAGCUUCUUGGAUGUGUAGAUUGUUUUUCAUGAACUUUGGGAAGUUUUCAGUCAUUAUUUCUUCAAAUAUUUUUUCUAUCUCUUUUUGUCCUUUUCUGGAACCAUCAUUAUGCGUAUUUUGGUAUGCUUGAUGGUGUUCCACAGGUCACUGGGAGUUCUGUUCAUCUUUCUUUUUUUUUUUUUUUUUUUUUCUUUUCCUCAGACUGUAUAAUCUCAAUUGACGUAUCUUAAAAUUUAUUGCUUCUUUCUUCUGCCAGCUUAAAUAUGCUGUUGAACUCCUGUAAUGAUUUUUUACAUUUCAUUUUUUAUAUUUUUUAACUUCAGAGUUCCUAUCUGGUUCUUUCUUAUAAUUUCUAUCUAUUUAUUUGGUAAGACAUCCUUCUCAUACUUGCUUUUAGUUCUUUAGACAUAGUUUUUUUUAGUUCUUUGGGCACAUUUAAAAUAGCUGAUUUGAAAUCUUUGUCUAGUGUAAGUCUAAUACCUUGGCUUCCUCAGGGACAGUUUCUAGUGACUGUUUCUUCCCCCUGAAAAAAGGCCAUAUGGGCCAUAUGUUCCUGUUUCUUUGCAUGUUUUAUAUUUUUUUUAUUGAAAAUUGGACAUUUAAAAAAUAUAAUUUGGUAGUUUUGGGAACCAUUGUAUCCCCUCUCAGCAUUUGUUGUUGCUGCCGAUUUGGUUAGUAGCUUUUCCGAACUAAGUCUGGAGUUUAAUUCUGUAUACUUUGUCAUGUAUGGCCACUGAAGUCUCUGCCCAUUUAGUGUUGUGGUCAGUUAAUGAUUGGAUAGAAAUUUCAUUAAAAUGUGUGGGACUAAUAAGUCUGCCGAGGAGCCCUGUGUGAGUAUUUGGGGGCACACCUUCAACAUUUGGAUAGGCAGUUUCCAACUCUUAGUCUUCACUUCCUGCUUGCGUGCAGGCUCACCGUCAGCCAGAGGUGAGAAUUUAGGCCCUUUCUCAGGUCUUUCCUGAGGUUUAUGGCCCUGGGCAUGCACGAAGCCUUCUAGAUUCCCAGGAAUAUAUGAAAGCUUUUCAAAGUUCCCUAUAGAUGUUUCACUCCCCAGCUUUUUCUUUAAAGCUUUUUGGUCAGCCUGUUUGACCCAGCUGUUAUCUGCCACCUUGGGCAGCUGUAAUGUUUUCAGCUAAUGCUUCUGGGGAAAGGGCUCUUCAUAGUGGGUAAGUUCCAAGUCAGUCCAAAUAAAGACGGUUUUGUGAGUGGGGUCUUCUAAGAACCACCAGAGAGAUCAAAUAUUGCCAGUUCUCUGAGAAUAGAAAUUUAAAGGAGCCCCAGCUCCAUUCUGCCCCCUCCAGUGGUUGCAAGGAUGCUGGUUUUCACCGUGCUUGAGGGUCGUUGGUUAUCAAGGCUACUUUUGGGUUGGGGAGGCGAAUUGGAGAUAGAGCAAGUUAAAAUGUCACAAAGCUUGUCAGUCUUGCUGAGAUUCAGCCUUUUUUCUUUCUUUCUUUUUGAGAGAGCACAUGCAUGUGGAGGAGGGGCAGAGAGAGAGAAUCCCAAGUAGGCUCCACACUGACAGUGUGAAUUUUUACAUUUCAUUUAUAUUUCACUGACAGUGUGGAGCCCUAUGCGGGGCUUGAUCUCACGAACUGCGAGAUCAUGACCUGAACCGAAACCAAGAGUCAGACACUUAACUGACCGAGCUGCCCAGGCACCCCUCAGCCUUUUUUUCUCAAAUAAACUCUUCUCAGAUUGCCGUAACUCUUUGACUAAUUUCCAGAGUUGUGAGAAAGUAGAUUCUGACAAUUUUUGCAAGUGUUCUCACUGCUUUUAUUGAGAUUUUUCAGAGGCCCACUCUCUGCCAGUUUUGCUGCUAUCCCUCCACAGAUUCUUUCAGUGCAAUUUAUCCUUUCCUUGACAUAAACUACUAUUUUCGAAAUAUUGACCACCUAAAGCCACAAAGUGUUUAGAUUUAUUCUAAAUUUUCAGGAACUGAGUUUUCUGAGACAAACGUUUACUUGUAUAAAACUACCAAGGAAACAAGGCAAUUUAAGUAGGUACAAACAGAAAGCCACAGAGAAAAGAUAAAUUGUUCGUGGCUGUCUACAACUUUCACCAUUACUUAUGUCUUUUUGCUUUUUGUUUUAGCAUGGACCUGGUUACUUUGAAAAUACCUGGUUAAGGUUCACCUGUGUGUCUGUUUCCCAUCUCCUCCCCGGGCUUGGGUAAGCUUGAAACAGUGUAAGACUGAAGCAGUCUUCAGCAGCCCCUUCACUGUUGGCCAUCUUUGUUGUAUUAGUCAGCUUGGGCUGCCAUAAUAAAAUACCACAGACUAAAUAACAGGAUGGCUUAAAACAGAAUGGCUUACUGGCAGAAAUAACAGCAAUUGACUUUCUCAUAGUUCUGGAAGUUUGAUGUCCCAGAUCAAUCAGUGCCAACAAGUUUGGUUUCUUCUGAGGUCUCUCCUUGGCUUGCAGAUGGCCACCUUCUUUUUUUAUUUAUUAUAUUAUAUUAUAUUAUAUUAUAUUAUAUUAUAUUAUAAUUUAUUUAAAUUCAAGUUAGUUAACAUACAGUGUAGUAUUGGUUUCAGGAGUAGAACCCAGUGAUUCAUCACUUAAAUAUGACACCCAGUGCUCAUCCCAAGUGCCCACCUUAAUGCCCAUUUAGCCCAUCUUCUUAUUAUGUCCUCCCAUGGCUUUUCCUCUGAUCACAUAGGCUCCUUCCUAUAAGGACACCAGUCCUAUUGGAUUAGGGCCCCAUACUUGUGACCUCAUUUAAUCCUAAUUACUUCCUCAAGGUCCUGUCUCCAAAUACAGUCACAAUGGGGGUUAGGUUUCAACAUAUGAAUACUGGUGUAGCGGGAGGAGGAGGGGGCACAAUCCAAUCUGUAACAAGUGUCCAACAUGCAAUAAGUAGGUUCUCCAUAAACAUUUCUAUUGAUGAUAUGCAUCCUCUUUUGUCCCGUGUCCUUUAUCCCUCUGUGACACGUCCCAAACUAGGCACAGUGGCUUCUGGUCUAUUGGGAGAGCAGCACUGUGUGGAGCUUCCAGAGAAAUCUCAAUGCCACAGUUCAAAUCCCCACUCUGGUACCAACUAGGUCAGUUAACUCACUUUCUCUGACUUUUGUAUUCUCGGGUGCUUUGGCUCUAUUCUCUUUCACUUCGCUCUACCCUCUAGGCCCUAGACUUUAUACCGACUCCUACUCUAAACCGUCUUUACUUCAGCCUCUGUGUAGCACAUCUAGGGGUCCACUAGUAAAAUAUAUCCUGGUACAUGCACUGAUUAAACACUCCUGAGUGGUCUCCAUCUCCAUCUGGGUAACAUAUGUGUUUUCAGAGAUGCUGUCCCUGCUAUGGCUGCUCAGGCAAGAGUGGCAUUAGCAUUGCUGGGCAAUGUAGUUCAGGAGGGAAGGGAAGGUGCAGUGUGGGCUAGUGGCGAGAUAACAAGGGGUAGACCAGAAGCUGGGAGUCCCCUCACAUAUACUUACUUCACCAACUUUCGCCGAGAAUCUGCUUUGUUCUGGGCGCUGUGCAAAGUGAUGGGCCAGAGCUCCUAUCAGUGGCUUCUCUGACCAAAGGAUUGGACUUGGCAUAAACUACAGCACUGUAGUGGAAAAAAUAGCCUGAAUUUAAGUCUUGGGUUUAUUGUUUAUUUCUUUCUGACCAUAGACAAGCCACUUCGUUUCUCAGAAUCUUAGUUAUUCCAGAUUUAUUUAUUUAUUUAUUUAUUUAUUUAUUUAUUUAUUUGAGUUUAUGUAUUUAUUUUGAGAGAGAGAGAGAAAGGAAGAGAGUGAGGAAGGGGCAGAGAGAGAGAGGGAGAGAGAGAAUCCCAAGCAGGCUCCACAACACAGGGUUAAAUUCACCAACUGUGAGAUCAUGACCUAAGCUGAAAUCAAGAGUCAGAUGCUCAACCAACUAAGCCAUCCAGGUUCCCCUAAGUUAUUCUGUUUUUAUUUUUUUAUUUUACUACUGUUUUUAAUAUUUCUUUAUUUUUGACAGAGAGAGAGAGAGGCAGAGAGAGAGGGAGACACAGAAACCAAAGCAGGCUCCAGGCUGUGAGCUGUCAGCACAGAACCCAGCAGGGGAUUGAACUCAUGAAUCCUGAGAUCAUGACCUGAGCUGAAGUCAGAUGCUUAACUGACUGAGCCAGCCAGGUGGCCCAGUUAUUCCAUUAUUAAAAUAACGGAUGGGUCAGGUGAUCUAUAUGCUUAGUUCUACCAUGUUGGCUCUCAUCUUCUAGAAUUCUCUACUGGGAGUGUGGAUUCUGCCUAAGGAAGAAUCUGUAUCUUUAAUGUUGAUUUCAGCACAUGGCCACUCCAGCUGGGAUGAUGGGAGGAGAGAGAUACAUACAAGCGGUUAAUGUUUGGGGGAGAAAGUUAACCCUACAGUUCAUUCAGAAAACAUGGAAGUGAACUUUUAAAGGAACCAAAUGUUUGCAUUCUUAUGCUAUCCUUCGAUGAUAUUAUUCACGAAUAGCUCACAUACGGUGAGAAAGAACUCACCUUCACAGUUUAGGCAAAGAGAGGUCCAUUGUGGGUUAUUAAUCCUAAAGAAAUUCAUAGUAAAUGCAGACUUAAGAGGCAAAACUCUCGUUUGCCCAGUGUCACAGAUGAAGUAUCACAUGUUGAUGUGUUGCAAUGCAGGAGCCAUGUUUUGUUAGCUUCCCUAUUCCUAGCACCAGGCUGCACAGAAUGGACAUUCGAUGGACACAAUAGUCCUUGUUCUCCAAAUGGAAUUUUCUUCACCUUACCUGCUGAAAAAGAGAGGUAAAAUCAAGACCCAAUUUUAAUACUGACUUUGUCCCUUAAAUUGUUGGAGAACUGGAUUUCAUUAUUUUCAACAAAUUCAGUGGAAAUUGUCCUCACCUUUGGAAUAAACAAUUUAAGCCUUUGGCUCCCCAGAGCCUCGUGUUCAGUCUAACCGCCUUGGUGGCAGCCUUCAGGGACAGCUUGUAUGUCUGAGGGUGGCAGCAGAUAACAAGAGGGAGGAGGCUCAGGCUGCUGGCUAGAGCUGGAUUCACGGUCAGGCUCUGUCACUCACAAUUUGUAACCCCGGCAAGGUGUUAAUCUCUCGAAGUUCACUUUCCUUAUCUGUCAAAUGGGGAUGAUACUGUCACCUACCUCACAGAGUCACUAUGAAGAUCAAUUUUAAAAAGGCCGGAAAGUAUACAGUGGCUGGCAUGCAAGUUAAAAGCACAGAAAAUCUUAGCUUGAAGAACUGACAGUAAUGGACAGGAAGAACUUUUCUAUUUCUUUUAUUUUUUCAAGAUCCACACAGCCUACUAUAAUAAUAAUUGUUAUUAUUAUAUUUUUAUAACUAGUUUUAAUAGCAUGAUUAUUUUUAUAAUUAUUUUAAAUAUUAUUGUCGUAUUUGGGGACUUUAAGCCUUUGUACUUUAACAUAAUUGAGAAACUUGGAUGCUUGUGAACUAUGGGUACUCAACCAACCUGGGAAGUCAUUAGUUUGUCUUUUAGGUGUCCUUUUAGAAAGUCUCAUAAACCACCAUCUCUUAUCAUUGGGGUGCUUACAAAGGUCGGAAAAAACAAGUCAAAAGAUAGAUGCAGUCAAAGAAGGUCAGAAAAAGAAAAUACCAAUAAGAGCCUUAAUUCUUUUAAAGAACAUUUACUCUCAUCUCAUACAUUUGUGUUUAUAAACAGCAGCAUAUUCUCUAUGAAAUAAUGCUUAAAAUCGUUGAGGAUUUACAUGUAAUUUCUUCAAAGCCUUCCCAGGAAAUAAAACAUAAAUAAGUUUUUGAUACUGAUAUAAAUAUUUUUAAAGUCUUUCCAAACCAGUGAACCUAAACACUUCCUUUCUUUGUGCCUUGCCCGCCUUCCUCCUUCAAAUGAGUACUGUUGUUAUCUUUAGAUCCCAACGGUGCUUUGGAUUUAUGUACUGAUGAUUAGAGAGUAAAAUUUUAAGAGUCUUCUCUCUAAAGUUUUUAGAAAUACAGUAGUCUUCCUUAUCCACAGGGAUAUAUUCCAACACCCCCAGUGGGUCCUCAAAAUCAUGGGUAGUGCUGGGGCGCCUGGCUGGCGCAGUCGGUUAAGCGUCCGACUUCAGCCAGGUCACGAUCUCGCGGUCCGUGAGUUCGAGCCCCGCGUCGGGCUCUGGGCUGAUGGCUCGGAGCCUGGAGCCUGUUUCCGAUUCUGUGUCUCCCUCUCUCUCUGCCCCUCGCCCAUUCAUGCUCUGUCUCUCUCUGUCCCAAAAAUAAAUAAACGUUGAAAAAAAAAAUUAAAAAAAAAAAUCAUGGGUAGUGCUGAACCCGACAUAUACUAGGUUUCUUCCUAUACAUACCUACCUAUAAUAAGGUUUAAUUGAUAAAUUAGGUACAUUAGAGAUUAACAACAGUAAUAAUAAAUAGGCAAUUAUAAUAAUAUAACUGUAAUAAAAGUUAGGUGAAUGUGGUCUCUUUCUCUCUCAAAAUACCUUUUUGUAAAAAAAAAAAAACAAAAAAAAAUAAAAAUACCUUUUUGUGUUAUAUUCAUGUUUCUUGAGAUGAUAGGAGGUGAUAAAAUGCCUACGUGAGGAGAUGAAGUGAGGUGAAUGGUGUAGGUGUUGUGACACAAUGUUAGGCUACUACCGACCUUCUGAUGAUAUAUCGGGAGGAUUACCUACUUCCAGAAACUGCAAAUGAUGGGAAACUACUGUAUUUUAAACCACUACAGCCAGGUAAAGAGAGAUUGUCUGAAAAUCAAGCUAGCUUUGCCUCAAAUUAUCAGAAAUUUAGUGAGCACUGAUUCCUUUAGAAUCCCCAAAGAAAUCUUUUUUUUUUUCUCCCAAAGAAAUCUUAAGCAGGGUCGCGGUGAUCUUGGAGAAGGGAGAAAAAUAUGAGCUAUGUGCUAGAGAAAGGUUUUGGUCAAAAUUCUAUUAAAAACAGGAAGGUUAAUCUGCCAGGACCUGAUUAAGCUUCAUUGGAUCAAAUACACAGCUCAUGAUUACCAUUUUUUCUAGAGAACUUUGGGGGUAAGAAAUGAAUGACCUGAUAUCUACACUUGUUGAGAUGCCAGAGAUUGAAGUCACAAUAACCUGGAGUUGAGUGAGGUGUCCUAGCUGCUCUAUUUGCAGAGGAUUUUUCCAUGGACCAGAGGCUUCUCUGAAGUUUACAUACAUGUACAACUUCCUGUGUCCACUCCCUGCAGACCCGAGGCCUCCCUCAUUAUCUGGGACUCCAGAUCUCACCCACCUUGUAACAGUUACACUCACAAUUUUUCCUGAGUCAGGGGACGGGGUCAGUGAAAGCACAGAACAAGACUAGAGGUCUAAGUAAAUGAAAUGACCCUGCUAUUUUCUUUCCCUCUGCUGGCAUAGCCUUCUCCUGAGUGUCUCACUCAAAUAUGGGAUUGGUUGUUGUUGUUGUUGUUGUUGUUUUUAAUUUUUUUUUUAACGUUUAUUUAUUUUUUUGAGAGACAGAGACAGAGCAUGGGCUGGGGAGGGAACAGAGAGAGAGGCGGAGUCACAGAUUCCGAAGAAGGCUCCAGGCUCCGAGCUGUCAGCACAGAGCCUGAUGCAAGGCUCGAACUCAUGAACCACGAGAUCAUGACCUGAGCCGAAGUCGGGUGCUUAACCGACUGAGCCACCCAGGCCCCCCCAAAUAUGGGAUUGUUUUUAAAAAACGUCUCAAGCCAGACAAUAACCUUUGGUUCACAGUGAAUGGACCAAAUGCCCAUCAGUAAUAGAAUGAUUAAUCUGAGCCGUGUUCAACACAGUGGGAUGCAUUGCAGUGGUUAGAAGGAGCCACCUGCUCCUUCAAUAUGGGUGACUCUCAUAAACCACAAUAUGGGUGACUCUGAUAAACAUGGCAUUAAGUGAAAGAAGCCAGGCACUAUAGGGUAUACGCUAUUUUCUUUCUUUUAUAUAAAACCCAGAAACAGGCAAACUAAUCAGGUAGGUCUCCCUUUGGGGAAGGAGGUAUAGGAGGGCCUUCUGGGGUGCUGGUGAUAUAUUUUUUUUAACAUUUAUUUAUUUUUGAGAGACAGAGAGAGAGAGUGUAAGUGGGGGAAGGGCAGAGAGAGAGAGAGGGAGACACAGAAGCCGAAGCAGGCUCCAGGCUCUGAGCUGUCAGCACAGAGCCUGACACGGGGCUCAAACCCAUGAACCUGAGCCGAAGUCAGACACUUAACUGACUGAGCCACCCAGGUGCCCUGAUACUCUGUUUUUUGUUGUUGUUAUAGUUCUGAGUGCUGGUCACAUAGCUGUGUUCUUUGUUAAAAUUCACUAACCUGUACACUAAUAACACAUGCCCCUGAUGUAUUCGUAAUUUCAUUAAAAAGCUUUUUAAAAUGAUAUAUGGAAGGGUGCCUGGGUGGCUCAGUCGGUUGAGCAUCUGACUUUGGCUCAGGUGAUGAUCUCCUGGUUCACAAGUUGGGUUUCUUAGAGUCGCCAAAUUUUAGAGGGCAGCUGAGGUAGAACAGAUGUGAGGGUGCUGGGGCACAGGUCACACAAAGGCCUUUUGAGCAUCGAAAUGCUUGUAGUUCUGUGAGUGUUCUAUUUGUUCUUUGUUUUUAUACUGAUUGGUUGUUUUAUACUGAUUGGUAGAUGAUCGCUGUUGUCCCAUGAGUUUUAACAAACAAGAAAGAAAAGCAAAUAAAUGAAUUGAGCAAUAGAGGCAUCUUUUGUUAAAAUAUUUGGAUUUUGUCCUCAGUUCUUGAAAUAGCUUCAGAGUAAUAAAUGUGAGGUGGAUAUUUUUUGUUAUUCAUAACAAACCCUUGUUAACCACAUCUGUGUUUAUGUUAAUGGAGUGACUUUUGGAAAGCCCCUAGGUCACCACUGGAUGGGGACUGGUUGCCAAGAGAACCAGUUAUGAUUAGAAGGUUGGAACUUCCCAUGUGGGAAGGGGAGACAGGCUGGAGGUUGAAUUCAUCACCAAUGGCUAAUGAUUUGAUCAAUCAUGCCUAUGGAAUGACGCCUCUAUAACAAGCCCAAAGGACAGGGUUUAGGGAGCUUCCAAGUUGGCUAGGAAGGUGGCACACUGGGAGAGGGCAUAGAAACUCCACACCCCUUCCCACAUACUUUGUUCUCUGCAUCUCUCCCAUCUGGCUUUCCUGAGUUAGACCUUUGGCUUUGAGUGUCCCUCUCUUGCAACCCUGGCUCAGAAGUCUUCUUUGGUACCUGAAAUUGACUUCAAAGCAGAGCUAGAGAGUUCCUCCCUGUAUGACCAGGGCUCCUGUAUCAAAAGCCAGAUUAAGCCUAUUCAUUUUGUGUGACCUCUCAAGCUAGCACCUUGCUUAGAUUUCAUCCUACACAAAGACCUACGAUUCAUUGAAGACCGAAAACACUUCAUGGUUUUUCCAAAUCUGCCCCCUGGUAUAUGAAACAAAUUUCAUGCAAAACGAGAUAAUUUCUCAGGAUGCUUGCCUUUCCAAUGCACAUUGCCAAAAACUGGCACUGUCUUGGUUAGCGAGAGCACGGGGGUCAUCUACAUUAAACACCAUACCCUUGUGUGCUUCUGCUGAAGGGUCUGCCUUAGCCAUAUCUGGUACGCAGGAUCCUCUUUCUCUCCAUCCCCACCCCCCAAGGCACUUGUGCAGCCAUAGAAAAUGGCCUGGGAUGGGCUGUUGACCCAGGGUCAUGCAUAGUCUGUCUAGCUCAAAAUAAUGAGCUCAUCCCAGGAAUUUCAAUGAAAAAUAUCGAGAGGAUGAGUUAGCACCAGGAGCUGAAUCACAAAGGGACAUAUUCAGGAGUGGAUGAAGCCAGGACCAUGCAGGGCCCAUGGUCAUGACAUCCAAAGUUUGGGGCGAGGAGGAGUGACACCCUAAGCACCAGCCAGGAGGAAAAAUAAGACUGAACAAGCGGGAAAGAACACGGCAGAAGGUGGAAGAGCAGGAAAAGAGUAGCUGAGAAUAUUUCCUGAAUAUUCUUUCUUUUCCUGCGUUUCUGUGCACUCCUUAGAAUAAGGAAUAAACGUCCGUUCUUUGUAUGUGACCUGGAUAAAUAUCUAUGUCUUGCAUCCAAAGCCCAGAAAAGUUGGAGCAGAUGCACACACUGCUCCCUUCUUUCCGCCCAGUGAUUGGGAGCAGGUGUGGAGGAAUCCCAGAUUAUUCUUGUUAUGGAUUUUCGGUGCUGAUAGGGCUUGCUAACUCAUCAGUGACCCUACAAACUUUCCAGGCCUCAGAUGGACAGGUCUCUAAAUUACAAGACUAAAUAAUUAUACCUCACUGAGUUUCCUCAUUCCCGGCUCCCUUCCAGUUUAUAGACAGGGCCCUCCUUCCGGGUGAGAAAUGGCUUGGGGGAAUAAAGGUCAUUGAUUCUCAUGGCUUUUCUUCCUGUGAUUUGUAAGGAGGGGGAGGAAGGAAUUCCUGAAGAAGGCAUUUUGCAUUUCUGUACAAGAAGAAACUAGAAAAAGUCCAUCACCUUGCAGCACUGACUAUUCUUUGAUUUUGCAUGAUCAUGCCGUUAGGCAUUAAAAGAAAAAAGGCCCAAGCAGCAGUGCUGAAUUUUAGGGCACUCCUAGCUCAUCUGGUGCUUGCUGUUUAGACUGGAUGGUUCUGGGCGGGAUGGAUGCAAACUUCAUCCCUGCAACCGAACGGUGGGGGUGCCCACAUCAGCCCGAGGGCAGAACUGCCAGAUCCCGGACUGUGUCUCCCCAGUGUGCCUGUCACCGGUCUGUCUUCCAAGCGGGGCUUUAUUGCACAAAUGAAUGCUUUAUGGCUUUUUUGCACUUGGAAGUUCACUGAAGGUUGAUUGAUUCAGUUAGUUGCUCUUAAAAAGAGUUCUCUCAUUGUAAACUUGCUUUGUGAGAUGAAUUUAAAACAAGCCAGGCUGAUCUGACUAGCUCUGCCUCUCUCCUUGUCUACCGCCUGAGAAGCAUUUGAAGCUGUUUGCCGAGGAAAUCGUUUUCUUCAAACGUUCAUUCCUUUCCGUCUUGUGGAUAAUCGGACUGUUAAGGCCCCACCGCUUGCUGCUUUCCACCUGUAAAAGCAAUUGGAAUCUGGGCUGUGGGCUGAAGCAGUUAACAGGGUGUCCCCUCCACUCUGGGGAGAGGCCCCCUGAAUGGGAACAGUCCAGAAAUUCCUAACUGCCAGGCUACUGCAGGUGCCCUCCUAACUUGAGGCGCUCUGACUUAUUUCUCUCACCCCACUUCUGAGAGGCUCAGGAGCCCAGUUCCGUCCCGGAGAGGGGGGCAGCAUGUGGCUGGGACUUAGAAAGGCUUACAGAGAGAAGAAAAGAGUCCCAUGUUUUCCCUGCCAAACAUGAAACAGAGGCCCGCUUGUGCCCCUUCUCUCCGGUCAUCCUGCCUCUGUUCCGGAAUAAUUUGCUCCGUGAAGAGUGGGCAGGGGCCCCAAGUUGCAGCUCCCUCCCCACCCCCACCCCCACCCCCAUAGCUGUUCUUUCAUCCCUGUGGUAAUUCCCAUCCGAGGAAUGUCUCUGGUUUACCUCAGAAUAAACCCCCUUCAGGAAGAAGUGUCCAAACAACCCUCCAAAACAAUAGUGCUGAUGAGCGUGGUGGCAUUCCUUCCCUAGUGGGAAGGGGGAUGGUCCCGAAGAUGAAUUAACCCUGUUGCUAAGCAACCGUCUCUAACCCCAGUCCCAGAUGAGCAAGAUGAGAAAGAACCAGGCCACUGAUUUCCCAGUCUCUGCUCAUUACCAGUCACGGCUUUGUCUGAACUGAGGGCGUGCAGAUGUCCUCGGGCUUGCUCUAGUGGCAAUGCUGGCUUUCAUGACAGAGUGACAAAACAGCCGUGGCCUGGAAGCGGGCUGGGUCACUUCCUGCAGCCCUGAUGAAGUGUCCAAGGCAGCGAGGCUAUGCCAGAGACCAGCCCUGUACAGCGCAGCUCUCUAUACCUUUUCUCAAGCCACACAACCCUGGGCGCUGAGUGCCAGUUACGCUUGACAGAUGAUGGGCUUGAAGCUCAGAGAGAUGCAGCGACUGGGCUAAGGUCGCCCAGGAAGUGAGCAGCUCAUUUACCCGGCUCUGUCUGGGAGAAAGCACGGCGGUCCCCCCACGUCGUCAGCUGCGGUUGCCAGGCUUCUGCCGCACCGCUGGGGAAGAAGAGUGGGGGCAGCCACGCAGGUACUGGUGUUCGUUAUCAGACUAAAUAUUUGCAGAUGAAGAAGGCCUGCGGAGCUGCUCACCAGCCGGUCACGAUGUGAUUUCUUUCUGGUCACACAGCAGCUUACCGUCCGUCCACGUAGUUACGCUCAUCUGGAGUUGAGGGAGAGGCUGAGCCUUCCCCGCUUGGCGCGGGAGGGAUGAAGUCAGGUCUUCCUGGCGGGUGAGGAGUGUUACCCUCUUACUUCCUCUCAAUGCAGCCCCCCAGUCUCUGGGCCAACAGCAACCCCGAGGCCCUGCGACUCGAAUUUACUACACUUUUUCUUCCUGAAAGCUCUUCUCAUCCUCCCAGACUCUUCUCAGUGGAGCCUUCGUGACUGUUCCCCUCCCUGUUCUCAGAGCGCUCUGGGUGACGGGGUGGCCACCGUGGUCCCGCACGCAGGUUCCCGUGAUGGGCGGACGUGUUGCCCGACUGCUGGAAGCUUUGCCGGCCGACGGUCUUCAGCCGCCUGGCUCCCCAGGGAUGGCCCCGGCUGCCUGAGUCGUGCCCCAUUCCGGGGGCCCCAGCCAAAGAUUAAUCAGUGCAGUGACCUUCCCUUGGCCUAACUCUGUGAGGCCUUUCUAGCACCGGCGCUGACUGUGGGUGGCAGAGGCCAUCACCAGGCCUACGCUGCCGUUGGACAUCCCCCUCUCCCCAUCCUGCAUCCCUCCCUGCCCUUCCGCACGUGUGGAUCCCAAGGGCACCCUGCACGCUCAGCUCUGUCUCAGCGUCUGCUUCCUGUAGCGCUCACCUGCCACAUUCUCCCUUAGACCUUCUCUGUACGUGACUGUCCUGCCCUUUAGACUGAGCUCCUUAAGGGCAGGGGCUGAACCUUGUUUAUUUCCCAACCCACAGUGCCCAGGGCAGGCGUGUAGUAGGUCCUCAGGAGAAGUUUGAGGAUAAAUAAAUGCAGUCGUUUACAAGCUGUUGUGAGACAGAGGAAAUGAAAGGCGGGAUAGGGCACCUCAUUCAGUGCCUUUUGUUUACUGUCGCCUUCCCAGAAGAGUAUGAGUUUCUCUUAUCCUGUCCUCCCCUCCCCUGCGUCACUUCCCACAGGCAACUCCAGUCUCCAAACCGGGAUUUCCCCCCAGACUCCAUCUGUCUUUCUGGACUAAAAACUGGGUUCGGGAUGUGGUCUCUCAGGAGCUGUUGAAGUAACAGGAGAAGCCAAUGUGUGGGCUGGAGGCUGCUUAUUCCAGAAGAACGACCUUGUGCUCCCCGGCUCUCUCCACGUGUAGACAUUUUUCUCUUAGUUGAUUCCUAUUUAUCUCAACCUUGGCACUUUUCAUUAAAUACUCUGUUUCAGGUGAGGUCAACGUGUUGCUGACACCUAGCCAGGCCCGUCCCAGGGCUCUCAGGAGGUGGCACCCGUGGGGUUGGCGCUUGUGGAGGGAAAUGCCAUGUUGAGCUGGGACACAGUUAGCAAUCAAGACGAGGGACUUGGGCAGAACAGCAAUUCCUUUCCACGAUCCUUCCUGGAAGACACUUCAGGGACAGGUGCUCCCAUCUCCAUUACCCCCACAGAGUUAGGAGGAAUGGGCAGUUCUCUGAAGGGAGAAGCUCUGAUAAGCUUCACAUGAGGGACCCCAGCGGGCACGCUGAAGAAAGCUUCGUGGGUCUCAAGUCACAACCCUGACUGAUCCUGGGAUUAUUGUGUCAGGAGCUUCAGUACUCUACCCCAGGUGCACUUUUGAAUAGCCUGGGCCCAGCCACCACGGCUGUAGAGGCUCCUCGCUGGGCCUCCUUGAGGACUGGAAGGAAAUUGGCCCAAAGGAAAAAUUGACUGGGAGUCUUAUCCCCUCACGGAGGACUCUCCUCCUCUCCUAAGCAGGCCAGGCACUUUCCUCGUGUCAUCUCAGGCCCAAAGUGGCUCCCUGUGACGUGACAUUGGAGGCCCCCCCGAGGGAGGACAUUCCUCUGAUCUGCAGUCGUGCAGCUGUGCUUGUGUGGGGAUCAACACAUAAACAAGAGCCGCCCAGGCGGCAUGGCAGACUCCUAAGGUAAUCAGAACGCAUUUUUAUCUGUAGUCUCAGCAUUCUUCACGAUCUGUUUACUGUUGGUAAUUCUUCCCUGCCCCUGCACGAGAACUCCAGCAGGCCCCAAAAUGUUUUUGCUUAUUAAGUAGGAGACAAUCCUUGAGUCCUUUUAGGCUUCAAGUGCUGACUUAGCCCAGCAAUGAGCGUGUCUAGUUCCCAAGAGCAGUCAACAUCCUGAACCCAGUAAGAGGCCAAACCUUGUCUCCUUCCCCAGUGGCUGCCUGUGGGCUGGAAGCCAGCUGUGGGGAACUGGGUGGCAGUCUGGUUGACUUCUCCUCAGUCUCUCUGUGGCUGGCCCAUGGGCUCAUGGCACAGGGGAGGACGAGGAAAAAGGUGAGGAAAAGUCUCACUUCAUGGAUGGAAUCGUCAUAAACUGGCCUCACCUUUCAGGGACGACCAGUCAUCUAAAGCCGGCUCUCCCUCUCUUGGGGUGUUCUCAUGAGCCACUUAUAGGUUCCCCCCGGACUCCCCACUGUGACAGUGCCCUUGGCCUCCACAUCAGGACAUUUCCAUUUCAAGAGGUUAUUGACACUCCUUUUUCAGCCUUUAGUCAUUUACCUCCAACUACUCUCUACUAGAGUCUCUCUGCACUUCACAGAGGUGCAAGAUCCUUAGGCCAAGAUCCUAGGUGACCCCACAUGAGAUCUCUCUCCUUAAAGUCCAUUGUCCCAACACUACACAACUCUUACCCCAACAAGCCUGGUGUUUUGGCCAAUCCUGCCACGGUAGCAGUCUCCUGGCUCAGCUUCCAAAGCUGGGGGCUCAGUCAGUUGACUGUCUGACUCUUGAUUUCUGCUCAGGUCAUGAUCUCACAGGUUGGGAGAUCGAGCCCUGUGUUGUGUUCUGUGUUGAAAGUGUGGAUCCUGCUUGAGCAAUCUCUCUCUCUCUCUCUCUCUCUCUCUCUCUCUCCCUCUUUCUGCCGCCCCCCAAAACCUAUGGCUCACAGGGAUGAUGCUACCAAUAAACUUGUUGUUUACCUCAUAGAGUCAAGAUCACUAGCAAGAGGACAAAGUCCCAGAUUUAGUCAUUAGUGAAAAGGCAAUCUUUUUGGCAAUCUUGCUUAUAAAACUCAAGGAACUGAGCUGUGCAAACUCGUGACCACAGCUCUGCCCCUGUGGACUGAGGGGGAGAAAGAAAGGCUGGAAAUGGACUCAGAUGUCAGUUUGGGUCACAGCAGAGGUGGAAGGGGGUGGAUAACAGGAAAAUCUUCUGCUCUUUGAGCAGCAGUGUGGUCAAUGGCAUGGAUUCUAGACCCAGGUAGCUCUGGAUUUGAAUCCCAGCACCUGCUGACCACCCAUGAUGUGUGUAAUUUGGGGUAAAUAUUUCACGACCUUGAACCUCAGCUUCUUUGGUAAAAUGUGGAUGUCCCUUACCUCACGUGGUGCAUUCAUGAUAACAAGAUGAGAUUUUAGGUGGAAAGUGACUGCACAGUGACUGGCACCUGGCAAGCUCCCCAUAAGUCAGUUCAGCCCCACCAGAUGCUGUGUUUUACGGCGACUCAGGAGAAGAACUCUGAAGAGGUCAUACAUGUUACCCUGGUGAAAGUCACAGCAAAACCUUUCAACCCUGAGCUGGAAAAGCAGGGACGUAAGAAAAGGUAUUUACUGAUCACAUCCUGUGUGUCAAACUAAGACUUAAGAAGAGUCUUCUUAAAGAGCAUUUUGAAAGAGCUUUCUCAUUUAGUAUUCCAAAUAAUGCUAUGACAUUGGUAGUUUUUAUAAAAAGAAAUCAAGGCUCAGAAAUAUCUCAGAUUGGCUUAGAUUUGAAUGCAUGGGACAGAAAAACUGAAAAUAAUAAUGACUUAAAUAGGAAAGAGAGAGACAUAGUGUUAGCACCCAAGCUUCUCCUAUCUUGUUGCUCUCCCGUCCUCAGCAUUGGCUUCCACUCCGUGGCUCAAGAUGGCUGCUUAAGCUUCAGCCAUCCCCUCCACAUUCCAGCCAGUACGAAGGAGGAAGGACUAAAGAAGGGUGCACCUUCUUCCUUCAAUGGCACUUCCUGGAAGUUGUACACAUACUACUUUCCCUUACAAGCUAUUGGCUAAAACUUAGUCACCUGGCUACACAUAGCUGUCAGGGAGUUGGGAAAUGCAGUCUUUAUUCUAGGCAGCUCUGAUUUAAAAAUCAGAGCUUCUGUUACCAAAGGAGUAAAGAAUGGAUAGUGGGCCGAACAACGAACAAUUUCUGCUAUGGAUAUUAAGUAACUUGCCCAGAGUUUUCCAGUUGAACUCUGUCUGAAGAAGGUGCUGGUGCUACCAGAGGGAAGAGGCAGGAAGGACAUAGGAGUGUGAGGAGGUAGAAGCUUAGGAUAAUGUCGGCCCUGCUCCAGGGUCUCCUGUCUGCUCUGCUGAAACUCCAGUUGCUUUGCCAGGAGUCUAGUCAAGUACCUAGCCACCUGAAUCUUCACUGAAGAAGAAAGCCACAUGGCUUUGCCAUUGGACGCUGGUGCUAAAACCUACAUGGCAGAGGAGAGAGGAAAUAUGUCAAAGUCAGUGUUGAAAGGGUGGGAAGGGAUAAAAAGUAGAGCGAUUUUCAUUUCCCUUCAGCUUUCUGCCUCUUGGCUUCUCUUCAACAAUGGUUGACUCAUGGUUCCAUUCUAUUUUAGCUGAUACGUGGUCAGCUUUUACCCUAUGGAAGACCCCAAAUGGGCCUGGGGCGGGGGGUUGUUGGGGGAAGAUCAUUGAAAAGAUGUGAUGGCCAGGGGACCUGUGAGAUGGACCUGGGAAAUGUGAGUCUGGAUAGCAAGAAGAACUGGAAUUUGAAUUGUGAUCUUUUGACUUCACGUUACGAACAAGCAAGACGAAUGAAAGCAAGACUAAGCAAACCCAGCUCUCUCCAGAGUACAGACCCCUGAUGCCAACACCAGACAUGGGUACCCCACUUUACAAAAUGUCCCUCAGUCUCUUGUCCAGGCAAUGAUCCAGGGCCAUUAAAGGCUAACAGAAGCAUCACAGCCACCAGACCCAACUGAGGACAGGUGCAAAUAGUCAACAUGCUUCAGUAGCCCCAGGGGGCAAUGCAGAACUGUGAAUGGUCUCCAAACUGGUUUUCAUAACAAUGACCUUAAGUCAGCAAGGCAAAUGGGAUCCUAUCCUCAUUGCACUCUUAUUUCAGAAAACAGUGAGUGCGCAAGAGAUUUGAGGAAAUCAAAAAUGUUUAACACAGAUGUUUAACCAAGAGUAAAUUGUUUAGAGCACUUGUAAGUUUUCAAUAACGUGGAGAGGAGUUGUUGACUCUGGCAGAUGGAGUAGGCGGCUUUCGAGGAGAAGGGAUCGCCCCAGAAUUUCCCACCGUGAAGCUGAGCGCCCAGGACACUGUGGUGGAUGAGCAUUGGGGUUCCGCAGGAUAUGCCAAUUCCCUUUCCUUUCAUCAGGACAGGAAGAAGGGAAUGAGCUUCCAAAAUCCCUGUUGGAAAUUACAUUGAUUUACCAUUUCCAUUCUUUAUGACAUUUUUCAGGGAUUGUUAAAUGUUUCUGGUCAGGGCUGUGUUAUUAUUUCAGCCUUAGUAGCCCUUUAAGGGUUCCCGACACCUCUGGAGAGCAGCAUGUGGACUGCAUCAGCACUGAGUGGGUCUGAGCUAUAAUAGGGUGUCCUCUGACCCUAAUCCCAACCGCCGUCUGGAUUUAUGGGCUCCCACCAGUGCAGAGGGUGGGUGGAAGGACCAGGGAGGCUCACUAGCUGCGCGGUCAGCCUAGGGAGCUGGGAUUACAUAGCUGGGAUCUGCUCAAAGCACCAACUUCAUAAGAUUCCCCCAUUUUGCACAACCCUGCAACAGAAGCCACAUCCUCAUUGUGCAAGUUCAGGUUUAACCACAGACCAAACAGCCUGUGCCUUGCUAGGCAAGGAGGGGCCUGACCCACUGAAGAGUGCUUUCUUUUAAUAAGGAGGAAGGGGUUGGGGCGCCUGGGUGGCGCAGUCGGUUAAGCGUCCGACUUCAGCCAGGUCACGAUCUCGCGGUCCGUGAUUUCGAGCCCCGCGUCAGGCUCUGGGCUGAUGGCUCGGAGCCUGGAGCCUGUUUCCGAUGCUGUGUCUCCCUCUCUCUCUGCCCCUCCCCCGUUCAUGCUCUGUCUCUCUCUGUCCCAAAAUAAAUAAAAAACGUUGAAAAAAAAAUUAAAAAAAAAAUAAGGAGGAAGGGGUUUUUUGGAGGGUGGGAAUCAGGGACCCUAAGGUUUCAGAUUAGGACACUGUGCAAGAUAUUGUCUUAUAAGUUGUUAGGUCACUUUCCAACAUGUGAUUAAAAUGAGCAACUGAUUAAAAUCCAGACAUAAUGCUAUUAUAAAAUAUUUUAGUUUGGACAAAGCCUGAGAAAAACUCAGGCUUCUCCUCCACAAAAACGGACAAACGUUGUCCAGUGAAUUGAAUGAAUGAAUACACGCAAACCAUGGGGGAAAUUCUAAAGGCUGAGUUGAGAGAACAGUGGAUGGUAGAAAUAAAACUUUUAUCUUGAAGCUAUAAUAAAAGGAAACCCAAUAAAUUAAAUGGGCUACAGGAUUCAUGAAGCUGAGUCAUAAAAAAAAAUAAUAAACACAAAAUCCCGUGGGUCAGGCAACAUAAAGAUAAGAAUUCAGAGUCUGUUUGUUUAAUAAUAGGCUCUUUCCUGUUUAGACAAAGAGCAUAUCAAGGAAUUGAUGCAAAUGUGUUCCUGUUUCUAUUCUCAUAGUUCCACUUUCCCGCUAAAAUUACUUUCUGUAGCAGAUGUAACAAUUAAAUGAGAUACUAUGUGUCACUAAGCUUCGGUGCACAAGAAAAACAAAAUACAUGUGGUUAAAUUGGAAUCUGAAUAGUGCUGUUCUUCCUCCGUAUUCCUUCUCCUUUUUCCAGUCUCCUCUGCUUUGUUGGUUCUGUUUGAGAACUAUGUCCCUGGAUCAGUGCUGAUGUGGCCCUGAUCUCCAGGAAUUUUGCUCAUUCACAUCCUCAGUCAAUAUUUAUUGAGUUCCUGUGAUGUACCAGGCUCUCUUCAAGGCCCUGGAGACUCAGUGUUUAAGGAUGACAAAGUCCCUGUUUACAUGUGAGGGGUAAUAAACCAACAGAUGCAUAAAUCUAUGGUAUAACUUGGAGUCCUGUAAAGUGCUCUCAAGAAAUGCAAAGGAGAGCAAUGGGAUAGAGACCAGCAGGUGGGGGUUGGGGGACAUUUCUGUGGAAAGAUCAGGGAACCCUCUCUAGAGAAGGUGGAGAAGUGUCCUGAAUCAUGUGAGGAGUAAAUCCACAGGAGGAUCUGGGCAAAGGACGUGGCAGAGGCAGAAGAAACAGCAUGUGCAAAGGGCCCAGAAGUGGGAAACAAGACUGGUGUGAUUUUAGGAAAACAAAAAGGCCGUGUGGCUGGAACAGAGUGAAUUGCAGAGAAGGUUGUUGGUGAUGAGCCUAGAGGCUUGCUGAGGGGCCAGGUCACGUGGGGCCUCAUGGGGCAUGCUAAGCGGUUCAUUCAGAUUGUUGAGACGUUAUUGAUGAAAACAGGAUUGAUGAAAAGUUAUUGGAGGGUUUGAGUCACAAUAUCGUUUAUGUGUAUUAAAAGGAUCAGUCUGCCUAUUGGACAAAAGGGCAAACCAGAAACAGAGACACCAGUUAGGAGAGGCAGUGUAACAUAGUGGGCAAGGCUCUGGAGCCGGACUGCCUAUGCCGUUAAUGAGCAACGUGAACAUAGCCAAGUUAAAUGACUCGUCUGUGCCUCGGCUUCCUGAUCUGUAAAAUGGGGAUGAUCGUAGUAAAGUCUGCCACUUUGUGCAGGUGGAACCGCCCCCUGGAGCAGUGAACACCGUGUGACGGGUACCUUUUGGAGCUGUGCAACACUGUGGUCUUACUAAUAACAGAGGUGGGUCUUUCUACCUCGUUGGGUUAAACGGUCAAACACAGAGAAGUGCUUAGAACAAUGCCUGGCACCUAGGAAGAGUUUAAUAAAUAUUAGCUAUUAUUUGUAGUCCGGGUGAGAGAUGAUGGCGGCUUGGGCUAAGGUGCUGGUGGUACCAACCGGGGUGGUGAGUGCUCAAGUUUGAAAUAAAAUGUGAAGAAAGAGCCUGCGCUGGCUCCCAGGGGCACAACGGGUCCCGAUGAUGGAACUCGAGGGCUCCAUCUUCGCCAAGACUUCUAGGUGGGGGGUUUUUUCAGUCUGAUUCAUUUUGGAGCUGAGUUUUUCAGCAUCUUCCCCACCAGUAUGUUUCCCGCCUCGAACGAUGAGUGUACGUAGUAUCUCAUUGAUAGAGUGACCGUGCAGGGAAGAGAGUUCAGUGCUUCUCUCGUCUUGUGAGGAUAAAGUGUGCAGAGCCUUCAGGAGUUACUGUCUUGAGGCCACAGUGUCCCUGAAGUCCUUAGUGUCCCUGGUUCCUGAAAUGCCUGUCCUUGUGCCCUCGGUCACCCUCCAUGGCCCCCAAAGGGCUCAGUUAAGAAGCAGCCCAACCAGGAAAAGAAGCACCAGAACAUACAUAAAAGCAGACGGUUCAAAGGCACCAUUCAUUUUCAUUUCAUCGCUUUCAUCAACCACAGAACCCAAGUCAACCAUUUAAGGUUAAGAAAUUUGUUUGGAGGGGCACCUGGAUGGCUCAAGGUGGUUAAGCGUCUGACUCUCGGUUUCUCCUCGGGCCAUGAUCUCACGGUUUGUGAGUUCGAGCCCCACCUUGGGCUCUGCACUGGCAGCCUGGAGCCUGCUUGGGAUUCUCUCUCUCUCUCUGCCCCUCCCCACUCUCUCUCAAAAUAAAUAAAUAAAUAAAUAAAUAAAUAAAUAAAUAAAUAAAUAAAAAAAAUAAAAUAAAAUAAAAUAAAAUAAACCCUGAAAUUUGUUUAGGAUCUGUUCCAUUUUCUCACCCACUUGGCCCUAAGGAAUCUCAAACAGGAAUCUUGGAGGCGGCAGGGGCAUCGGGUGGGCUCAAGAGUGCAGACGCCUAACCCCUCCAGGGUCUUUCUCAACCCCCCAGCACGGCAGCCAUGGGGUAGGAGGUGUGAGUAGCUCUACGUAGCUGCUCUGCCACCCUCGGCCUUAGGUGCCAGUGACAUUGCUGUCUGGUAACUCAUACGUGAGGUAAUCUCAUUUUAUUUGUUCUGGACGCGUGAGGCAUGCAAUUCCUUCUUCAGAAGUUAUAAAGUGGGGCCCCAGCUAAUAACUCAACAUAAAAAGAGGCUGCCGUUUUCUCAUUCUCAGGCGCAGUAAUAAUUCCUGCCGUGAGCCAGUCAUCAUGGAAAUGACUCAGGCUUUCUCUCCUGUGCUAAUAAGGUUUAACUGUCUUUGGUCCUGACUCAAACUGGCUGGGAGCAAAGCCCAAAUAUUAGAAGCUAUACCAAAGUGUGCCACUGUGUAACUGUUUACUUGACUUACCCGGAUACUCUGCAACCCAGUCAUGCCAGCCCUUGGCCUUCCUUCUGAGUCGGCUGCCUUCUUAGCCCAGUUCACCCAAUGGGGGUAUCUGUUGCCCUCUGUCCUCUCUUGCCAGGAAGCUGAGACCACGGUUCUGAACUCAAAAUCAGGCAUCUGGCUCUCUUUGCAUCUCUAAUAUUAGCGAUGCUUCGUGUCUUCUUGGGGGGGGUCCCAGUAUGAGAACUGAUCCAGCCCCAGCUCUCAAGUGAACCCUCUGGUUAGAGGGCUAUGACGGAGGGACCCUCCGGUCUUCUUUUAGUUGAAAUGAUCACUCUGGGGUACACCUGAGAUCCUGGCAGUUCAGAAGUGAGCCAGAGGCCCUUCAUUUAUCUGUAGACAUUAUCGAUUAUCCACCCAGCACCCGGCAGUGCUAGUCAUCAAGGACAGAGCGACAAAGGCACAGUUCCUAACAUCAGGGACCCCGGUAUGGCGGGCUGAUGAGAAAAUAAACAAUUGGAGAACAGUGUGGCCAGUGUUGUAACAGAUCUUCAGGUGCUACAGGGAAUUCAGGGGGUGCCUGACCCGCACCGGUGGCGAAGAAAGAAUUCCUCAAGUCCGGCAUGCUUAAAUGUCUCCAGAAGGGUGCACAGAGCCAUGUAAUCAGAGAAGGGUCAGGAAGGGUGUUCCUAAAGAGAGAGGGAACAGCAUGAAAGGCAUGUGUGACAAAGCCAGCUAGCUGUGACAGGAAGAUCUACUUUCUCCCCCUUCCUGGGCUCACAGCCCCUCUUGCAGUGUGACAGAAGGUGUGCAGACAUGAUGGGUGGGCCUGACCCAGAAGACCCUGUCCUAUAUGCCCUUCUCUGGGCUUUCCCAUGUCAGCUAACUGGGAGCAGGUAGGAAUCAGAGCUCGAAGGGCUCGCAUGCCACUUGCAGGAGCUCCAAAACUGAGGUGCGGGUGAGAAGAAAUCACAUUUUGUUUUUAGAAUAAAAGAGAUGGUACAUUGUCAGUGGUGAGGUUGAACUUGACCUGGGCUCUGUGCUCCUGGAAAACAGCGCUAUUUAAGAAAUCCCCUGCCCUUUUGUUUUCCCAAACCCUUUAUCCUUUGCUGUUCCAAGGCUAAGCCUCAGAGGACCACCGUGGCCUCCAGUGUUUCAAGAUAAUAAGACCCAUCUGCCUCCUUUCUCAAGGCUUCUAUAGGACUCGAGGAUGACUCCCUUCUUUACCAACCCACCUAGAACCCCAGGGCCCCUUCCUUUUUUGUUUGAGACUUUCCUCCCCCAUCAUUAUCCUCCUGAUUGCAAUAGCUGGAAUGAAAGCAGCUCUUUCAUUGUCUGUGGCAUUUCGUCUUUAUGUUAAUACAGUAGCAUCGAUCUGAAACUCACUUCUACUUGGGAGUAGAUGGCUAUGUGCUUUAUUUUUCUUUAACAACUUUUAUUAUUUAUUAAUUUGUCACCAGUCAGCCAUGAGAAUAUAGACUCCUUGAGGGAAGAGUUUGUCUUCUUCACCAUUUACCACCAUAUCCCCAAAGGCCUAGAAUAGUUCCUGGUACACAGUAGGCACUCAAUAUUUAGGACAACUCAUGGUAUGGUGACCCCUCAGCCCAUGUGAGCUUUCUGCCAUCCUCCCUAAGCUCCUCCUGCCCUUCUCUCUCUUGUCUCUCUCCCUCUUUCUCUGUGUCUGGUUGUCUCCUGCUCUAGCCCCUUUCUGCCCACCUGCCUGCCCCUCUCUUCCCUCUCUCUUUUUUUAUUCAAGGUUUUUUUUUUUCUUUUUUGAGAGAGAGAGAGAGAGAGAGAGAGAGAAAUCUCAUGAACUGUGAGAUCGUGACCUAGCUGAAAUUAAGACUGAAGCACGUGGACGCCCCUUCAUUUUGAUCUCUUUCCUAAUCCCUCUCUUCCUCUUGCUUCCCUCUCUCCUCCUCAGGCCUGGCAGUCCCGUCUCCUCCCUUCAGCCCCUAUUCUCCAGUCAGGUUGUUCAGUUGGGAGUGUGCAGGGUCAAGUGAAAAGGCUCCACCUGUGGCAGGAACGAACCAGCCAAGCUCAUGUCUGUAUCUGCUGGGUCAGGACAAUUCUAGUGACUUUGGACAUGCAUUUGGCCAAGGGAUCCUUCAAAGUUAAAGACUCACUCAAAACUAGCCAGGUGAGUGUUUGGAAAACAACCAACAAUUGGUCACUAAGCUUUGCUCUAAGCAAAAUGCUGAGAGCUGGGGAGGAAACAGGGAACAGGAUGAGGCCCCUGCCUUCGAGGAGCUCCCAGUCUAUUAGCCAGGGAGGUUAAGGCCCACAGGUGAUCUUCUGGGAAACAGUGGGGGAACAGAAACAGGCAGACAUAGGGUGCCCGUGUGGAAGCCAGAGAGUUCUGGAAGGCAUCAGAUGCUGUUAACUUUGGGGUGUGUGGCCUAUAUGUGAACGAUGGCAGCCAGACAGAAGAGGAGACCAGGCAUUCAGCUGCAGAAGGGAAAGCGCCUGCCCGUGACUGCCAGGCUCCUCCGGGCCACUUGGGCCAGGGCUUGAAGAGAAGCCCCUUCGCUUGUCCAACACCUGCACUGCCUCCUCUCCCUGCCCCCUCCCCGAGGCUGAGGAAAGGAGCCCAAAUCAAUGCCUGCAGAUUUCGGGAGAGCACAGAAUCAGCACUGAUGAGCGGGACCUUCAGUCGUGGCUACAGAAAGCAUCACAAAGCCUCAGUGUCCCGCCGCUGGGUGACCUACCCUCGGUCCUCAACGGGACAAAGUGUCUCAGCAGAGUCGGGCACAAGCCCUCCCCCUAGUUUCUUACUAAUUAUCAGCUGAACUGGUUUAGCUGCUCGGAAGCUGUUUAAUAAGACCUGCCGUAUCAACCCCUUCCUCUCCACAUCAGCGUCCAAUACUCUGGGGCACAGGGUGGGGCGAGCCAGCUGGAGGCAAGGGGAGAAAGAAGGCGGGUGGUCCGUGCUGGUGCACCCACUCCAGGCAGAUGGCAGCCUGCCCAGUGUGAGAACUGUUUAUGCUGAACACAACCUGGUCCUCUUGCAGCUGCUUCUACAAGAAGGGUGGGCCAGAGUCCUCCUGGGAAAUUCCUGGGGGAACCUUGUGGCCUCCUAGGGUGGGUCCUUGUUCUAUAACUCUGGGAAGGCAGAGGAGGGAGAGAGUGUUCUAGAGCCCUGGCAUUUACAGAUGUGCUUUGGGGAAGGAAAGAGAGGAGAAUGGCAGUAAUGAGUAAAGCCAGCGAUGAGUGCACAUUUGCCCAGGAGGCAGAUUCUCGGAGCCCAGAGGGAAUAGCGAGGGACGGGGUUAGCAGAAAGGGGUUAGCGUGAGUGUUUGUUCGAGCCACCCCCGAGUUCCUCCAGGAAGAGAGCCCCCAUUUGGUUAUCCUGAUAACUUGUGCCGCUCUCCCCAAUAACUGUGAACAAAGUACCCACUGAAAAUAUCCCCUCGAAGGCUUGUUGGCUUAGUCAUUCCUUCCUUAUCAGUGACGGUCUCCCUACGUGUAUUUCACUCCCCUGGCUGACUCACAGAUUCCCUUAAAAGCUGCACUUUUUGCGCCUUGGAAAGAUAGUUUUAUAAUACCACAGCUGCUCCCUGGCCUGUGUGCUGUGUGAGUUGGUGUGUUAUGAGUGUGCUGACAAUAUCUGAAACCAAAGUUCAUGGCCCAGGUUAAUGGAUAUUUAGGACAAAGUUCCUGGUUCCAUUUCCAAAUCUCCCUCCCCCGUCAACUGGGAUAUUUUAAAACACGUCUAAAUAGCAAUGCAAAAAAGACUAACUUGAUUUACUUCUGUCUCCACUAAAAAAAAAAAAAAAAAAUUAGCAUUUUCCAGGUUCCACAUUUCAAUAUUAAGAUGCCUUACGUUAUUGAAAUAUCAAUAGUAAAGCAACACAAGGAAUCCUGGAGGCAGGGGAGCGACAAGGGGUAGAUAUUUCUAAUAUUUAAUGACUAUCUGUGCUGUGCCAGGUACCAUGCUUUGCACACAUUUUAUCCCUCACAGGAAUGGGGUGUUAAAAGUGUGAUGGAUCUCAUUCCACGGUUGAAGAAAGUUGAAGAAAGGCUCAGAAAGGCUAAGUGCCAUAUACAAGUUCACUUGGCCAGUAGAAGAUGCAGCUAAGACCCGAGUCCACAUCUGCCUGACUUCAAGGCCAAGAUCCUUCCCACCACACCAGAGUCUGUCCACAAAACCCAGGAUGCCUUCCUCAGCCACUGGAGUCUCCCUUGACCAUCCAGCGGCACAGACAAUGGUUGUUGCCUUUGGUUAUAGUAUCAACGCAAUGUAUCUUUUUUGUGUGCGUGGAAAGGCAGAAUUAUCUACUUAAUGAAAAAAAACAACUUUUGGAUAUAAUUGCUUUAUGAUUUACAAACUUCUAAAAAAUCCAUAUGAUUUAACUCUUACCACAACCCUGUAGGGUAGUAUCAUUGUUAGGGAUUAUGGUAAACACCUGUUGUUUUUGCCAGUCCAUUAUUUUGUUUUGUUUUUUUCUGGUACCUUCUGCUUCCUUUAGGGGAUCACUCUUUAUUCACCAAAGUCCGUGUAUUUUGUCUGAGGUUGAUCCCACCCACUGGCUCUGGGGGUCUAGACCCAAACCUAGCCAGUGAGGGCAUGUCAUCUUUGAUCGGUUUUGGGGUGACCACACUGGGCCAAUCAGAGCAAAUGGGAGUCAGCUCCUGAACUUUGGCGGGAGUUUUCUUUUUGUUGGUGAUGCAAAGCUCUAGGAAAUGCUGCUGAUUGUCUCUGCCUGUCUUUGCGUAAGGCUGCUCUGAGAAUGGAACCACUACAGGGGAAGUAGAGCUGAAGAAGAGGCAGGGAGCAGGGCCCUGAUGACAGUGUCUGUGCACCUGGGUCCAGUGGCACUCUAGGUCCCAGAAGCCUGGACUUCUCGAUUCAUUUUUUGCUAAUUAAUUUGCUUUUGCCUAAUCUACUUUGAAUUGGGAUUUUAUCGUUUUGUUAUGUAUCAUUCAAGUUAUUGCUCUCCAUCAUCAAAGGAAAUCUGGUUCAUGUCAUUGCCUUCAUCAUUGUCAACUUUAGCGACUGCUUAUUAAUUGGAGGUUCUGCAGACAAAAGAAGCAUCUAGCCCCAGAGAUUUCAUAUUUUGUUAGGGGGUGGCAGGGCGUGGUGGUGGAGUGAGUGCUGAUAAUAACAGUAUAAGGCAUUGUGGACUAAAAAUUGCACUUAAAACCACCCUUCCUCUUUCCUUCCUUCUCCUCAAUCUCUCUCUCUCUCAUUGGAAAGGGUACAGAGGAGUCUAGAGAAAUGACAGAAGUGGGGAACUAGGAGGAAGAAGUGGUGUUUGGAGACGUUGUCUAUUGGGAAGGAAACAGGACUCCAUGUGAAAUGCACAUUAGGCAAUAUCAAAUGUGACCCUGGGUAUUUGAUGAGAGGUCAGAAAUGAAGAUGCAGCUUUAGGUGUUACCCACAGAAGUGAAAGAUGAAUUUUCAGAAGCUUAUACCGUGAAGGGAGAGCAGGGUACUAGCACUGAGCCGUGGAAGAGACGACUAGUCAGCAUCAGCAUCAUUCAAGGGAAAACUCACACAGAAAAUUUACUUGAGAACACAGGAUAGGUGUGUCUUCAGGUAUAUACAUUGAUUUUCAGAAAAUGCAGACUCUUGUUAGAGUAAUAAAAUGUAUUAUUCCUCCAUACCUCAUUAAUUUCUUUGUCAGUUGGAAAAAAUGUAUUUAGGGCAAAAUGCCUCCAGCGAUUUUGACCACAAUAGAUAGUUGUCAUUUGAAGAUAAUUUCAGAGUGUCAGAGAAUUAAAUAAUAUUUAUGCGUAAUUUUGACUAAAUUUGGAAUCGAAACAAAAUGCCCACUCAAAUGAUAAGACUGAAGUGUUAUUGUAGAGCAGAGCCUUGUCAACUUUGUGUGUAAGUCAAAGGUCUUUUAAUUAUUUUGAGAAGUCUGCAGGCUAGAAAGCACAUCACAUGAGAAAAUGGUACUCUGAUUGGAACUACUAUUGGAAAUUUGUAUGUAAGGAUUUUGUUUUUUCCUGGCUUCGUGGAGCCAAUGUUUAUUAUUAUUUUUUUUAAUGUUUGUUUAAUUUUGAGAGAGAGAGAGAGCGCGCGCAUGCGCACACAAGUGGGGGAAGGGCAGAGAGAGAGAAGACACAGAAUCCGAAGCAGGCUCCAGGCUCUGAGCUGUCAGCACAGAGCCCGACGCGGGGCUCGAACUCACGAACCCUGCCAUCAUGACCUGAGCCAAAGUCAGACGCUUAAGUGACUGAGCCACCCAGGCUCCUGGGAACCAACCCUUAUUUAUCUAGAAUGAGAGAGAAAAAAGAAAGCAGGGGGCAUAUCACACUCCUAAGAGUGUGUGUACUUAAAUGCAAGUAUCCUGGACAAUAGUAGUAGACAGAUUUUGAGCCCACUUGAUUUUUGAAGCAUUUCCCUACUUUUCCUGAAGUAAGCCCUGCCCUCCAGGUCACAGGCUCUUUGUACAUAUUUAUUGAGGCUGAGGCUGAUGAUGACGUCAGUCUUUUUUCAACAAAGUCCCCUGAAGAUAAAGCUCAGAUUGGCUAUGUAGAGUUUCAGACCAGAUCCAGAGCUGAGCACCACUCCGAGGGCAUGGACCCAUCCAGGAGUGCAGCUGACAUUUGAGACGGGAUGUUCUUCAUAAUGCAGAACUGUCCCUUCACUGCAGGAUGGUUGGCAUCCCUGACCCCUGCAUUAAAUGUUUGCAACACCUCCCAGUCACUGUGACAACCAUAUCACCAUCCGCAUUUCCAAAUGCCCUCCAAAGGGUACUGUCUCCCUUUCUUAGGCUAGGGGAUUGCCUCUUUGGGUCUGAAGACGUUAGCUCUGGAGAACUUGGACGGUUAAGUGUUAAAAGAUAAACUGAGGCACGUUAAACGUUUUUUAAGAGUUUAUUUGAGCACAAAUUGACCUGAAUGGGAUGCAGCACCAAACCAGAAGUUGUCAAGAGUGCUUGGAGGAAAGGAGCUGAGGGUGUAUGUGCUGGGGGGCUUAUAUAGAAAAAAGUGCAGAAGCAAAGAAAGGAAAUUAUUUGGUUGGCUGUAGCUUACAGCCUAGUUGGCUGUUUGUGGUUGGUUGUCCUUAGGGUUUGAUUUCAUAACCUUGGGGCAUUUACAGACUCAGAAUCUGGUCUCUUUCCAUAGACUGCCAUUGAACUAGAGCCACCUCAGUCUAACGGCCUGCUUGUCUGAUUAAUUUAACAUGAGAGACAUACAUGCCUAACCCAACCUCACUCCACCAUCCAUUUCUGCUCUUGACAUGUUUCUUUCAUCUCUUUGGUUGUCAAGCAGAAAUAACAGAUCUGUUGGGAUCUCAUUCAGGACUGUCAUCACCUGACUUUCUUACUAAAUUACAUACAAACGAUAUAGGCCUGUACAUUAGAGUUAAGACUUUGGAGUUAUUCCCUGGGAAGGAAAAGUUCCAGAAAUCCAGAAACCUGGGAAGUGGUGUGGAGCCAAAAAGACAAAGAGAAGAAUGAAACUGGACCACUUUCUUACACAUACACAAAAAUAAAUUCAAAAUGAAUGAAAAACCUAAAUGUGAGACAGGAAACCAUCACAAUCCUAGAGGAGAAAAUAGGCAACAACCUGUUUAAUCUUGGCCACAGCAGCUUCUUCUUACCUGACGUGUCUCUGAAGGCAAGGGAAAUGAAAUAAAAAAUGAACUAUUGGGACCUCAUCAGGAUAAAAUCUUCUGCAGAGCAAAGAAAACAAUCAACAAAACUAAAAGGCAACCAAUGGAAUGGGAGAAGAUAUUUGCAAAUGACAUAUUGGAUAAAGGGUUAGUAUCCAAAAUCCAUAAAGAACUUACCAAACUCAACACCCAAAAAACAAAUAAUCCAGUGAAGAUAUGGGUAGAAGACAUGAAUAGACACUUUUCCAAAGAAGACAUCCAGAUGGGCAAUAGACACAUGAAAAGAUGCUCAACAUCACUCAUCAUCAGGGAAAUACAAAUCAAAACCACACUGAGAUACCACCUCACACUGGUCAGAGUGGCUAAAAUGAACAAAUCAGGGAACAACACAUGUUGGCGAGGAUGUGGAGAAGAGGGAACCCUCUUGCACUGUUGGUGGGAAUGCAAACUGGUGCAGCCGCUCUGGGAAACAGUGUGGAGGUUCCUCAAAAAAUUAAAAAUAGAACUACCCUAUGACCCAGCAAUAGCACUGCUAGGAAUUUACCCAAGGGAUACAGGAGUGCUGAUGCAUAGGGGCACUUGUAUCCCAAUGUUUAUAGCAGCACUCUCAACAAUAGUCAAAUUAUGGAAAGAGCCCAAAUGUCCAUCAACUGAUGAAUGGAUAAAGAAGAUGUGGUGCACACACACACACACACACACACACACACACACACACUGGAAUACUACUUGGCAAUGGAAAAGAAUGAAAUCUUUCCAUUUGCAACAACAUGGAUGGAACUGGAUGAUAUUAUGCUAAGUGAAAUAAGUCAGUCAGAGAAAGACAGAUAUCAUAUGUUUUCACUGAUAUGUGAGAUUUGAGAAACUUAACAAAAGACCAAAGGGGAAGGGAAGGAAAAAUGAGAUACAGAGAGAGAGGAAAACCAUAAGAGAUUCUUAAAUACAGAGAACAAACUGAGGGUUGGUGGAGGUGGGGAAAAUGGGUGAUGGGCAUUGAGGAGGGCACUUGUUGGGACGAGCACUGUAUGUAAGUGAUGAAUGAUGGGAUUCUACUCCUGAAGCCAAGACUACACCAUAUGUUAGCUAACUUGACAAUAAAUUAAAACAAAACAAAACAAAAAAAGAGUAGCAGUCCUUCCUUGGAGCAAACACAUGGCUUGUGAAACCCUUCUUGGGGUGGAGGUGUGGUGGGAAGAUGACCUUGGUCUGUGACCCACUUUGCACUUGCCUUUGCACCUGAGGCGCUCAGCCAGAAGCCUCUCCCUGCAUCUAUCAGACAUAUGACACUCCAGCUGCACCCCUGCCCUGACUGUGCCUGUUCCCAAUUGUGCUGUUUUAUUUGUUGUUGAUCCCAGUGCCUGAGGCCCUAAUGUGCAGAAACUGUCAUGGCUAGGCUGUUGUAUUUCUGAGAAAAAACAUUUAAAGGAUUUUUUAGAGGGGUAACAGAACUUGGCUUCCGUGGGGGAACACGUGGGAUGUCACAGUAUAGGCCUGCUAUCCUAAGAGCGUUAAGUCGUGGUUUCUACAAUGUUUGCAAGGCCACAUGGCUGUCCACACCACUUUCAAGUACACCUAGAUGAAAACGCCAACCUGGGCAGCUGCUUUAAGGUGCCUUGUAACUGCUUCCUUGGAUAUAAUAAUGUAUCUGGAACGGAGCGACCACUCAGCCCUCAGAAAUAUAAUUAUUUGGGCCACCAAAAGCAAUGUAGAGGGUUCUGGAUGGUCUGUAGAAACUUGGAGAAUGUAGUGUAAUGAUAAAGAAGAGAACAGUCAUUGGCAUUCUGGAUUCAAGUCAUAGAUUUACUCUACUGGCUAGGUGACCUUGGGAAAGUUACUUACCCUCUCUUAUCCUACCAUUCUCAGGUAUGAAAUAGGAACGAUAAUAAUAUAACAGGCGCUUGUGACAGAGGGUUGUUGAGAGCAUUACAUGAAGUAAAGUAAGCGGAGAAUUUUGCCCAUUCCUGGCAUGUUGUUGGGCAUGUAUUUAUUACUCAAUACAUUGUAAUUAUUGUGAUGAAUAUCUCUGUAGAAAGAAGAGUAGGCAUUUGAGAAAAUAAAGCUUUUGUGGGAGAGAACGUAAGGGGAGAGGUGAGGCCAAAGAAGUAAAAACCCUGUUUACAAUUACAAAUUAAUUUUAUUAAUAUUAACAAAAUAUUGUUAUAUUUUGUCAUAAAGUUUCAGAGAAAAUUAGGAACAUAGGAAAAAAGCAAAAAAAAAAUUGUGGUGAUAUAUAUGGAGUUAAUUGAAGGAAAAGGCAUUGCUUUAAGAAGCAAGAAUUGGGAAGCCUUUGAGUUGAGAUGGUAGAAUUUAUAGCUGGUCUCCUUGCCCACCAAGAAGCCCUGUUAAUCCAGAUUCCUUCGAGAACUAAGAGAUUUCUUACAUUCCUCUGGGGGCAGUGGAGUGGCCUGGCCAGCAGCAGCCCCAUUUAUGGGCAGAGCCUCCAAAGCCCCCAGAUUGAACUGCACAUAACAAAGCAGCCUUCUGGACAGGCGCGAAAAGAUCAGGGUUUGCCUCUUUGAAAGGGCAGGAGACAGUGGGCAGUGGAGGGUUAAUACAGAAAUGCAUUCGGCUGGACUUGAUUUUAACAUAAAAGAAAAACCCGCUGACAGUUGUAUUUCCUGUUGGAAAGCCCUGUGGGUGGGUGGGGUCUGAGGGUUCCUAAGAAUGAAUGACAGAUAUGAGAUGUGCAGCACGUAGCCGGGCAUCGAGGAGGUAACGAGCUGUCGGAUUAAAACUCACCUACCAUCCCCUGAGCCCCAUUCCUCCUUCAGGGCCCUCUCUGGUCUCCUGUCUUCCAAGAAGCAUUAUUAAUGUCACCCGUACCGGAGAUGAUGAUGAGACUAUAUUAACUACAGUAAUGACCAUUCAUUUCAAAGCCAGCAGGUGCUAGGCCCCAUGCUAAGAGCUUACCACAUAUCUAUUUCUUAACAAUCCAAUCCUAGAAACAGUCCAACAUGCUUUACGCAUAUCCUCUCUAAUUCUUACAACAAGCAACAUAGGUUUUACGAUCCUUGUCUUACAGACGAGAAAGUGCACUUAGAGAGGUUGUAGUGUGCCUAGGGCCGCAUGGCCUGCUGCAGACAGAGCUGGUGUUUGGACCCUCACCUUCUCGAGGUCAAGGGUCUUCUUGUGUCCAUCAUGCCCCUCACAACAUGACCCCUUAGCCCAUUGUUCUGCAGAAGGUUCUCAGCAAAUACUAAUUUCUUAAGUGAUCCAAAUUCAUGUUUGCCGUCUACACCCAGGAGUGGUACUAUGAGAUGUGCCUUUGUGUGUACGUCCUAGGAGUAGCAGGAAAAAGAAUGUGGAUGCAGUCUCUGAAGGCGCUCGGGCACCAGCACCCACCUGCCCUGGGCUGGCAGCAGCCAGGCUGCCCCCUCUAACCCUGCUCUUCCACGUCUCAGAGGAUGCCAGGAUUUAGAGCUGGAACUGGCCCCACAGACUGGCUGGCCCUGACCCCUUUGUUUUAUAGAUACUGCCAUCCAUAAAUCUAUAGGUCUACAGCCUUGAUGAGUGAGGCCCAGAGAGGUUGAGUGAGUUCACUAAGGUCACACAGCUAGGAAGAGGCAGGGCUAGAACAUGAACGCAGGCCACCUCUUAAACCUGCAUCCAGCCCCCUUUCCACUAUACACCAACAAGACAUAGUGUGAGGGCACGUGAGAGCAGAAGGGGUCUUUGCUUGGCUGACCGUGGUGAUGCCAAAUCCUCCCUGGAGCUGAGAUAGAGUGACACAGAGCACUCGCUUGCCCGCCAUGAUCUGCCCAGCCAUCACUUACAAUCAGCCCCGGGUGCCUCUGUGGGGCAGGCAGGGAAUCUGCCUGUCUGGACCAUUUUGUCUGCCAAGAGUCAGGCCUUAGGGAAAGGUUUAUUUUCUUAAAGUAUAAUUCUGCAUGUUCCCUUAAAGACCCAUCAUGAUGUUCACCCAAACAGGCUGAAAAUUUGUGGUAGUUGUCUCUAGAUUAUAUUUGGUUUGCUUUGCUUAUCUCAGCUUUCAACUGUUAUCCCUGUCUGAACACUCCAGGAUGAACUAUAGGUAUGGACAUCGUGGUUAUUUUAUUUUAUUAUUUUUAAAAAUUUUUUUAAACGUUUAUUUUUGAGACAGAGAGAGACAGAGCAUGAACGGGGGAGGGGCAGAGAGAGGGAGACACAGAAUCCGAAGCAGGCUCCAGGCUCUGAGCCAUUAGCCCAGAGCCCAAUGUGGGGCUCGAACUCACAGACCACAAGAUCGUGACCUGAGCUGAAGUCGGACGCUUAAAUGACUGAGCCACCCAGGCGGCCCGUGGUUAAUUAUUUUAAAACAUGCAAUUGAAAAUAAUUUUAUUGGAGGAAGAGACUUUUUCAUGGUCUGUACCAAGUUUCAUGAAUUCAUUGCUUUUUCUUUCCUGAAGGAAAUUGUCCUCCACAAUGGAAGAUCAAAGAUCAGCACAUUCUUGGGUAUAUGUUAGUUGCAAGGCCUUGUGGAAAAUAACUAAGUACUGUGAGAAUUAGCCUCUGCCCUCAAGGCAUGUACAGUUUAGUUGUAGAAACAUAGUAAUAAAGGUGGCAGAUAUUGAAUACUUCCCAGGGGCCAAGUCCAGCGGGGACUGUGACCCUCCUGGACUAUACCAUCUGCGACAUUUGAAGCCAUUUCCUAGCAAACUUUUAGUUCCUGGGCAGAGGGGUCUGACUAGCCUCCCUUCCCACCCGCCCCCCUCCACUUCCAUUUGGUGCUUCCUUGGCCAAGAACACGAGGGCGCUACCUGUGUGAGUUGGUCAGGUUGGUCUGCAGCCAGAGAAUGUGGGGGCUGGCCACGUCCCAGCAACACCACACCCAGAUCUGCACACCCUCCACAUUUCUCCGCAUUGCUCGGGGAGAGGAGGUAAGCCUGCUUGGCAUGACUCAGGCCACGGAAGUGAAAAGCCCAGACGCGGUGGUUCGUCAGUUUCUCCCAGGUCUUAGUCCACGCUUACUAACCCGGCAGCAUGUAUAGACUCUGAGACCUCAAGGCAGUAACCGGGAGUCUCUGGGGACCAGCUGUCUGAGACCCGUGGGUGACAAAUAUCAUUUGAUUUCAUUUCCAGGGCCGGCAGGUUUUUUUCCUCUUUCCUUCUUUAUGAGGGAAUUUUUCAGUAGGGUUAUAUGAAACAGCACCCCUCAAGCUUGUUCCCAAGCUCAGAUCUAGGCAGGAGUUUUCAACAUCUUCCUGGUUCUCUCCAGUUAUGGGCAAGAAACAAAUGCCAUAACCAAAUUUUAUGACAUUGUGGGAGCAGUGUCCAGGGUGAGCCUUGUAGAAAUGGCACGUAAAGGGGCCCUGCACAUCCUGUUUGCAGUUAUAGGGACAGGGCAACGUUCACUUUACCGCUUGGCCUUGUGCCCCGGAGGCCAGGCCUAGCUCCAAGCUUCUCCUCUGAAGACGACCUCACAGUUCUCACCCAAGGAGUCCUAGGCUGCUCAUGAGUCCUGCGGUAGAAGUUGACUCCUCCAGUGCUAGAGAGAAAUGGGAUGGCCCGGUGCCUGAACGGUUUCUCCUUAGCGGCUUCAGAUGGAUGGAAAGUCACAGAGCCCUUCUCUCUCAUGAGGUGUGUGUGUGGGGUGUCUUUGAAAAGCCCCUCUCAGUGAGCUUCCCUGGGGGCGCUCUGCCUAGUACAGCACUUAUCGGGAACCUACUGAACGCCACACCUGUGUCAGGCACCAUAGAAGGAAGGAUGGAUGUGCCUUAGUUGUGUCCCCGAGGGCCUCAAAGCCUGUGGUUGCUGAGAUAGACAUAUUACUAACCCAAGAUGGCGGUAAGAGCCCACUCCUCCCAUAUUCAUUGCGGUCUGCUCUUCUCCUGGAUUUGGGCUUGAUAGAAUCCUAAAGGAAGCACUGUCUCUUCAAUGUUCCCUCUUUUUUUCCCCUCAUUUUUAUUUGUUUGAGAGAGAGAGAAUGAACGGGGGAGAGGGACAGAGGGAGAGAGAGAGAAUCUUAGGCAGGCUCCAUGCUCAGUGUGGAGUCUGAUGUGGGCUCAAUCCCAUGACCCUGAGAUCAUGACCUGCACUGAAAUCAAGGGUUGGACGCUCAACUGACUGAGCCACCCAGAAGCCCCUCCUCUUUCUUUCUAACACUGAUCAUCCCUCUGCGGAUUUAAGUGGGCUGACAAGGGAAGGAAGCACAUUCAAAGUGCAUUGAACGAGCAGGUUACCACACUCUCAUUCCUACUGGGGGGCGUCUGGGAAAUGGUGUGGAGUCUGCCUGGCCUUGCCGCCUCCCCGUCCCGUGCAUGGGGCCAGGAAGCUGGGAGAGGUGCCUGCCAGUUCUCUCUACCCCUGGUGGGGGGCACAAACUCCCAGCAAGCCCGGCCUGCCCUGCCUGGAGGCCGAGCACCUUCCCGCAGAGAAAUCCCUCAGGCAGGUUCACAGAGUGCACAGGCCCGUGGAAGGGGGAACAUGGCUGGAUGUGGCUGAGGCAUCCCAGUGGCUGCCUCACCCACCCAGGCCUGGGCCUGGAGACGCAUGAUGGAGGCCAAACAUUCUGAUGCUGAGAGGAACCCCAGCUGGCUGCGUGGGAAUGGCCAAAUUAAUACCCAACCCCGGCAAGAGGAAUGGAGCCCCACUGGUGUUGACCUCUCAGCCUCUUCCCAGCAGGGGAAGCGGGGGCAGACGUGUUGUCUCCUACAGCUCUCUGUCUUUAUGAAAACAUAGGUGCUCAGGGAUGUGGGUUUGAAUUAACCUCACACAUACAUGAUGAUGCUUCCUCGGUCCUUGGCUGGCCUGACCACAAGCUCAGAGUGUCACCUGCACAAUUCUUACACCAACUCAACACACAGCUUUUGUGGGGUGGUGGUGGGGGCAGCUGCUGUGUAGGAAUGUUCUGGUUCCUGCUUUUCAGCAUCAUGUAAAUGUUCUGAGACCAGGGACUGAUCUUGGACCUUCUGGAAGCUGCUCCACAUUCUGAGUAUCGGGGUGGGUUCAGUGUUCGUGCCUGCCUGUCAGAGGGAAGUUUCUGUGACGGUGAAACAGGUCUGUGAGAUGCCCAGUAUGGCUGUCAUGAGCCAGCUUCCUGGGAACAGCGGUGAGCCGUCCUGCCUGGCUCCCCCAUCCAGACUCGACAGGGGCUAACAAACCCGUCAGUCCACAUGGGGGGUGGGGGGCUACACUUGGCCCAAGUUCACUUGGGAAGUGACUGGGCCUGCUCCUGCGUGCCAAGGAGCUUGUUAGUAUUUAUGAGCUGUUUAUUAGCCUUGAAGGAAAUCAGCCCAAACCCUGGCGGGAAGGGAGGGCUGAGGAGGGAGGCUGUCUUCACCUCAGCGCCCCAGCUUUUGUUUGUAUAAAUAGCUGGGUGCUUGGCCAGCUGCCCUCCUGCUGGCAGAGUCUGCGAUGCCCCGAUGCCUGGGGCUGGCAGGCAGAUGAGGACCUGGGACAAACCAGCAGCUCCUCCUUCCCCAGGCUCUGAAUGUGGGGAAGGAAACAUUCAGGUGUAAGGCCCCUUCAUCCUCACACUAAGGGUAGAUUGAAACCUGCCAGGUGUCUUUCCAACGCUCUCACUUUUCAACUGCAUCACACCUGAGUUUUUUAAUCAGGAGCGCUCACAGGGCAAAGGAAAGGUAAGUUUUCCCCUGUCGACCAAUCACUCGCUCCGUGGUUGGGCCUCUGCUCUGGAGCAGAGCAGGCAGACCAGCCGAGGGACCUUUCUGAGGUGAGUCUCCUCCAGCUCAGAGAUCACGAGCACUUACAUCCAGCCCGACCUGCCGAGGCCGUGAUGCUCUUCUAAAGAGGCCAACAUAGCCUCUUUAGUUUGAGAAGGGAGCAGCCGCUGACCAGAAAAACCGGUCAUUCUCCAAAGAUCCUGCCUGGGAAGAAAGCAGUUAGAGUUCGACCUCAAAUUCUGUAUCAGAUUCAGGGGGCCACACCCAGCAAAGCCCAAGCAUUUUCCUCCUCUGCUGGGAAUCUGGGCCUCUCUGGUGCAGCUUGGGCUGCCUGAGAGUGGUCUAUUUUUAAGGGGGUAUAGGAGCCUUCCAGAGAACUCAUUCCAGGGAGAGAGCUGGUGCAGUGAGCCAAGCUGGGAGCAGAGCGUUAGGUGUUAGAGGCCAGGCAUGAUUCUAUCCUCAGCCUGGCUUCUCAGACUUGUUACUGGGCCACAGGGAGACAAGUGCUGGGAGUAAACCACACGUUUUUAAAAAAAUUCUAGCCCCGUCCCACCACUCACAGAGUGACUUCGGGCAAGUUACCUAACCCUUCAAGGGCGGCCCCCUCUAGCAAAUAGCCAUAUAUGUGUGGUUCCUAGCUCAGAGAGUUGCUAUGAAGUCGUGUGAGUUCGUGCUUGCAAACUGCUUCGAAUAUUGUAAGUGCAAAAUAUUGGGUGAAAUGAAACCCAAAGCAUCUGUAAGAUUACGGGCCCAGGUAGCACUACUUUGGGACUCUACCAGUGCAUGAGGAAGGGAAUGGAGCACUUUCUCACCUCUUUCCACAGACCACUCACUUCUCCAGCGCAUGAGAGAGCAGCACUCAGAACAGUAACUGUGCAUCCAAGGUGCCCCCCACCCCCACCAAGCGAGCACCCCCUGGGGACACAGACCCCUGGGACUGAGAGGUGGUUACUGGGAGGAAGCCUUGUAGGAGCAGGUGAGAGGGUACAAGCGGGUACGCAUUACUUUUAAUGUGGCCUCUUCCACACCCUGUAACCAGCGAGGCCUGAGGAGCUGGGUCACAGUCAGAAGCCCUAGGCGCCACCCAGAGUCACAGUUUCUUAGCAGCCUGAAGUUCAGAGAAUGGGAAGGGAUGUUUCCUGGUAGGGGCCUAAGGCUCAUGGGCCUAGCUUCUCUCCACCCCAGCUAUUAGUUUAUGGUAUUUAGUAAAACUCUUUGGUUCUUUUCUCACUUCUGUGGUGCUGAAAUCUAACUCUCACAAUCCCCACUCACAGAGAGCUGCGUUUCAGAUCCUCUGUGUUAAUCAUUGGGGUGGCUGUUAAAACUGACCAAGAAGAUUUCUAGAAAGGGCAUCACCAAAAGACAGGAUUUUUGAAAAGCAGCUGGAACCGGAAGUUAAGCUGGAAAAUGGAGGCCCAUGCUCUAUUAGACAACAGGAGUGCUCGGAGCCCCUCAUUCUAAGGAAGGGCCAGACCACUCACUCCACGCUUAACAAGAGGCUGACUCCCUGUAACUUUCACCCCACUCCCUUCCACAAUAUAAUUAGAGACCUGAGGAAGGAGAGAGAAAGAGGGCAAGUUUCGGCCAGUGCAGUGUUCACGGGGGAAGGUUACUUCCUCCCCGAAGUGAGGUGGAGAGCCAGAUGUGCUCUAAGACUGAGGGGCCAUCUGCGUGGAUCAGAACGUGGCAGGACUCGGAAAGUUCUUGCGGGAGCACAACUGAUGUUCCUGUCGUUUGCAGGCACCCAUAAAACUUUUAGGUCAAAACCUCGAGAUUUCCCAAGGCAGAAGGCCUGUGGGAGCAGCCUGGGCAGAAGGCUGCGGAGGCCGCUUGGUAGUUGCUUGACAACAAGCCAAGUGGCCAAGUGAGGCAAUACCCCCCCCCAGAGAAGAGGUUAACGGCGCAGACUAAUGCUGGCCAGACGGAGGUAUGGCUGUCGCCAAGGGGGCCUCAGUUCCGGGGCUUUCUCAGGGAAAGAGGGAAGGAGAGGCUUACGCUGGAUCUGAGAUUGGAAUUUUGACCCAGACUGGGCUGGACGGGCAAAGGUGGUGACUGGGGGAAAUGCACCUUAUUAUAUUUGUUUCCCACUUAGUUGAGGCUCCUCAAACUGUUUUUGCAGCCAUGAAUUCUAGGGGCUUUAAGGACAUAUUUUCUUCUUGAAACACACGAUCUGGAGAAACCCAGAAAACGGAGCAAGAAUGGAGGCCUUGUUUGCAGCAGAGUUCUGAAAACACUGAAGCAUUCCUCAACGCCCUGACACCUGUUUCUCAACCGGCUAAUACAUAGCAUAUUAGUUUCCUAUUGCUGCUGUAUCAAGUUACCUUGGACUUAGCGACUGGCUAUAACAACUUUAUCACCUUAUGGUUCUGUAGGCUAAAAGUCCAACAUGGGUUUCAUUGCGCUGAAAUCAAGAUGUCAGCAGAGUUACACGGAGUCCUCACAUGACGUCACUUCAACCUCUCCCCUUGCCUUUCUCUUCCAUUGUUAAGCACCCUUGAUGUUAUAUCAGGCUCGCCUAGAUAAUCCGGGCUAAUCUCUCAAUCUUAGAGUGAAUUGGUUAGCAACCUUAAUUUCAUCUGUAAUCUUGUUUCCCCUUUGUCAUGUGACCUAACAUAGUCACAGGUUCUGGGGAUGACGACGUGGACAACUUUGGGGGGGAUCAUUAUUCUCCUAACACAUGUGACUUAUGUAUUACUGAAUUCAGUUUAAUUAAAAAUACACGUGAGUCCCAGGUCACCCAAGCUAAGAUUCAGCCACAUUCCAUCGCCUUGCCUCCGGGGGUUGGGGGAGGCUUACUGUGAACUGGGAGGCUGUGGCCAAGGGACUGCUGGACUUUCGUCAUGUCUGGAAGGCCCCACAAAAGGCAUUCAAUUCCUCUUAGGCCCCGAGCAGGGGCGACUGGAGGAGCACGUGCCUUGCAUUCACCCCUAGAGGUAAAGGGGCUCUGAACCCCCCUCUGAGCUGCCACAUGUGCGCAUCAGCUGACACCAGGACUUACUCUUUCCACUGAUAAGCAUCUUCUGCAGUAAGUGCCCGAAUUUCAAAAUUCCAGGCAGUUUUAACCGGUUUCUGGUGCUGGAGAUGCUGCCGACUUUGGGAACAAGGAAGGAGGUGAAUGUUGUCACAGCGUUCCUGAGCAUUAAGGCUCACCUUUCUCCGGGUGGAAUCUUCUGGUUAAAGGCUGCAUUGGUACAGGUGUGGAGGAGGAGGGAGCUAGAGCCGACCCCUCCUGACCUGCCUGGAGGGUUGGUGGUGGAAGGGCUCUGCAGACACUGGGGCUCCAGCACCAUUAACUGUGCUUACUGGGAUGGGGAAGCAUGCAUUUCGUACAACUUUUCUGUGUAUCGCAGCACUGGUGUCUAGUCCCUCGCUUCCCAGCUUGAGAUGCACCAGCAGCUCUUGUACCGCCUCUAGAUAUAAAAAUGAGGAUUGGCCCCCAUGCUAAGAGCUGGUUCCCUGGGCCCUAUAGGUGUCCUGGGAGUAGAAAGAGGCUUUUGUGCAGCUUCACUUCUCGCGUUUCCAUCAGUCACUUGGGUACUCACCCUCAUUAGUGGGCCCCCACAGUUUAGGUUGGCCCUGGGGCAGGGGCAGGCACAGGUCCAGCAAAGCUCCUGGGACAGGAGAAUGUUUCUGCUAGUGCUCCCCAUCGCCCAUCCCAUCACCAGGGCACCUUGAGGGCACCAAACCUUCCUUCAGGCCACCCUCAGGGUUGGUGUCCAGGCAGCUGAGGCCCCUGGCCCUGGAGCACUGCUCCCCCCCCCCCACACCCCCUUCAGUUCUUGGGCACAAUGACUCUCAUUGUCUCUCUUCUCUUAUGCAAUAAAGCUUAACAGCUUGUUGGAAAGAACACGAUGGCCUGUUAAGUCAGAAAAUCAAGCGUAAAAACUUAUUUACCCUCUUGGAGAGUGGAAAGGGUCCAGUCCUCUCUUAGAAACACAAAACCGCUGGGACCUUGACACAACUCUUUUCCAGGAGCAUUCAUUCCUUUAAGAUGAGGUCACUUUCCCCCAGGGAUGGUCCAAAGUCUCUACCUUGGAAACACAAAAAUCCACAAAUCCGCUCUCUAAACACGUUUUCUAGAAUGAACAUUAUUACUAUCAUAAUGGGAACAAUAAUCACCUGUAUUUCUGAAUGUUUGAAUAGCAAGGCCUUGCAGAUCGAAGCCAAAUGCAGUCACGUUUCCAAAUUGGUAGGAGCGGUUUCUUUCGUUUGGAUGUGGAGCCCUAGCCUUGCAUCAUGAUUUUGUCACAGUUAUUUGAGGGGUGAAAAAACAGGACGUUUCCUACCCCAGAAAGACCUCUGGAUUAAGUCCAAAGACCUGGUUGCUGAUUCCAGCCCUUUUACUGACUUGAAUUUGAGACUCCGUUUCUUUGCUCAGGCACGGAAACCUCGUAACACUGCCUGCCCACCUGUGACAAGCCAGGGAGGGGGGGCAGUGCAUGCAUAUUGGAGGCUCCCGGUGGCCCUGCGUCAUUAUUAGGUGGCCCUGGAGAGGGGAAGUGGUGGAUAAUUCCUGAGAUUUUAGUGAUUCUAUAGGCAAGGGUAGCAGAAAGCAUCCUGCUUACAACACCUGCCACCCCCAAGCGCAGUAUCUGAAGGACUCCCUCGGCAGAGAUUGUGACAGCAGCCACAAUGGCAGAAUGAGCCAAGGAGAAGCAGGGGCUGGGAGAGGGGGCCAGAGGAGGUCAGACUUGCUGUCACUUCCCUUGUGGUGUCGGUGAGAGCGCUGCCCAACCUGGCAGUGAGGCAGGGCAAGACCCACUUCCAGGACAGAGUUCUAGCAGAGUCCUUUAGGAAACCUCAAGGCUGGGAUUCUCCCCCUUGUCGGCAUGUCCCCAGGCCCAAGCUGUGGCCCCAGGAGAGCCGUGCUGCCCGCCACAGAAGCUGUCAUAACCCUACGCUCCAAGACUUUGCCUCUAAUCCUAUCUUUUUAAAAGAUUUUAUUAUUUUUGAGUAAUCUGUACAUCCAACGUAACCCAACCCUUUCAACCUCGAGAUCAAGGGUCACACACUCUAUGGGGCCCCUGGGUGGCUCAGUCAGUUAAGGGUCCCACUCUUGAUUUUGACUCAAGUCAUGAUCUCACUGUUGUGGGACCAUAUCUGGUCCAUGGAGCCUAUUUGAGAUUCCCUCUCUGCCCCUCCCCAACUUGCACUCUUGCGCUCUCUCUCUCUCUCUUAACUACCAGUUGCCCAAAUCUGCAUUUGUGCCAGCGGGCUCUUUCACCCAUCUCCCAGUUCAGAUCUGGAGAAGGAUGCGUAAUUUGUGCUUCCUUUAGGCAGCCAGAGGUGCUGAGAAAUUAACAUAUGCCCUGCAUAUGCUCAACUGGACUCUGGAAUCAGCCUUACAAACAUUCCAGCAACCUGGCCCUUGGGUAGAAUACAUUUUCCAGACAGUUUUAUACCUUUCCCCAGAGUUUCCCUUUAGGUGGAAGCUUUAGUAGCUCACUAUGGUAGCUGAUUUCUUGGCUUCCUUUCCUUCCCUGGAUCCCUUUCUCACUCCCCUGCAAGUAUUAGCCGCACUGGCCAAAAAAACUAUUUCCGCUUGAGUCUUUGUCUCAGGAUCUGCUUCUGGGAGAACUCCAACUAAAAGAGGUACAAAUAAACAAAAAUGAAUAGGAACUGGUAAAAUGCUUGAUACAUUACAAAUAUUCAAAUAAACGUUUGUUCCUUUGAAGAGACAACAACGCAAAAUCUAUUCUCAAUGCUUAUCCCAGAGCUGAGUGCAUAGUAGACAUUCAAUAAAAGCUUGGAGAGUGGGGAAGACAGCCUAGUCAAGUAUAAGCUAGGUAAUCACCUGGUAAGGAUAUUAUAGAGAGGUUGAAGAAUCACCAGCUAAGUGGGUGAGACAGCCUUUGAAAAUCCAUACGUUCAGAGCUCUAUGGGUGUGACUAUUGCCACAGCAGUGGUGGGGAGCCUCCCAGGUGCUAAGAAUGGGAUUUUUGGUUAGCCUGUCUCAUUUUCCUAUUGAAUUUCCCACAAGCAUUAUUUUAAACAGCUUUAUUGAGGUAUAAUUUAUAUAUCAGAGUAUUCGCCACUUUCAGAGUUGUACCACAAUUACAACUUUUCAAUUCUGGAAUGUUUUCAUCACUAACCACCCCCCCCCCCCAAAAAACCGGUGCCUAUUCUCAGUCACCCCAUUGUUGCUCCUUCCAGCCCCUGGCAAGCACUGUCCUAUUGUCUGCUUCUGUAGAUUUGCCUAUUCUGGAUAUGUCAUAUAAAUGGAAUCGUGUAAUGUGUGGUCUUUGUGGAUGGAUUCUUUCACUUGGCAUAACAUGCUCAAGGGUCAUCGAUUGUUGUAACAUGAAUCAGUGCUUCAUUCCUUUUGAUUGCCAAAUAGUAUUCCAUUGCAUGUAUAUGCAUCCUUCGUUUAUCCAUUCCUUACUUGAUGAAUAUUGGGUUAUUCCCACCUCCUGGCUAUUAUGACUAAUACUGCUAUGAACGUUCAUGUACAAGUUUUUGCACAUUUAAAUGUUUUCAUGUGUGUAUGUAUACACACACCCCUAGGAGUAGAAAUGCUGGGUCAUGUGGUAGCUCCGUGUUGAACUUUUUGAGCACUAUUUUACAUACCUACCAGCAGUGAAGGAGGGUUCCAAUUCCUCGUCAUCCUCACUAUUCUUGUUAUUACCUGUCUUUUUCUUUUAUAGCCAUCCUAGACUGUACAGAGUGACAUCUUAUUAUCGUUUUGACUUAUAUUUCCCUAAUGCUUAAUGAUGUUGAAUAUCUUUUCACAUGCUUAUUAAGCAUGUGUUCAUCUUAUUAUGGGAAAUGGCUAUUCAAAUCCUUUACCAUUUUAAAGUUGUGUUUCUUUUGCCUUUUUUAUAGUUUAAUGUAUUUUCAUAGAAAUCUUACAGGAACAGCGUGGAAGGCAGACAACAUUAAAAGCCUGGACUGCAUGUAGGACAACUCAGAAAAGUAUAGUGAAUGUGUUUUUUGUCUUUUUAUUCUUGAGUUGUUAAGUACUCUUUAUAUAUUCUGGAUACUGGACCCGUAUCAGAUAUAUAAUUUGCUUAUAUUUUCUCCCAUGCUGUGGCUUUUCGUUUUAGUUUCUUCAUGGUGUCAUUUGAAGCACAGAAGUUUUCAAUUUUGAUGAAAUCCAACCUGUAUUUUUUUUGCCUUUGGCUGCUUGUGCUUUUGGUGUCACAUGUAAGAAAUUGUUGCCCAAUUCAAGGUCAUGACAAUUUAUACCUCUAUUUUCUUCUAAGAGUUUUAUAGCGUUAGUUCUUAUGUUUAGGUCUUUGGUCCAUUUUGAAUUAAUUUUGAUACAUGAGGUGAGCUAGGAGUCCAACAUCAUUCUUUUGCAUGGUGAUAUCCACUUGUCCCAGAACUAUUUGUUACAAAGCAAAGAACUAUAGAAUUGUCUUAGCACCCUUGUCGAAAUUAGUUGACCACAAAUAUAAGAAUUUCUUUCUACAUUCUCAAUUCUACUCUACUGAUCUAUAUAUCUUUAUUCUAGUGUUACAAUAUCUUGAUUCCUAUACUUUGAAAUUUUUUCAAAAAAUUUUUAAUGUUUUAUUUAUUUUUGAGAAAGAGAGAGGGAGGGAGGGAGAGAGAGAGAGACAGAAAGAGAGCAAGAGAGAGAGAGAGAGGACGAGCAGGGGAGGGACAGAGAGAGAGGGAGACACAAAAUCUAAAGCAGGCUCCAGGCUGUCAACACAGAGCCUGACACAGGACUUGAACUCACAAACUGUGAGAUCAUGACCUAAUCCGAAGUCAGACAUUUAACUGACUAAGCCACCCAGGUACCCCUGAAAUUUUGAAAUCAGGGAGUAUAAGUCUAACUUUGUUCUUUGUAAGAUUGUUUUGGCUAUUCUGGGUCUCUUGCAUUUAUUUAUUUAUUUAUUUAUUUAUUUAUUUAUUUUUAAAUUUUUUUUUCAACGUUUAUUUAUUUUUGGGACAGAGAGAGACAGAGCAUGAACGGGGGAGGGGCAGAGAGAGAGGGAGACACAGAAUCGGAAACAGGCUCCAGGCUCUGAGCCAUCAGCCCAGAGCCUGACGCGGGGCUCGAACUCCCGGACCGCGAGAUCGUGACCUGGCUGAAGUCGGACGCUUAACCGACUGCGCCACCCAGGCGCCCCGGGUCUCUUGCAUUUAUAUGUACAUUUUAGUAUCAGUUUGUCAAUUUCUGUAAAAAAAAAAAAAAAAAGUCAGCUCUUUGAUAGGGAUUGUGUGUGAUCUGUGAAUCAGUUUAGGGAAUGUGGCCAUCUUAACAGUGUUAAGUCAUUCAGUCUACAGACAUGGGAUAUCUCCCUAUGUAUUUAGGUCUUCAGUUUUCUCAACAACGUGUUUUAAUUUUCAGCGUGCCAGUAUUGCACUUCUGUUGUUAAAUUUGUUUCCAAGUAUUUUAUUCUUUUUGAUACUAUGGCAAAUGAAAAUCUUAAUUUCAUUUUUGAUUUUUCAUUGUUAGUGUAUAGAAAUACAGUUGUUUCUUUCUAUGAUCCCACAAAAUUUUAAAGUCUGUUUUUUUCCCUUCAAAAUCAAGAGUUAUAUCCAAGAAAUAUUUUGUCCAUCUUAAGGCAUGGGAUUCUUUGAGGCCUGCCACAAAGCACCAAAAGCUGGCUGCUGUCCUUGAGAGAAAACUGGGAAAGAAAAUCUUGAUGUCGGGAAGUAAAGUAUGUGAUUUAUUUAGUCCAGAUAAGGCAGGUUCACGUAGUCAUGAACUUUAAAAAAUAAGAAGUCCUUGAGCAUAGAAUACGGCUCUGGGGGUGCUACAAAUAGGUUACAAAGUGAAAGGUUAAACUCAAAGAGCCAAUAGUAUUAUGAGGGCAGGAAAAAUGCAUGGUAACAUAAAACACACAAGAAGCCUCCUAGAGAAACCAGGUAUGCAUUCGAGUACCAACUUUGGCAUUAGCUAUGAAAUACCAUGAGAUCAUCCAGUCUGCUCCUCCAAAUUUACAGAUGAGAAGACUCAGUAUGAUGUGCUAUAUAGGAGAAAAAGCAAAGGGUUUAGAGAGAAGUGACUGAGUCAUCACUAUCAGGAGACCUUGGGAGAGGCUCCUUAGCUCCUGUCCACUUCAGUUCUUCAUCUGUAAAAGGAGAAAAAUGUUGCCUGCUUUGUAGGGUGAUUGUAAGGAAUCAGUGAUUGAGUGAGUCACCAGUCUUUCCUAGCACCAUGUGCCAGGCACUGUGAUCGGUGCUGGGGACAAAGCGGAGAACAAAAGGGACACAGUGCAUGACCACAAAAGAGCAGAUUUAGGGUGAUGUUUAAAGGGCACAAGGCUCAGCAUGGUUUUUCUCUGGCUCAUUGUAAGUUUCAGUUAAAUUUCCCAAGGGCAGGGCCCCAUUGCAUUUAUGUCUAAAUCUUGAGUGCCAAGCACAUGCCUGACAUCUUGUAGUUACUCAAUAAGUUUGUUGAAUUAAACAAAUUUUCUUUUCUUACCCCAACGCAAAGGAGGACUUCAGACACUGAAGGGGAGAAGAGCGUUUUCCUGGCAAGAGCAGAGUGUUUCAGGAGGAGGUGACGACAGGCAUGGAGAUUGGAAAGAGAGGUGCUGGGCCAAAGGAAAAGGUACGUGAUCGGUUGAACCACAGCUUAUUUUAUUUUUAAAAGAAAGAUAUCUCAUGGUAAAUUAAAACAAAAACAGAAGAGCCUUUCUGGUCCUCUCUCCCUUUCUGCUAACAUCUACAUGUGAAUGUAUUUCCUCAUCAAAUACAUCAGUUAUUCUUAAACAUGUAGGCUAAGUUUUAAAAGAAGUAACUGUGGUGUGUGUUAGCAUCACUCUGAGAAAAAAAAUGCAAGGAGUUCUGUGCAUACUAUCACAAGUUUGAGCCCAUCCAAACUGGGAUGAUAAGAAUUCUGAGGGCGGGGCGCCUGGGUGCCUCAGUCGGUUGAGCCUCUGACUUGGGCUCAGGUCAUGAACUUGCGGUUGGUGAGUUUGAGCCCUGCAUCAGGCUCUGUGCUGACGACUCAGAGCCUGGAGCCCACUUCUGAUUCUGUGUCUCGCUCUCCCUCUGUUCCUCCUCCGCUCGCACUUGCUUUCUCUCUCUUUCAAAAAUAAAGAUUUAAAAAAUUAAAAAAAAAAAAGAAUUCUGAGGGCAACAUGGCUACAGGCAGGAGGAAAUAACAUCAUGCUCUGGGUCAGGAGCCCAGGCCCCUGUGAAUCACUGUAGAUUUCUGCAUGGGGAGGGCCCCUCAUUCUUCUUGCCAGGUCCACAAUAGCUUGAGGAGUGCAGAACUGCUGGGAGGGAGCAGACGGAGUGGGAACCAGGCUGGGACCACCGAGGCAACAGAUCACCGUGAGCCAUGCGUCAGGCAUUACACAGAGCCAGCCGGGUCUCCGGUCCUUCCUUGCUUUAUGAAGUCAGCCCUUUAUAGACUUUAUGAAUGAGAGCAAAGAAAAGUAAAUGUUGAAAGUGAUCCUCAGGUGGAAAUCCAGACAUUUGGAUUCUAGGUCUGGCUCUGCUUCCCACUGUCGGUAUGAUCUUGAUGGAGUCACAUCAGUUCUCUGAGCAUCGGUUCCCUCAGUUGUAAAAUGAGAAGUUGGCAGUAGGUCAGACGUGGCAAAUACCCAAGAGGCAGGCCCCUGUACUCUGUCUCAUCCAUGGCAGACAUUACCGGUCAAUCACCCCUCACUUCCUUCCCACCCAGCCGCCUGUAACUCCUUCACAGACCAGCGUUAUGUGGAGCCUACACCAGGCACGUGGAACUGGAGCACAAGACAUGACCUCCUUGCCUUCCUUUACCUGAAAUUAUGUGAUUCUAAAUCCUGUAUGGACUUGUCCAGGCUUCCUACUAAAGUUGUCAUGAGGCAGAAAACUAAUGAGUCCAUAAAGUCAAGAAAUAGCCUGACGUGGCUCAGUGUAAUGCAAACUGUACUAUUAUUUAUGCAGAGUGCUCGCAAUACUGCUAUCACACAGGGCUUUCCAGUUGCUGACGGAAGGGGCCUACCUACUGAGCAUGGUCAAAGAUGGACCCUGGGGGUGGAGAUUGAGUAGCCGGGCAGAAACAGAGAAAAGGAUUUUGAAAGAUUUUUUUUUUUUUCGGAAAUAUAAACUUCCAGUGCUAUGCCAGAAUGAAUUCCAUGCCGUGCCAGAACUGUUAGGGCAGCGUUGCUAGGAAAUUAGCAGCUGUUAGUCUGGAUGAGUUUCGACAGGAAUGUGUCAUUCGUGCAAUGCAAACAGAGAGGGCUUUGAAGUGGAUGGAGCUGGUCUCUGUCAAGUGCUAUUUAAGGAAGCGUAGCACAGGGCUUUUGAGACAGAGCCAAGGUGGAGAAUCUUUCCCAAGGUGAUCCAAUUCCUGGGGCUGGACGGCGUGCGGUCACCUUGCAUCCGCCAGGCUUGGCAUUGCCCUCCCUCACCACCGCUGCCUGGCUUUCCCUGCUGGGCCUGGCUGCUGGUGCCUGGGACCAGAGCGACGGCUGAACUGGAAGGAAGGUGAUAGAUACCUCUUUAGAAAUGAGCCCCGGAAAAAUAAGAUAAAAACAGAGAGGGAGGCAAGCCGUAAGAGACUCUUAAAUACAGGGAACAAACUGAGGGUUGCUGGAGGGAUGUUGGGUGGGGGGGGAUGGGCUAAAUGGGGGCUGGGCAUAAAGGAGGGCGCUUGUUGGGAUGAGUACUGGGUGUUAUAUGUAAGUGAUGAAUCACUCCUGAAACCAAUGCUACACGGUACGUUAACUAACUUGAAUAUAAAUAAAUUAAUUAAAAAACAAGAACAAAAACAGAAAAACCAGAAAUGAGCCUUAGAAAGCUAACUCACCCCCCAAGAUUCAGCCUUUGGAACUGUGAAUUGGACACCUUAGGAGUACCCCUACUCAUCUCCAGCUUCACCUCUGAUGUGUCUUAACAAUUUAUUUGUUUAGAAUCUUUCUCCUUUCUCCUUUCUCACUGGAAGCUCCAUGAGGGCGUGGCGUUUUGUCUGGUUUGCUCAUAGCUGCUUCUUUGGUACCUGGAACAGUCUCUGGAACACAAUAGGCACCAAAAAGUGUUUGUCAAAUGACCAAAUCCAUUUACCUCUUCAAUAUUUUGUUCAUCCAGAGGCUGGAUUUGUUUCAGCUAAGGAAACUUCUGUUGAAUCUGAAUGUCUGUAAUUAUUCCUGGGGUUUGGGUUUGGGAUCUAGGAGGGGGUUUGAAAGGAAAGAAGGUUCCCACUGAACCUUGGAGAAAGAGACAAUAAUGACAAUAGCGUCCUUCAUGUAUCACUUCUUAGCCUGCAGCCGUGUGGUCACUGCGCCUCCAACAGUCCUGGGAAGUAAACGAGCAAAAUAAGUAAACUUAGUUCAGGUUUUCAGAGGAAGAGAUGGAGGUUCAAAGAAAGUCCAGUAGAACCUUGGAUUGAGAGUGAUUUGUUCUGUGAGUGUUCUGCACGGUGAGCAAAUAUUUCUAACAAAUUUUAACUUGAUAAAUGAGUGAUGUCUUGAAAUAUGAGUAGUAUGUGAUGGCAUCACAUGACCCCAGCUGAGCCAAUGGUUCUUGAAAUUCGGUUUGACGAACAAGUUUGGAUUACAGACAUGUUUCCAGAAUAAAUUAUGCUCGCAAAUCAAGGUUUUACUGUAAUUUGCCCGAAAACACAUGUCUACAACGUGGUAAAGCCCAGGCCUUUAUAAAAUAUACAAGUGCCUCCCUCAGCUGCUGGCCACCAGCCCUUCUUUCUCCUCCUUGCACCGUCUGUCCAGCUAGCUGCUUUCCAGAGGGGCAAAGCUGUUCUAAUGACCAGGGUCUGACAGAAGUCCCUCGGAGAGUAGAGUAUCGUGUAAAUGACUGCAGACUUGCCUGUUUGUUUGAUCUGCCUUGGUUCGAGAUUUCUACUACUGUGAGCUCUAAAAAGCAGACUAAUUCACUGUGAUUCUUACUCAUAGGAUGAGAGAAUGUGUGUCAGAGAAGAGAGAGAUGUUCAAGUUUGGAAUCAGAUUUCCCAAAUAACUAAGGUGGGAGUCCUGAGUAGGAUCAGAGUCAGCUGGCUCUGUUUUAGGGAACCCUUGGUUUGCACUACAAAAUCAAAUUUGUUUCCAAUCAAGUUUAGGCUUAGAGAUCUUAGUGAUGUACCCCUGUUCCAGGCCACCAGACAACCCUCUAAUUUGCAAACUGCAGGCUGGAAACACCGAAAAUCUUCUGACUGAGCAACUGAAGAUUCCAAAUUAACCUCCCAGCAGUCUGGAAACAUCCUCUGUGUGAGAUGGUUGGCCUGAGAUCUUUCUGAAGGAAGUUUAAAUUCUGGUCCUGAGAAAGUACCAUUGAUCUGUGUGUAUUACGGGAUCACUGGAUGUCCAGGGCAGUGGCAUUGGCCUGCCUAGUGUAGUGGGGUGAAAGAAGUCGGGGUUUCACUGCAAAUAAAUAUCCUCCAAGCAAAUAUUUAAAUAAUACAAUUUUCUUCUAAUGGAGCUUCUCUUAUGUCUUAUUCAUGCCAAUUUUUUUCUCUUUACUCAUUCAGUUUGUGAAAUAAUUUUAAAACUUUAACAUUAAUUUCUUUUGCUAGGUUGUCAGGCAAAAACCACAUCUGUUUUCAGAAAGGGCCUCGAUGUUUGCUCACACCCUGAUGAAACAUGUUCCUCUGUUAGCUCUGAUGGGAAGGUCGGCAGCAUGGUCUAAAUACAGCCAUGUCCCGGCAUCCCAGCCCAGGGAUCCAAAACCCCGCAGGCCAGAAACUGACAGAUGAAAAGAUAUUCCGCAUCAUGAGAUUAGGAAAAUGUGAAUCAAGGCCACAGCGAGAUAUCACUUCCUUCACACUAGGAUGGCUAAGAUAAAAAAGAUAAUACAGAAAUAACAAGUGUUGGUGAGGAUGUGGAGAAAUUGAAACCCUCCUCAAACAUUGCUGGUGGGAGUGUAACACUGAACGAAUGUGGGACAUUCUUUGUAGGUAACAUACAGAAUUGCAAAGUGACCAGUAUGCAGCUCAAAUUUACCACAGCUGGACUGGAACUCUUCAUUUCUCAGGGAAACCUGCCCCUCUUCCAGUUUGUCCAGCCUCUGGUCAACAGCACGGACGUCCGUAUAGUUGCUCAAGCCAAAACCCAGGAGUCACUGAGGACUUCUCUGUGCCUUCGUUCAGUCCAUCGAGAAGGACUUCAAAUACCCGUGCACCGUCUCCCACUUGUACUGCUCCCGUCCUAGUGCAGCCCCCAUUGGCUGGCUCCUCAUCCUUCCGGAACCCUCCAUUCCAGUCUCUCUGUUCCUUACAGGCCGGGCUAUACUCCACAGUUGGGGUAAAUCACAUCCCAUCACUGCUCUGCUGAGAAUCCACAGCGACUCCCCAGCACACUCAAAAUAAAACCCAAAGUUCUUGCCAUGCUGGCAGGACUCAACACGAGUGGCUUUUUGUCCCUCUGGCUUUGCCUCGUACCUCAGUCUCCCUUUCACUGUGUCCCAGGCACACCAGUCAGCCUACUUUCUGUCACUCGACAUGUCAAGCUCAUUCCCAUCUCAGGCCUUUGCACUGGCUCCUCCCUCUGCCUGGAAUGCUCUUCCUCUAGAACAUUGCAUGGCUCCUUCUUUUCACUUUGGUUCAGUUCCAAUAGCAUGUCCUCAGGGAAGCCACAGCAGCUGUCCUCUGCUUUUUCUGUUCUAGUUUCUUUAUAGCACCCGAUACAAUCUGAAACUGUCUUGCGUGUUCGUUUACAUGUCAAGUACUGUCCUUCUCCUCGACUGUAACAUAAGCUUCACAAGGCCAGAGGCUUUGUCUGGUCACCCCCAGCUCCUAAUGCCUGCCGUGUAAUGGCUCUGAGUAAACAGUUCUUAAAUGACUGACAUGGUAUCAGUGCUGCAGCACUGGUUUCAACCGUGCCUUCUUCUAAGCAUCACAUAAGGAGGUUUAUAGAAAAUAAGAUGGCUUGUUGAAUACCAGUCUAGGAAAUUAGGUUUAAAAAAAAAAGUGGAUAGGACGCUUAGAUGAGCUCUUAGCUUUGCGAUACCCCAGGGCUCUGUUGUUGGGGCACCUCUUCUCCGCCCACGCUCACCCUGGGACCGUCGCCUCCGGUGUCAUGGCCCCAAGAACCCCCAGCUUGUUUACACCCAGCCCAGGUAUCUGCCUGAAACUCCAGCCCACUCAUCCUCAUCUGGUGUCUAGCAAGCCCCUCAAACUUAGCGUGUCCAAAUCCACUGUCCCCCUAUUCUGCCACCAUAUUCAGGGGUCGACUGUACACCCGCAAUAUGACCCUUUCUCACCUGUCCCUGCUACCAGGUGGCUCGAGCCCCAUCACCUCUGAACUUCUGCAAGUGUGUCCUAACUGGUCUGCCUCUGUCUCCUCUGUCUGAUCUCAAGUCAUUAGCUAGAGUGACCCCUGGGGAUUAUUCACUCCCCCGCUCAGAACCCUGCUCAGAAAUCCGCUCAGAUGGUUUUCAUCUUAGGCAGCAUAGGGUCCAAGCGCAUGAAAGCCCUCCCAGGCCUGACGAGGCUCUUCUUCCGGGCACAUGAUACAUGUGACUGUGUCACUACCUCCCUUGCGGCUCUCCAGCCACGCCGGCCCCCUUGCUGUUUCUUCCACAUGCCCAGCACACUCCUGCCUCAGGAAUUUUGAACUUGCUGCUCCCUCUGUCUGGAAUGUUCUUCCCCGGGGAUCCACACAGCACACUCCCUCACCACCUCAGGCUUUGCUCAAAGAGCAACUUCCCAGAAAGUUUUUCUCAGAUCUCCACUCUAAAAUUUACCUUGCCUACCGUCUUCCCCUUUCCUGAUUUGUUUUCUCCUUUUUACCACACUAAUAUACAUAUAUGCAUAUGUAAUAUAUGUAAUAUUACAGGUAUGUGUAGGUAGAGGUAAUUACAAUGUGUAUAUAUUAUUGCAUAUAUGCACACGUAACAUACAUAAUAUUGCAUAUGUACAUAGGCAUGUGUAGGUAAUUAUAUAGGUAACACACACACACACCAUUACCAAUAGGCGUAUGUAAUUUGUUUCCCAUGUAUCCCCCACUAGAAGGUAAGCUUCCUUGUGGGAACUUCUGUCCGUUUUCUUCAGGGUAGGAUCUAGAUGAGUGCUUGCUGUGUAGUGGGCAUGCAGUAGCUUUUCUUGAAUUUAUUAACAUUGAUGAAGCCAGGAAUGAGGCAAGAACACAAAACACAUGGUGUGAGGUCUUCAUACUGGUUAGUAUUGGGCCACUGACUUAACCCUCAGCUUUCCGACAGUCAAUACACACAUGAAAGCGGCUUCAGUUGUGUGAGUCAGAGCGCCUGUCUGUCAAAUCACACAGUUUGGGAAAAGCAUAACUCUUCUGAGAGUAGGGCCGGAGAGAAAUUUCUCCCACGGGCCCUUCCGAAGAGAUUAUAUAUUGUGAGCAAGGUCCUCCACCAGAACAUUUAGAGAACUACGGUCAGGCUCGUAAUGUUUCUUAUGACAUUCUCCAAUGGGUCGAUGCAUUAUGCCAGAGCGUAAUUAAGUAAAAGCAAUUGCAUGCAGGGUCAGAACAAUGUGGUCCAGAAGACAGCCUUUUAUUCAUCUGGAUUGUUCCAGGAACAAACCUUCAGUACCCAGGAACAGACAUGCUUCGUGGCUCCUGGGCUGCUGCUCUCAGUCAAGCUCUUGCUGAGCUCUAACUGGCAGAGUUCAAGCAUACACCUGCUGAGAAAUUUGUGGAUAAUCUAUUAGAUGAGGCUUUCUUGAAGUAUUAUGGAGGUUGUUACCAGUAUAGCUUUGGAGGGGCCAUGAUGGUCCAUGCAAGUAACACACCUCGGGGCCAUGCAGUGCACAACCUGCACAACCGUAUGAGACUUUCCUGUUUAUUAGGCUGGGUAAGUGUAGAGUCAUAGGCUUUAACCUGUAGCCAAAGCAGAUAUAUUUAUAAAAAUAUAACAAGUGCAGCACAUAUUUAUAAAAGUUCCAGUUCCAAAAAAGAACACAUAUCAUCUCACUUACUACAGAAAUGAGCUAAAGGAGCAGCAGCGGGCAGGACCAAGAUGCUCCAUUAGAAAUAACUUAGAGUUGGAUCUAACACAGAGAAUGGCCACAAGAAUGUUGGUCUGAACAUUUUCAAAGCAGGUAAAACAAACUGUGUCCUUCCCACCCACCCCUACCCCAUGCCAGCUAUAAAGUAUCUCAGUAGAACUCCCAUUGAUCUGCUCACUUGGGAGGGUGGUUUCCAGUUCAGUGCACAAACUGUGAAGGAAACAUUGAGGUAGAUGACUGAAUUACCUUGCUCUCUGAGAUUGCUAGUCAUUAGCCACUCAAAUCGGAGCAGUUACCCAAACUCAUGACUAUGGUAAGCUUUUCCACUCAGAAAGAAUGAUUCUAUAAAAUUUACGUUAAUACAAACAUUCACUCUUCCACACAAGGGCUCUGAACUUGCACAGCAUAGGAAAAUUUAUAUUUCCCUGUAUCCAUGUGUAAGCAGCACAUUUCUUGCAUUUUUGUAGUGAGUCAAGGACUUUCAUGAGAAUUAAUUUCACACAUCCUCCCUCUCCCAAAGAUAUGCAUUUUUUGUCUUUCGUUUAUUGGAGGAUGUGAAGAAAUCGCAUGGUAAUUAAGUUGAAAAGUAUGUAAGUCGGUGAUGACUAAGCAAACACCUCAGCUUUCAUAAUCACGGCUGGCCGAAGUCUCCAGGAAUGCACUCACUGGGGGAGGUGGGGGAGGGGUUAGAAAUCAAACCCUCCCGGAGAACUGACCAUGUGCCAAGCGCUAAACUAGGCACUUCCCUGAAGUUGAGUAGAGAGUGGGGUGGACGUGACCCUUGACCUUAAAGGAGCUCCCAGUCUGGUGGUGCAAAGUUACCUAGCACGGGGAGGCAGUGCAUGCUGAGUCCACUGAGCGGAGCUGACCACGCGUGAUGCCUGUGGAUGAGAGGGCUCUGGAGCCUCUGAGGGAAGUAGGCUCUGAGUUGGUCCUAAAGAAGAACAGGAUGUGGAAAGUUGGGGUCUUAUAGAGGAGAGGGGCUCACCACCCUCCUACCUGUGACUUCUUAUGAUCUCUGUUAAUAAGAGGGAAGUUAAACUUGGACAUGUUCAGGCCACUGUAUUUGUGGGUCUCUUUGCUAUAGCAGCUUCACCUAGAGCCUAAGUGAGACACCUGUGGAGUUUUUCUUUGGCUCACUUCUUCCUAAUACAUCCAGCCCAAUAUGACUCAGCAAGAAGGAAGCAAGGGGGCCAAUGACAAGUGGAUCCAUCAUUCUAAAAAACAAACAAACAAACAAACGAUAACUUCCCACUGACUCUGCCAGGCAGGGGCUAUCACUCACUUCUAGAGAUAAAGGACCAGAGGUGCCAAGAUUUUCCAAGGUCACUAACAGCUAGUAAGCAGCAAAGACCAAGAACGCACAUAGAUGUUACUUCCUGUGACUCACGGGUAAUUGAGUGUAGACAGGGAAAGCCUCAAAGUACCAUAUCAGGUGUCACCCUGGGUCUCUCUUCACUCCAGGAGGGCAAGGGUAGGAUCCCUGAUGUGCUACUGAAUCAGACAGGUGCAGGUGGCCUGGGGAAUGGAGGAGCAACAUUCUUUUAGAACUAGAAAGGCACUUGAAAAUUUCCAGUUUAACCACCUCAUUUUACAGAUGAGAAAACUGAUGAUGUGGAGGUUAAGUGGUUUGUCCAAAACAAAAUGAUGCCUAGAUAGUUCAUGGCUCUAUUCAGCACAGCAUGCUGUGAACAUCAUACCCACGAUCUUCAUGGACAAAAGGCAAAUUAGGGUAUAUGUUUUCUUGUAGACCUUUCUCCUGUGUUUCUGCGUUCAAGAAGCAGAUAAUGAGGGAGGGUGUUCUAUGUUGAUGGAGAAGCCAAGGACGGAAAUAUGCUUCAGUUAUGGUGGUACAGAGCUGACCCUUGACCAUGUAUGUUUAUUUCGGCUGUCUCUUUAAUGACCAAUGAAAAACGUGGUCCUCAUCAAAGAGAGUCCAGGCCCGGCCAGCAAGUAGAGAGGGAUCUGGGGGGAGGGGCAGGGCUGUGGGUGAGCAUAGGAGGAAGGAGGGCCAUUGGGAAAAUCUGAUAAUGGGGAGGCCAUCAAUGCAAGCACCCUGGGACCCUGAGGAUUGGAGGCACGCUGGUUUGCGUGUUGGAGCUCAGCAUUGCCUUCCAGAAAAGAUAUUUCGGUGAUGAAAUAAGAGCUUUUGUAUCUGUUUAGGGAGCUCACUACAUUCCCUGAAGGCCCCUGAUUUGAGCAGGCUGAGUCAGGAACUGGCCCAUUUGUUAGAUAAACGCAAGAGAUUUAUUGGUUUCUCAAGACUUUGUUAACUGGUCCUGUAUGGGAGUAUUUCCCUUUCCUUAAAUGGAUCAUUAGGAAAUAUUGGACACAAAUCAGGAAUUCAAUUCCUAAAUAAACACACGUCUACCCACACAGAUAACUUGACUCAUUCUAGUACAGGCAACUUCUAAUAAAGAAAAGGUUUUCUUCAUUUCCGAGACUGACUUUGGACUGGAACCUAGGUGAGUGCCUACAGGGGUCCCUUAAGAGUCUCUGCCUCGGCUGCUGUAAUCCGACAUGUCACAGACAAAACACACCAUAUACGUGAAAGUUUUUAAACCUACGUGUUUUCAUAUGCUGGUCACUCAGGAUGAUGUCUGUAGAUCAUAUUCUUAUUCCCACUUGAUAGAUAGGGUAAACUGAGGCCCAGAGUAACAGAGAACUGGCCCAAAUUCACACAGCAAGAAACCAUCCCCAGUGCCUUUUUCCACCUUCACACAGCACAUGCGCUCUUGGCACGUAAGUGAAAUGGCCCAGGUUAAAAGAGAGGGGGUGAGCCACCAAGAACCGAUGGAAUUUGUUCAUUCAUUUAAAAAAGUUUUACUGAGUGCCAGCUGUAUGCCAGGCACCAUUCUAGUUGCCAGGGAUUCAGCAGUAAAUGAAGCAGAGAAGAAUCCCAUGGCUGGCUCUUCUGGUCCUUUGAUUCCUGUCCCUUUCUGGCUACUCACACCUGAUAUUAGAGCUUACUGGUUUACACUGUGCUUUCCCACGCGCUGUCCCCUGGGCCCCUCGCAGCCAUGCUCAGCUAGGCUAAGUGCGUUGCCCAGAGGCUCACGGUAGGGCUACAGGCAUGUUCCUACUGAGCUUUUCUGACAGAGCUCUCUCCAGUGGCCCUGAGGCUAUAGGCAGUCUCUCCACAACCAGCCAAGGGUCAGAGCUACUGUUGGGAGCCUCCAGGAAGGAGCCCUCCCAGCUGCUCCACCGCUACUCCCACCCUCCAUGCCUUACACAGUCUAGCGGGUUUCUCAAGAGCCAAGUGGUGGGGAAGAGAGUCCCCCCAACACCUGGUAAGUUCAACUGUCAAAGCCAAAGGGUAUGACUGCAGGCAGAGAAAAGACACAGGUAUUGGUGCCCUUUCCUUGUGACCUGUGUGUGGCUUGGAAGAGACCAGGGCUUGGUGGAGGGUCCACAGGAGCUAGAGAAAGAGGCUAUGCCAUGUUAGGUUGGGGCGUAUGCACAUCCAUGAUUCAUACUUAUUUGCUCUAAAAGCAGCAUUGGGCCUCCUGCUGGCAGGGAGCUUCCAAGGAGGCAGGAGGCAGGGUCCCUCUGACCCAGGGUGGGCUCAGCCUGUAGGAGGCAGGAAGUGGGGAGUGAGUGCCAAACUAUACAAGGGAAGGUAAGCUGGUUGUGCCUGAGAUGUUCUGAUUAGACAGGUGUGCUGUCAGAUCCUGGACCAUCCGUGAGAGCUGUGUGACCUCGGAUAAUGUGCUUAACUGCCUGAGACUUGAUAUCUUCUAGAUCUAGAAAACAAGGACACCGAUACCUAUCCCAGUCCUGUUGUAAGGACACACAUGAUACUUGAGAUGCAUGUAAACUUAUCUGCACACAGUCACUCCUCUGUUUUAUGUGUAUUUUAAAUUUUUGUAAUGUUUACUUAUUUUUGAGAGAGAAAGAGACAGAGUGUGAGCGGGGGAGGGGCAGAGAGAGAGGGAGACACAGAAUCCGAAGCAGGCUCCAGGCUCUGAGCUGUCAGCACAGAGCCCAAUGCGGAGCUUGAAUCUACAAACUGCGAGAUCAUGACCUGAGCCAAAGUCAGACACUCAACCGACUGAGCCACCCAGGUGCCCCUGUUUUAUGCUUUUAAUGGUUAUAUGAGGAAAUUUUCUACAUAUGCUUUUCUCUUUUUCCAUAUCUUUAGGCUAUUUUUUUUCACUUCAGUGUGAAAUGCAUUGAUAAGGUUUCAUUAGUGGGCUCUUUAUGUGGCUUUUUUUUUUUUUUUACAAGAUCAAAGAUGGUUUUAAUUUCUUCCAGAGUCCCAAAUUCUCAGAUGAGGCAUGUUUCUGGAAGUCAUAUAGUUCAUGGAUGUUUCAAAUAACAACACACUCUUUAGUAGAUGAAGUCUCCAAAUGAGGCUGUAAUAAAUAAGUGUCUAUGUCCUCAGCUUAUACUACCAGUACAUCUUGAAACCAAAAGUAAGAUGAUUUUCCUGUUCCCACAGUCUAUUUAAUUCUUGUUUUAAAAUAUGAAUAUUUCUACCAUUUAUAAUUUUCUGUUUUGAAGGAUUAUUCUGACCACCACCUUUAUGCUGUUUUCUAAUUUGCUUCUAAGUAGUGACUUUACUAGAGGCAACAAGUCUACCCAGUAGUCCAGUGAGAUGUAUUUUCCCUCCUGUGAGUUCUUGGUGACCAUAGGAGGGCUCCUAUCAUCACCAAAAGCUACAGGUUCACCUGUACUUCUCAUUCUUCAGAAAGUUAAAGCCAUUCAGUCUUAAAUUCCUGCUAAACAAAACGUGAGCCAUUGUCUCACGGUUCUGAAAAGCCUCAGGGGAAAACAUCCACUGUAUUUUGAUGAUGGGCUUUCUGUCCAUGAAGAAUCUCUGAAAUUAACCAAAUCUGUGGACUCUCAUGGGGGUAAUUAAUUGUUCAGGCAGGUGGCCGGCUCAAGACAGUUCCUUUUCUCUGCCCCAUCACAGCCCCCAGUUCUAGGAGACUGUUUUCUGUGACAAGGAUUUGGAAGAGGAUGAGCUUUUUUCUGCCACAGAUCACCUUGUGUAGUUUAUUUGGGCAUUCUGUAGCUGGUCUAACUGUUCUAUCUAUGUACACAGCCAACGCUUUUGGAGAUCUCUUAACUUACCAUCCUGUUCUUAUUAGUGAGAUUAGACAUUGUUUUUUGUUUUUUCUAGGAACCUCAUUGGAGUGAUCCUCCAUAUUACUACAAAAGUUCUGUGUUUGUUUGCUUGUUUGUUUUUAUAAUUUAUUGUCAAGUUAGCUAACAUACAGUGUAUACAGUAUGCUCUUGGUUUUGGGGGUAGAUUCCCAUGAUUCAUCGCUUACAUACAACACUCAGUGCUCAUCCCAACAACUGCCCUUCUCAGUGACCAUAACCCACUUUCCCCUCCUCCCGGCCCCCCCAUCAACCCUCAAUUUGUUCUCUGUAUUUAAGAGUCUUGUCAUUUUUUUUUUAAAUGUUUAUUUAUUUAUUUAAGAGAGAGAGGGAGAGAGAGAAUCCCAAGCAGGCUCUGCACUGGCCCUGCCCUUCUCAGAGCACAAAGAACCUGAUGGAACAGAAAGAGCUAAAACACAUGAAACUUCCAAGGCAAUACUACCAAUUUCCUGCCCAGAAAAGUUGCACUGAUUUAUUUUUUUAUCAGCAGGUGCCAAAAGGAAAGAUUUGGGAACCUUUGUGAAUUCCUCAAGCCUGUUAUUACUGUUACAGCAAUUAACAAUAAAACCUAUAAAAGACAAGGAGGUCUUUAAAAGACAUCCCCACAAAGGGGACAUUGAGAAGUUGGUCUGAGUUCCCAGGGUGUGGAAAAGUGACAGCAGGAAAUUGAUAAGACAAAGCUUUAAAAAGUCCAAGGGAUGAGGGUGCCUAGGUGGCUCAGUCAGUUAAGAGUCUGACUCCUGGGGCGCCUGGGUGGCACAGUCGGUUAAGUGUCCGACUUCAGCCAGGUCACGAUCUCGCGGUCCGUGAGUUCGAGCCCUGCGUCGGGCUCUGGGCUGAUGGCUCAGAGCCUGGAGCCUGUUUCCGAUUCUGUGUCUCCCUCUCUCUCUGCCCCUCCCCCGUUCAUGCUCUGUCUCUCUCUGUCCCAAAAAUAAAUAAAAACGUUGAAAGAGUCUGACUCCUGCUCAGGUUACGAUCUCACAGUUGGUGAGUUUGAGCACCACGUCAGGCUUUGUGCUGACAGCUUGAAGCCUGGAGCCUGUUUCAGAUUCUGUGUCUCCCUCACUCUCUGCUCCACCCUGGCUCACACUCUGUCUCUCAAAAAUAAAUAAACAUUAAAAUAAGUCAAUAAAUAAGUCCAAGGGAUAGAAGGAAGGCCGAUGUGGGGGAAGGGUGCCUGUGGAGGUACUCCCCAUGUGUGUUUUCAUGCCUGAACUACACAGAAACCUCCUGGGGGCAGGAUGGUAGCUCUACUUUACCCUUGCACUGAUGUCUGGGUCAGUGCUGGGCACACAGUGGGGCUGGCUCCCACUUGGAGGAGGAUCUGAAAGUGGAUUUAAAAAUGGCUGCCCGCAGGAGGAAGGGACAGUGGAAUGCUGGUGCCGGGUCCGCCCCAGGCAUAACUAGGAGCAAGUAUCAGGUGGAAGAGACCUAAAUGCCUUCAGAUAACCAGCUCUCAACAACUUUGGCCACAUUCUCAACAAAGCAUUGAAAGGAGAGUAUCAUCCAGGCUUUAUGGGCCCUGUAACCUAAUCAACUCACCAUCAACCAGCUUGCACCCAGCACCUAUUUAAAUGCCUAGCCCUUGAAUUGGGCCCUGAGGGGCUGCAGAUGGGGUGCAAGCUGUGUAUCUGCUUAAGAAGAGCCUGUGGUCUUGGUGGGGAGGCGAGACCGGUGUGCCCAGGAAAGCACCACAACCCACACAAGCUUGUGCAAUGUCAGACCAUGCACUGGGUGCAAGAUGGUGUGGUGGAACCCUGAGGAUAGGAGAGGGAUGGACAGGACGGGGGCUUUGGCGAGGAAGCGAGGCUCGAGGCUUGGAGACCCCAGGGUGGCUGCCUUAUGUCCUUGCUUCUUGUGAGGUGUGAAGAGCUGACCCUUCUGACAGGAGGAAAAGCAGCACCCACCACUUUCUAGGCUCCCUGCUCCUCCCAGCAGCCCCCGGCUCCACACAUCAAUGCUCAAGGACUACUGGCAAAGGGAGAAGGCAGAAGGAGCAAAGAGGGGUGAUCACAGAGCAGAGCCCCAGCUCCUUCAACCGGGCCAACUUUGCAGCUGGCUCUCUGGCUGCAAAAGUGGAUCUUCAGGGUCGCUUGCCUCUGGCAGGGAGGGGUUGGGGAUGCAUCUAAGUACGUCUUCUGAGAGUCCCCCGGAUCUGAUAAAAGCCCCAAAACCCAGCUCUGCAGCAAGGAUCUGUCAACAUCCUCACAAUUGGAUAUCUGAAGUGCUGGUGUAUUCACCCUGCUUAAUCACCGCCCCACCCCUCUGAGGAAAAAAGCUGAUUUCAGUCCCUUGAGGAGAGAGAAAUAGCAGCGACCUUUCUGCAGGACUGAUAACUCGCUCCUUAUAAGGAGUGGACAAACAAAAGCCCCAUGCUCAUGGCUCAGGAAUGCACGUCUCUGUGUGUGUUCUUUCUAACAUUACCUGGUAAUAAGCCACCACACCUGAGCCCGGCAUUUCCAGGACAGCGGAAUGGAGUGGACCUGCCUUCUCCUGGAGCCAAGAGAGUAUUGAUUGCUGUGGAUAAUCCCAACCAUGAAGUUUCUCAAUCAGGGCUGUAAUUGGAUUUAAUGUGACCAACGAGCUGUUAAGAGGGGGAAAAAAUGUUUUCUAAAUUUGAGAAGCAAACUUUCUAACAGUUAUAUAAACUCCUGCCUCAGGGUGGAUUAUUAUAUAACCCCUGAUAAAAAGAAGGGUCAAAAUUCACAGCAAUCAAAACUAAACGUCCCUCCAGGACCUAACAGAGUAAUAAACUGUCAAUAAUUUUAGCUAUUCUUUAUUUAUAGUGUCUCCCCUGCAUCACACACCUGGCUUAGAUUGGUUAAUUCCUCCGGUAACCCAAGGAUCAUGUCCGUUUUACUGAUAAAGUCUACUGAAGUUCAAGGAGAGGUUAAGUCAUUUGCCUCAGUUCACACGGUUAGCGAGUGGAAGCAGAGAACUUAAACCCAAGUAUUUUUGACGCCAAAGCCAGAAGAGUUCUUUCAGUGGGAGCCUCAAAUACUUUCAUGACUCUUCUCCCACCCCCAAAUGACCAGGGUCCCUUCUGGGCUAUGCACAGUGAAAAAUGAGUUUGGCCACUCCAACUUGUCCUGUUCCUCAUGAGGACUUCCCAGACUUUCAAGGAAUAAAAGAAUGUUGUGUUUCUUCCUAAACUGUUUUUUCCUCCAGUCUUGUGCUGCUCAGAAAAAAAAAACCAUGGAACCAGGAAGACAAAUCCCAGAGUGCUCUCUCUGCUCAACAUUGGAGGCGCCCAGCCGGCAGGGCAGCCUGAGGUCUUUUUGUGAAAUACUUAAUGGCUGAACUGCCCUGUCCCUAUCCUCUGGCCACCACCAACACCCACCCAGGCUUCGUGUCUCUGGCUCCUGGAGCUAGUCAGCUGGGCCAAACUCACCCCAAUAUUUGGUGUGGCUGCACAGACAUUCUGACACCUCGACCCCUCAUUAUUCAUUCAAACAAAUACUUUGUACUCAUUAUAUAUGCAAGGCACAGUCCUAAGUUCUUGUGGGAUAAGGCAGAGAUGGUCACUGCCCUCUGGGAGCUGACAUUCAGCAAUGUGGAGUAAAUCACCAACUAGUUAAUUGCUUGACUGCAAUUAUGUAAGUCCUGUAGGGAUUGCUAAGUUGCUAGAAGAGUCCGUAACUGGGGCAGGGAUGAAGGUCCUGCUAGGACUGAGGGAUCAGGAAGUCUCCCCAGGAAGAAGACAAGAUGGCUGGAUGCACAGAAAGAGGGGUCAGUGGUACAGAGGGGUAAGUAGGAUCUGAACCUGAGGGCCCUGUGUAGAUCUGGGCUUGAUCUUUGAAAUGAUGAGACUCAUGUGUAGGGUUUAGGUGGUGACUUAUAUGUGCAUGUAAAUCAGGGAAGAAAGAAAUGAUUUGUAUGUCAACAAAUUCUAGAUCAUGCUGAGAAUUAACAAUUGCUUUCUGGCUUUUGGUCCCCCUGAAACAGUAAAUUUCUAGUCAGUUAAAUGCUAUUAUUCAGAAGGGGGUCAUAAUGUUCGCUCUUGACAAUGGUGAUUUAUGCUCAGGAAGUGGAAGCAUUCCCUCGCCCGUGCCCCAGUCUGGACCUGGAAUGGUCUUCUCCCAUAGCCACACUCAGAGGUAGGCCCCUUGAGGCCAAUUCAGAGAGGUGGAUCUGGGAGCGGAGGGUGGGGGGAGAGGUAAGACAAAGAGUAGCGUGGUGCUGGGACCUGGUCCCUUUUGUCAGGAUGUCCUUUCCCACAAACCCAAACAGCAUUCUCAGAGUCUGCCCUGACAUGUCACCACUGACGCCUUUGACUCUGGAGCCUUUUUCCAUGGCAAUAAUUAAGGCCUUGCCCCAGAGGACCCAAUGAAGUCCCCUCUCACCCUACCAUCCUGGGUCUUAAGUGCCUAGAAGGAGACGCGCUGUUCCCAACUGAAUCCCUAGGAGGAAUGUUUAUAGUGGACAACUCUGAGAGCUAGUUGGGGCCUAGGGAGGGGAUGGAAAGGAAAAGUUCGGGUAUCAGGAAGGAUUUUUUGAUCAAUCGAAUGGUGGGGAGGCAGCAGGCAAAAAACCUCUGUGACUAUAGCAUGACGCACCAAAAGAUAUUUGAAAGCUUUGAAAGCUCGACUUGUCCAGAACCGAGGAAGAUUGAAACACACACACACACACACACACACACACACUCCAUAUGCUUCUUACAUAAGGGAAUGUUAACCUUUCUUUAAAGUAUUGUUCUUGGGGCGCCUGAGUGGCUCAGUCGGUUAAGCGUCCAACUGUGGCUCAGGUCAUGAUCUCAUGGUUUGUGGUUUUGAGCCCCACAUUGGGCUCCGUGCUGACAGCUCAGAGCCUGGAGCCUGAUUCAGAUUCUGUGUCUCCCUCUCUCUCUGCCCCUCCCCCACGCGCUCUCUCUCUCUCUCUCUCUUAAAUAUAAACAUUAAAAAAAUGUUCUUAAUGUUCUUAAAAUUAUAUUGGGAGACCACAUUUUUUUAACUUGUGAGAAGGUAUCUCCCAAUCUCAAUAAAACGUAACUAAAAAAAUCACAAACAUCCCCUAACCAUGACUGUAUUUAGUGUCAGUGACCAAAACGCAUGCCGACUUGCAGUAUCAGCAACCUAGUGGCAAUGCCUCUUCUGCCAGCCCCUUUUCCUAGUAUUUCGUACAUUAUCACACAUCUGAAAAUUUUCCAUGGAGCUUGUCCCCUCCAGAAAAGUGCUGGGAGCGAGUUCCCAGGCAGUGCUGCUAUCAUGUGCUGAAAAGAAUGUGAGAAAAAGGAGAUAACAUUUGAAAUGGGGAAAAAAAAAAAAAAGGUGGGAAUUUCUAAACCACAUGUUGUUAGUUCUGCUUCACAGCUAUGAUGAAUUGACAACCAAUUAGCAAAAGGCCAAAUUUAUGUGUGUGGCAUUGUCUUGGGUGGUGGCUGGAUCCCAGAAUGUCACGUCACCAGUUCCACAUUGCGUGGCUUACGAGCCAAGGCGUUGUAGAGUCUUUGCCCCAUGCUGGGGCUCUGUUCCCAGCAGAGGAGGAAAUGUUUCCUUGUUCUCCAGCUUGAUAUAGUGGCUUGUGCCUUGGCUGAGGCAUCAGGAGACUGUUCUAGAAGCAGUCAGCUCUGCUUAUUAUCAGCUGUGUGCUUUGGCCUAGUAUUGUAACCUCCUGGAAUCUCUAUUUCUGUAUCUCUAAAAUGACAGCAACAACUCAACAGCAUUUGACUGACGACAGACUAUGUUAAGAUUUAUUUUUUAAAUGAGUUUAUUUAUUUCGAGACAGAGAGAGAGAGAGAGAGAGAGAGAGAGAUGAGGGAGGGGUAGAGAGAGAGGGAGAGAGAGAGAAUCCCAAGCAGGCUCCACACCAUCAGCAGAGAGGCCAAUGUGGGGCUCCAGCUCACAAACCCUGAGAUCACGAGCUGAGCUGAAACCAAGAGUUGGAUGCCUAACAGACUGAGCCACCCAGGCGCCCCUGUAUGCUAGGCUUAAGUGUGUAUGAGUUAGGGUGAAGUCAUGGAUAUAAGACGUUGAAUGAUUACUGCAUGUAAGAUGACUCCAAAUAUUAGAGCAUCCCCAUUUAUCCAAUGAGAGUUUAAUAGAGGAUUCUGUUGAUACGAAUAUAAAAAUAUAUAUAUGUAUGAAUAGAGGAUUCAUAUUUAUAUCAAUAGACAUAAAUGAAUGAGACAAUUAUCUGUGUAUAAUAGUUAACAUAUUUUAAUUACCUAUAUAUAAAAUCACAAAUGCUGUUUAUUAAUUUAUAAACACUGAUUGAUAUGUUAAUAGUUUAAGUGAUAUAAGUAAAAUCUUGGAUUGCAAGUAACUUAUUCUGCAAGUGUUCUGCAAGAUGAACAAACAUUUCUGAUUUUAACUUGAUAAACGAGUGAUGUCUUCAAUACAAGUAGUAUGUGAUACCAACCAUCACGUGAUCAACUGAGCCAAUGGUUCUUGAAAUUCGCUUUGAUAUCCAAGUGCUUUGGAUUGUAAGCAUGUUUCUGGAAUGAAUCAUGCUCACAAACUAAGGUUUUACUCUAUUUAAAAAUCACAUCAUGUUAACAAUGUAGACAUGUAGUCUUUACCCACUCUCAAUGCAAUGCUUUUAAUCAGACUCUUCCAAGGUGCCUUAUGCAUAAAUGUCUUGGUCUUCAGGCCAGUUUUCUGGAGCACAUCAUCUGCAUAUCCACCCAGGUUGCUUGACAUUCAGCACUUUUUGAAUCUAAGUACAAUGUUGUCAUUGGAAAAUUUACCCCAAGCUACAAGAAUCCUUUCCUUAUUUGUGAUCUCAUAAGAUAACCACUUAUUUUUAAACUAUAGCAUGGAGUAGUAUUGAUUUUUAACAUGAUCUUUAUAUGGUUUGUUUACUGUGGCCUCUAACACUCAAUAGUCAGGGGUCAGAUCCCCAGGAAUAAGUGUGUCAGAUUCCUCUUUCCCCUACCUUCCUGUAUUGCCAGGAAUCUUCCAUAGGAUCCCACAUUAGCAUUGCUUUAGAUGGCUUAAGACUAAGAUGUCUUCAUUUUGUUGUUCAAAAUAAAGUGAUUAAAGAAGUUUCUUGUAUUCUGUAAGGAUUCUAACAUAAGAUGACUCCGAGGUAUGAUUUUGGAGGUAAAAGUCAUGAUCAUAUUUGACAAUUGCAAUAGAAGUUAGAGGGUAUUCAAAAUCCCAGCUGCCAUCCUCCUGACAAGACAUUAAUAAAAUAUCCUUGCCUUUUGUUCAGUUGAGACAGAUUAGAGUUUUUCCCAAGGAGCCUUACCAAGAACCGAAGGAAAUCUAAGAACUAAAGAUAGAGACCUCCGAGGGUCUCAGUGUUACUGUUCCAUUCUGCAUUCUGCAGGCUGCAGGCAUUGUCUGUCCUGUGCUUGUCUCAGCUUUCCCCCCUCUACAUCACUGUGGGAUUGGGGUCGGUGUGGGGAUGAUAAUAGAAAGCCACUGGGAUUUGGAGGAAGGCGAACAGAAUUCAAACCAACAUCUACCUCUCACUGGCUUGAAGACUUUGGAUACAUCGCUUCACCUGUCCAAGCCUUGAUUUCUUCAUCCAUAUAAUGGUGAGAAAUCUCUUAGAGAAUCUUUGAAGAUUCUCUCUGAAGAUUAACUGGGAUUGUGUAUCCAAGGUUCUCAGCCCAGGGCCAGUCUGCUGAGGUAAGAGUUGUUGGACCCAUUGACAACCAUCAAGUCCAUUUUGUUCUCUUGUGUUUCCUGGGGUGGACAGUGAAUGGGCAGGGGGAGAUGGCCCAUUUCCCCUUUCUAGGGAUGGCUUAAUAAUAUGGUAGCCCUAGCAAUGACUCUGAACCACUCUAUUACCUUUUUUCCAGUGAGGGUUAAAGUUUUAUUUGAUAUUUACUAAAUGGAAUACCUUUGUCAGGGGCGACCUCCAGGUGUCAAGUUAGCUUUUUUGAUUUAGCAUCUGAUCUAGAAAGAGCACCCACCACCAUGGUCCAAAGUUAUUCCUUGAUCUUUGGAGAGGAAGCAAGUUUGUAAUGUUUCCCACCUGCACAGGGAAUGUUCCCCAGGCAGAGGAAGGAGAGGCACUUGUCAAUGCACCUUUGCCUCCUGAACCAGCCACACAUAUUUCACAGGGCCUAAGAAGUCUUAGCUCUUCCAUGGCCCCCCAAAAAGUAGCAUCCUUCCGCUUCUGUGGUCUCCCCUCAGUCAGGCCUAGCUAGGCAAGACAAAAAAUUAGUUUAACUCUCUCUUAGAUGGGCCUAUCUUUAUUGAAGAACAGACCUUGAUAAGUAUCUAGAGAAAGAAGGUGAGAUCCUGAAUCAUGCCUUAGCUGAGGACAAGCACAUUAAAAAUUAAAUUGAUUUAAUUGGGGUGCUGGGUGGCUCAGUCAGUUGAGUGACUCUUGGUUUUGGCUCAGGUCACAAUCUCACAUUCAUAAGUUGGAGCCCUGUGUCAGGCUUUGUUCUGACAGUGUGGAACCUGCUUGGGAUUUCCUCUCUCUCUCUCUCUUUCCCUCUCUCUCUCUCUCAAAAUAAAGUUAAAAAAAAUUUUAAAUUGAUUUCAUUAACAACUAAAUUUUUCUGAAUUAGAAUUUAAUGGGAGCUCAGAGGUAGGGGAGAGCAGAUAAAGGUUAGUUGUGGAGGGAUUGAUGAGAAAAGAAAGAUGACAAGCUGCAUGGUUGGGGGUAAAACAAACUGGUAAGAACAAGGAAGUCUACUUGAUGAUCUGCAAUCAUCUGCUCUGUGCUGGCAUGAUCUGCCCCCAUGCUUCCUUGCCCCUCCAGGAAAACCCAUUUCACAUGCAUUCACACAGGCUUGGUGGGAAUCUAGGGAAAGUGCCGAGUUCCACAUAGGUCGCCCUGGCGUGAAACUGGGACAGCAUCUACAGAACAGGGAGCAGAGGUAGAAACUGAAUUCAAUGGGAAGUCAGCCUCAAGGCUGACUAUGAAGAAGACUCCUCAGAAUUUGUGGAUGUCUGAGGGGGUGAUUUGCAGUUCUGAUAAGUCUGUAUUUGAGCCAAGUUGAUGUAUCUUAAGGGACAAGAUGUAUUCUCUGGGUGUCGUGCACAUGAUGCAUCUUGGACAAACUCGGCCAGUUUAUCCCAGCAUCUUUGGGGCAGACCUGCUGGGGCCUCAGGGGUGUGUGGCUCUAGAGCAGGGAACUCUGUACUGUAUAAUCUCAGAGAUAACCACAAUCUUCCUAGCCUGUCUCUCUCCCAGAGCAGAAUCAGGACCUGCGGGCAGAAUUCUUCGGCAUUCCCUCCUUCCCUUGUUCUGGGUCUCCAGUCUUCAUUGGGUUUACAUCUACCAUGUCCCUCUGAGAUGGAGGUGGGCAGGUGGUGGGUCCUCACCUUCAAGAUAUACAGAAAGAGUUCCAGAGAAGUUUAACUGCAGGUUCCAGUAUCAAAGGGAGGCUCUUCCCAUGAAUCACAGUAUCCUCCCCAUCCUAGCCCUGACUCCUGUGUUCCAGGAACGAGCUGGCCAAAAGAAGCCUGUGGGACAUCUUUAGGGGAUUCACUCCCCUUCUCUGCCAGACACAGAAUUAUCUGGUCUCUCUGUAUCACCCAGAUGUCUGAUUCCCAGCCAGGGUCUCUCCCUUCUCCAGACAUUCCAGUGGGUUUAUAGAAGUGGCCAUGUUGACUGUGGAACCCCUCGGCCUUAGACCUGGCAUUUUCCCCUCCUUCAAAUUCUUAUCAGCUGCUUCCUCAAGGAAUAUUUAAUAGAGAAGAGCCAGGGACUGACAGGCUCACAGGCUCUGAUUUGUCCUCUCAAAGCCUCAGCAGACUCCCUGGCUGAUGGUUUGCCCUUAUCAGGAUCCUGCAAGAUUUCUGCCACAUAGAUCUUCUGAUCUGCCCCCUCUGUUCUUCCUGGGGACAUUCUCCCAUCCCCUGGCUUUUCCUGACAGGAUGCUUUUUGGCAGAACUGUUGGCUUGAACUGUUGCUGGACCUCUGGGAAUAUGAAGACAAACAUAUUAAGAAAACCUUAGGUUUUAACUUACUCCUCUCUGGGGCACCUGGAUGGCUCAGUCAGUUAAGCGUCCAACUCUUGAUUUUGGCCCAGGUCAUGAUUUCAUGGAUUAUAAGUUUGAGCCCUGCGUUGGGCUCUGCACUGACAGUGCAUAGCCUCCUUGAUAUUAUCUCUCUCUCCUCUUUCUGUUCCUCCCACAUCUCUCUCUCUCUAUCAAAAUAAGUAAACUUGAAAAAAAUUUUACAAAUUUAACUUAACCCUCUCUUCACCAAUCAACUUGCUCCCUCCAUGCCCAUGGCUGGGGCAUUUGUAAAGUAUCCCCAGAGCCUGGUCAUGACCUCUGACACAUCUUUCUGCCCCUUAGGAAACUCCCCCUUCUCACUACCUUUUAGACUCUACAGAAUUCACUGGGUCUUCCUACUUUGAAAAAUACUAGCUAAAAUUUAUUGAACACAUUAUAUAUUCCAGGCACUGUACUAAACACUUUAUAGUCAUUGUUUAUUCAGUUCUUGCAGCAAGCCAGUAGAAUAGGAGCUAUUAUUGUUCCUUCAUUUUACAGAGGAGGGAACUGAGGCACCCAAAGGCUAGAUAACUUUCCUACAUGGUCAGAAAGGGACUGCUAACUCCAGAGUCUGUGCUCUUUUUUUUUUUUUUAAUGUUUAUUUAUUUUUGAGAGAGCCAAGUAGCAGAGGGGCAGAGAGGGGGGAACAGAGGAUCUAAAGUGGGCUCUGCACUGACAGCAGUGAGCCCAGCCUGAUGUGGGGCUUGAACUCACGAACUGAGAGAUCAUGACCUGAGCUAAAGUCAAAUGUUCAACCAACUGACCCACCCAGGUGUCCCCAGAGUCUGUGCUCUUUAUGUCUGUCUUACUGGGCCUUAUUAUGUCUGUCAGUUAUUUCCUUUGCUAAAAGAAAAGAACUGCCUACUUCCUGCCCACACAGUGAGUACAUGAGUAUAUGUGGCUGGUUGUCCUUUGCCUCAUAUAUGUAAUGGGUAACAAGUAGUGUUGGAUGGGUGGAAGAAUGGAUGAGUGGAUAUGUGGAUAGAUGGGUGGGCAGAUAGACAAUAGGUGGGUAGGUGGGAGAUGGAUGGAUGGAUGGAUGGAUGGACAGACGGACAGACAGAUGGGUGGAUAAGUGAAUGAUGGGUGGAUGGAUGGAUGGGUGGAUGGAUAAUGGGUAGAUAGACACAUGCAUGGAUGGAUGGACUGCCAUGUGAUCUAAGAUCUUUUGUAUAGAAAAACAUUUUGGAAUACAAGGGAUGCAGAUAAUCCAGAGAUGCACCCUCUCUGGCUGCUUUGUUGCUUUUUUGUCCAAAUCCUACAGGCUGUUAUGUUUGCAAGAAGAGGGCUUUCUCCAGGUACCUAAGCCCACAGAACAAACAGAGCGGCUUUGUUCCUACUAAUAGUUAUUUCCGCCUGCAUUUAUUUUCUUAGAUGCUUCAUGCUAACUUUGGAAUUCGAAACAUAUUUGCUUAGGGAGGCUCAGUUUUUAGGAAGGCUAGCUGUUCUCUGAUCCCAGUGGGGGCCUGUGGCCCAAACCUAGCUCAGGAGCAUCAGGCUGUGGGAUUUGUUGUUUAUGUCUGCAAGUCUGAGGCACCCCUGUUGUGCGGAAACAAGGAAAUACACGUGUCCCAAUAUACUGCUACAAAACAGAGGCUAGAACUGGGUAUAGCCCUUCCUUUUAACCCAGAACAAGUUCUGGAAAAGGUGAGCUUGCAGGAUGAGAACAAACUUACCAUCAGGCCUCCCUGCCCCUUCACUUCCAGAUUCCCACCUAUCUUCACUCUGUUUAUACAGCUCUCAGAUUUGUCUUCUUUUUCUGUUCGUUCCAUAUGACAAACUCACUCUUGCUAAAGUAGUAGUGAGUUACCACUUUCCUUUCCUGUUAGAAAGAUGCCCCUCAGUAAAAGCCAUGUUAAACUCAAAGGAAGACUUGCUCAAAUUAUACCAAGCAAGUGGCCCAGGCCACUGGGCCUGUCAUUCAGGCUAGCCUGUUCAUUUGUGAUUUAGCUUUAUGUAUUCUUUUAUUAACCUGAAGUCAGACAGGUCUGGAGAACAACUCAAGGCCAAGUCUUUUUCUCCUUGACUCUGGUAUCUCUAGAGAGGCUCUUCCUGUCUUAUUCAGGACCAGGAUUUGGGCACAAAUAUGCGAACUGCUCUCACCAACCCCAGCACCCUCAUUCCAUGUCUCACUGGCAGGUCUGUAACUUACCAGAAAUGGCCUGCCCUGCCCCGUACAUGGGGUCCAUCUGCCUUUUCAGAGUGACCAACAGGCCCUGCUUAUGAGGCCUGGGCUGCCGUGUGCCUCUGGCAAGACCUGACAUUCAUCUUCAGGUACUUGUGGUGCAAGAAGGUAGAGUUACCUCCAUGUAAAGUUUCCAAGAUAUUGACUAAUACAUACAUUUUGGCCUGGACAUAAAAAAAAAAAAAAAAAAAAAGGAAAGAAAAAUUGUAUUUUCCCAUCUUUGGUCUCACUCUAAGCUUUUCGAUAAAAUCCACAUGCCCAGCUCUAAUCGUUUUGUCUGGGUAUGUGCUAAGAUUACAAGUAAUCUUAUUGAACUCUCUGCAUGAAAAUCAUCUUUCCAAAAAAAAUAAAUAAAUACGAGUUCUUUAUUUAGUAAAGUGAGUUCUUUCCCUAGUGCUCCAAAUCCUUUUUGUUAUUGAAAUGACAAUGAGAGAUUUAGUUGUCAUAUCCAAUCAGCUGAUUUAAUGUGAAAACGAAUUAAGUCUUUAUGCCCCAUGAACUGUGAACAAACCUGCCCAUUACAGGUAUUCCCUAGUCCCUGGCAAUCAUUUAUGCCAGGUUCCGGAAUUUCUUUUUAAUUCAGAUGGGAGAAUGAUUAGAGGGAGGGAAGAUAUGCUCCUGGCAGAGGGAAAGUUGCCAGUGUGGUGCCUGUGUGAAAUUGGGAGAAAGGCAUCCUGUCUUCUGGGCGGAUGCAGUGUCUCCUGGUCCCAGGGCUCGGGGAGCAGAGUGCAGACUGAUUUCAGCCCUCAGCCCCUCAGCAGGUGAUAUGUGAGGCAGCCCCAGCCCCUGGCCACACAGCCUUGUGAGAGGGUCUCUGUCCUGCUCUGGAGAGGGUUAGUCCAACCUCAGCUCUUGGAAUGCCUGCUUUAGAUUUGCCCACCAGAGACCUGAGGACAGUGAACAAGUCAGUGACAGAGUGAUGAGGGUGAGAGAGUUCCCAGGCUGGCCAAAGGCUGCAUUAUCCCUGCUUAUUCAGAGGCUUUCAUCGACCAUGUCUACUCAGCAAAAACGACAUUGGAUCUCAACCCAUGUGAACUGCAAAUUUCUCUGAAAUCAUCUAUUCAAGAUAGCUCUUAGCUAUGUAAAGCAUAAUUGAUAGCAAAGCUGGAAGCAUCCUUGAGAGGCAGUCUAGGUCACUCCCAGCCUUUAGGCAAAACCACCUCUAAAAUGUCCUAGAAUUCCUGGCAGCUGAUGGAGAGGUCACUGGUUUGAGCCUUCCUUGGAAAAAACAUUAAAAAAACUUUUUUUUAAUGUUUAUUAAUUUUUGAGAGACAGUGACAGAGUGUGAACAGGGGAGGGGCAGAGAGAGAGGGAGAUGCAGAAUUCAAAGCAGGCUCCAGGCUCUGAGCUGUCAGCACAGAGCCCGACGCGGGGCUCAACCUCACGAAUUGUGAGAUCAUAACCUGAGCACAAGUUGGAUGCUCAACCGACUGAGCCACCCAGGCACCCCAGAAAAAGAUUUCAGAUGGACUCUGAAGGCUUCCUGAAUGCUUAUAUUUUUAUUUGUAAUUAUACCAUGCAAUAGAAGGAAAAUUCGCUAUUAAGUCAGAUAUCAGCAUCCUACCCCCACCACAAUUCUCUUCGUCCUCCUCCUCCUUCUCCUCCCUUUCCUCCUUUUCCUCCUUUUUUUCUGGUCUGUUCCCUGGGAGACCACUCUGAAAAAGUUAUUAACAAGUUGGAAGUUGUUUGAGCGAGUGCUCAGGCACCACAUCUGUGACGGAGUAGAGGAAGCAGGACCAGGCAGAGGUAGAGGCAAUUGUCACUGUAACCACCCUAGUCCCAGCUUAACCCAGCAGAACACGCUCCUCGCUCCCAGCAUCAAAGGCAUCUGUCUCGAGAAAGGACUGUGAUGGGUGCAGGAAGGUCCUAUGCCCACUCCUUGGUCCAAUCAGUAUGGGCCAGCAGGGGAUGAGCAAUUAUGAUUGGCCAGUCCUUGGUCACAUGGCCACUGAUAUCAGGAUAAUGGGGAAGCUUCCUGCACAGACAACAAUAUCUACCACACACCUCUAAUGCUAUAUAUCUCUGAAAAUUGCUGAAAAUAUUAGUGCCUUAAUACAGUGACUAAUAGGAGACACUCAGUAGAUGCUCAUCUUCAUUUCUUUUAUCGGCAUCAUUAGAACGAAUACAAACAAUGUUUUCUCUAGUCUUGGGGCAAAUGGGUGCUGAUAAAAUCAACAUUGGCUCAAAUCUCAGCCCCAAAUUUGAACUGAGCCUGAACUUUUCUGAACCGAGAAUGUUUAGCAAACAUGUUACUCUAACAAAUUUGAUCUUUGUGUGUCCUUAUACUUUAUGAGCCAGAAUGGGCCUGAAUCAUGGCAACCAUCAUAAGGAUGCUUAUCUCUCUAACAGCUUCAGUGCUCUGAAAGUAUUUCCCAACAAAGAUAGUCACCAGUGUUUUUCUGACCUUUUCAUAGAGCCAAAGCAUUUGGAUAAAAUGUAGAAAAUUCCUGUCUCUGAACUGAGUGUCCGCUUCUUUCAGGGUCUCAUUCCUAAGGAUGGAUCUUAUAU
rnacentral:lncRNA from 1 species